UGCUCACAACAUUAUAAUUUGUAAAAUUUAUUUCUACCGUAUGCCAUCUAAGCAUUAGAUGUGAAGUUGAAAUUGGCGCAAGUAGUUUGCCUACCCAAAAGGGUAGAGCUGAACCCCAGCCUUGAAGUUGCCAAAUCAAACUGAAGAAGAGUGUCCUCCAAUUGGUACCCUCCAAUAACAAUGGAAGUCAUUGGGUUCGAGCCACCAUUCACGAACCCAAGACACGACACUUCCCUGCUAACCUCGACCAUCGAGUUUGCCCCAAAAAUCCUCCAAAAAGUAUUCUCGUUCUGCAACACGAGGUCUAUUGAUGGCACCGCUGCUCCUAAACGUGUUCCUACAAUGUUUCUUGAGCUGAAACAUACCUCAAAUGGGGCCACACCAGCCACCCUGGUGAUGUUCCUAGCAGCAGCUUCAUUAAUGAAGGCCUCAGUAACAGCUUUGAAGAUGGAAGCCUCUAGGGCAGUGUAGGGAUUCACGGUGCUAAUCUUUGUGCCCCCAACACCUUCGCUGUUAAUGGACAGUAACGUUGUAUUCAGUGAGACGGGUUUUUCGUUCACUUUGAUGGACUUAACGCCGAUGAAAUACUCGGCGGAAGGUUCACCGAGAGGGAAAGAAGGGGCUGUGCUGAUAGGGUUAAUGAAGAGCGGUGUGAAAGUAAGCGAUUCUGAUGCAUCAACUCCAGGGAGGAACACAUAGGGACCAUCACCGAAGAAAAUAACACCAUUGGCAGACGAGAGACAAAUGGCGAAUUUCCUUCGGAAACUGAAAGCAGCAGAGAAUUGCGAAGGAAGCCCAAUUCUAUACCUACCGAAACCAGCCAUUCCCACAACACCGUUAGCAAGGCCUUGAAGCAGGGAAGUUGGUGCACAAGCGAAAAGGAAUCUAGGCACGGUUACCACUCUGCCAGGAUUCCUCCCAUCAGUUGAUUGCAGAGAGACAACAUCUUGUGCAACCUCACCAGGACCGGCGGUGUUAGUGACGGUGUUGCCGGGUCCGACAGCACAUGUAUUGUUGUUGCACCCUGGCCUUGGUCCAUCGAAACAAUCUCCGCACCCAUUGGCUCCAGCCAGCGAGCAUUGGGCUGAACCGCACCUGGCAGGACGGUAAGUCGAUGAAACAUAAUCCCGUUCACAAUCAACCCACAAGUAUCGGCCACCGAGAUCAACCACAACGCGUAUAGGAACAAAGGGUGUCCUUUGGUUAAUAGUGGUGAGGUAUUGAAGUGUGGAGGCGUCUUUAGAGACUGGAACGACCAGGGCCUUGGGGCGGAACGACUGUUGGGCUAAACCAGGAGCAACAAAGAAAACUAAGAAUGAAAUGAAGAGAAGAUACUGAAGAGAAGCCAUGAUUGAAAGAUGAAAGGGGAAAUAGGUAGUGAGAGGCAAAGGCAGAAGUGAAAGCUGUAUUUAUACUCGCGUUGAUCAACGCUUGCGACAAGCCGCCGACGCGAGGGGCCGAGAGCAUGCGCUAAAGGUCAAAACAGGCUGCUAGAAGCAAAGGCAGCUAGGCAGCCAGCUGCUCUGGACGUGUUUGCAUGGAAGAGGACUUUUGACUUUGACCACAUUAUCCUAGUCCAUUAUCUCUAAUCAAAUCUAUACAUUAAUGUGAGGAUGAGAGUUGGUAUUUGAUAUACGGAAAUUAUAACAUUUUCACUUGUCUAUUAAUAAACAUUUUUUAUUAUAUUUGAAUUACAGAAAUUAUAACAUUUUCACUUGUCUAUUAAUAAACAUUUGACAUGUUUUAUUUAUUAGGUAAUUAUUCACUCGUACUUGAAUCUUUUAAUUUCGAAAUUUUAGUAUGUGUGUUGUAUUUAAAAAAUAAAAAAAGAUAAAAUAUAUAAUAAAAUAUAAUCUUAUUUAUGGAUUAAAUUUUUUCGUUUAUAUACCAAAUAAUUAUCCUUUUUUAUUAAAUAUUAAAAGAAGUAUACAUCACUUUUUUUGAAUAAUCAAGGCAUCGUUAAUGCUUAUUUUACGGUUCGUAAAGAUUAAUUCUUUCAAGGUUUGUGGUUACAUCUCCGAACAAUGUUUUCUCUAAUGUUUGACCUCGAGCCCUCUCAUUGGGUGUAGGGGCGAAUUCCAAAAUUCUUUUAAGCUUUGUGUGGUUGGUUGAAAGAAAAUUCGAAAAAUGAAAAAUUGAAGGAUAGAAAACUAGAAGGAUUGAAAAUAUGUAUUUCCUUUUCAUAGAUGUGUUUGGUAGGAGAGAUAGAAAAAUGAAAUGAAAAUUUUCUGUGGAAGGAAAGAAAAUAAAACAUUUGAAAAAUGCAUAGUUUUAACUAAUAUAUACAUCUCUCUUAUUUUUUUCAAUUUGAAAAGAUUGAUUUUUAUGCAUUAAGAUGGAAAAUGAUUAUCAUUCUAUUUUCUUUUCUCUCACUUUUCUUCCUAACCAAGCACACUCAAAAUUUAUUUUCUUUCUACUUUUUCACUCCCUCCUCCCAUCCCUUCAUUUUUCCACUCAACCAAUCACACCAUUAAAGUUAAGAGAUUAAAAUUGAAUUAUAAAAUUUUUGAAAAAUCAAAAUAUAAUUUAUUUCGUGGAAGGAACAAUCUCUACUUUUGUUUUUCAAACUUAGAUUCCUUUUUAAAAAUAAAUUAUUAUUUUUCUCAUAUUCAUUUGUAAUGUAACGACACGUAUGAUGAUGCAAUAGCGAUGGAAAUCUGUUGCCUUUAGUGGGGAAUUGUCUCGAAUUUGUGACGGAAUAUAUUUCUAACUUGAAAACGGCAUUAUUUAUUAUGCUGGAUAUGUAAUAAUUGAUUAAGAUAAUGACAAAGAGACUUAAUAUUUUUUGGAAAAAGAUUUCCGUAAUUUCAAAAGGAAUACAAAUAAUGUUUCACUUUUGAUUUAUCAUCUAAAUCAAGUCCAUAAUUUUUGUGUUUUUCUUUUUCUAUUAUCUAAUAAAAUACAAUAACAAUUAAUCCAUAAUUUUGUUUCAAUAUAUUUCAAUUUUGAAUAUAUAUAGGAUUAUUAUUUCAUACACUAUUAUUAGAAUUUUUUAGACUCUACAAAUAAAUUAAAUAUAUGAUAAAUGUGAUAUUUAUUUAUACAAUUAAAUUUUUUAUUUUUUAAUAUGCUCUAAUAAAAUAAUUUUUUAUUUUUUUAACAUGACAAAGCUCGGAUGCCACAUGUUAGAAUUGUAAAAUAAAUCUAAAAUUAAACUUAAUAAACCAGGAUCUAUUAUGUCAAAUCAUCAAGAAUAAAACUAGAUGCAGAAGUGUACAUGAAUCCAUGAAUUCCUUAAAAUUUUUUCGGAUCUUGGCGAUUUGAUCUUCCAAAUUAGCACAAAAAGAAAUUCAGAGAAUAUUUUCCCUUUACUAAGGAUGGGAUAUUAGAAAAGAUAUAUUGUGUGUAAUUUGGGGACCAUAACCCUAAUAUAUAUAACUUUGGCAUAUUAGCCCUAAUUCCUAAUUAGCCCAUCAUUAAUUAAAAAUUAAUUAGAACUCAAUUACUAGAGUAUCUACACAUAUUUGAUCCAUACUUUAUUUAAUAAUUAAAGCCCAAUAAACCUUAACUAAAUUAGAUCACUUUUAAUUUGGGCUAACCUAUCAUGAUAGUAAAUAAUAACAUGUAAUUAUCCUUCUUAUAUAUGUGGUGUCCAUAAUGUCCAACAAUCUCUCACUUGGACCACAUAUAUGUACUAAUAACUUUAUAAUUAUAUGUCAUUAUAUAAUCUUAUGAGCUCAAAAUUUUACUAUCAUAUCCAAAAGGUAUUCCGAACAAUCUCGUCCAUUAAUUAUGUUAACAUAGAACCAAUGCAACUUUCGUUACAUAUAUCUUAACUAAAUCCAUCCUUGAUCACAUAUAUUAACACAACCAAAUGACAUAGAUCAAGUAUGGAUGUGUAGCAUGGAAAUUACAUGCAAUAUGAUCUAAACAUGUCUAUUUCCAACUGGUCCUCCUUAACCCUUAGUGAGAUCAAAUCUUACCAAAACCAAAGUGUGAAUAAACCAAAAAAAAAACUUUAUUUCUGCAGAAAAUAAACUUAAUAUCUGUAAACUGAAAUAACUGAAAAUGUGUCUAUAACAUAAAAGCAUUUAAAAGUACAAACUUUCACUAAAACAAAAUAUCCUUAAAUGAUAUUACACCCAUAUGAGCAAUGUGCUCGUGAAAAACCUUGGGUGUAGUCCUUUAGUAAGCGAAUCCGCAAUCAUGGAGUUUUUCCUAAUAUGCUUUAUAGACACCUAACAACUCUGAACUUUUACUUUAACAACUAGGAACUUAAAGUCUAUGUGUUUUGAUUUUGAUAUGCUCCUGUUGCUAUUGGAAUAAAAGACUACAAUUUGUUUUCACAAUUUGCACCUUAGUGACAAAAUCUUGUAUCCAUAUUCCAUCAAAAUCGGAGUCUGUAUACCUGAUGAUCUUUAACUAAUUAGACCUCUAAUAUGUGAGUAUAUAAUCUUUUGUUCUUUGAAAAUACCUUAUAACCCUCUUGGAUGCUAUCCAAUGGUCCAAACUAGGGUUGCUUAAAAUAUCUGUCUAACAUCCCAAUAGUGUACACAAUAUUCCAAUUCAUACAAACCUGAACGUACAUUAGACUUUCCACUACUAUAAUGUAAAAAAUCGUAUGCAUUUUUGUAAUCUCAAAAUCAUUCUUAGGGCAUUGAUUGAGGCUAUACUUAUUAUUGACAAACAGAAUGUCAUUAACAUAUAAAACCAAAUAUAGAACCUUACUCCCACUAAACUUAUGGUAUAUACGAUUAUCAACAAAACUCAUCUCUAAACCGAAUGAAAUAAUCAUUUGGUAAAAUUUGUAAUAUUAUUGAUGAGAUGUCUACUUAAGCCCAUAGAUGAAGUUCUUUAAUUUGUAAAUCAUUACCUUUGCAUCAUUAGACACAAAGUUUUCUAAUUGCACCAUAUAAAUGUAUGAUUAAUGUUACCAUUGAGAAACCAUUAACUUAAUAUUCAUCUGAUGUAACUUAAGGUCAAAAUAUUCCACUAAAGCCAUUAUAACCCUUUCUCUAGUGGAAUUUUUUAAUGGCAUUCAUUCUUGAGGUUGUUGUAACAACACGUUUUUGGUAAAACCAGAACAAUGGUUUCAGGACCACAAAUUCGAUUCUGGAAGGGAGAUUUAUUUUAAUAUUAUUUUAUGAUCUACAGUACAAUAAUAAUGUCGUAUGAAAAUUUCGUAAAGAAAUUUUACCGAUUGCAUGUUUAACUUGAUAAAGGAUCAAAUUGCACAAAGUGCAAAAAUUGAGUUCUAAUAGCUAAAGGAAUUAAAUAACUAUGGAAUUUAAAAUUUGAGGUCCUUAUAUGGCAAAUAAACCAUUAAAAAUGCUUAGUGGUUAAGGAUGAUGAUUCAUCCAUGGAAAAUUAAUUAAAGAAAAGGAUAAAAUUGGAAAGUAAAAUUUUAAAAGAUGAUAAAUCAUAAAAAAUGAAAAUAUCAUCAUUUUAUCAUCAUCUUUCCCAAAUAAAACAUGGAAACCCUAGCUAAGAGAAAGUGAGCUCAAGCAAGCUAUUUUGGCUUAAUUGGGUAAGCAUUCAAGUCUUGUUUUUAGUAAUUUUCAUGUUUCUGAGAUCGUAAUAGCUUAGUAUAGUUAUAUCGGGGACUAAUUUAUAAAGUUAUCAAAAUACUAGGGUUUUUCCAUGGAGGAGUAUGCAUGAAUUAUGAAAUUUUAUGGUAGAAAAUGAAAUGUUGUUGAUAGACAAACAACUUUUGUAAAGGGAAAUUUGAUGAAAAAUUGAUUUAGGGACUAAGUUGAAAAGAUGUAAAAAUUCAUAGAAAAAUUCUGAAUUUUAUGAAAUAUAUUGGCUGUAAUUUUUACAUGUAAAAAUCAGCUAGGCUUGGAAUAAGGAUUAAAUUGCAUGAAUUUCAUUUUUUGAGCUUAGGGAUGAAAUUGACAUUAAUUAAAAGUUUAGGGGUGAAAUGGUAAUUUUGCCUAAGAUGUGAAUUGAAUUGAAAUGAACAUGAAUUGAUGUUAAAUUCAUUCAUAUAGAUUUGGAUAGACCAAAUUCGGAGUUAGAACGAGGAAAAGAAAAAGUGUUGGAUUAAUAGAUUUUACAUACACAAACAUUUGUUGAGGUAAGUUCGUGUAAGUAAAUUAUGUAUAUUUAUAUGCUUGAAUUGAAUGUUGUGUAUGUGAAUUGUAUAAAUGUCAUAUACAUGAAAUUGAUUACAUAUCCGACAAAUCCCGAUAAAUGUUAAAUCCCGUUUGAAUAAUGAAAUUCGGUGGAUACAGGAUUUUCUGAAUUGGUUGUAGUCCUGCAUAAUAGUUCUUACUAGUAUCCCGUUAUAAGCCCUCUCGAGCUUCCUGUUAUAUGGUUCCUGCGAGCAUCCCGAUUGGUAAUGAUCCUGCAUGUGUUGCGGACAUACCGCAGCUCUUUGUGAGUGCCCUGUUAUAUGAUCAGUAUUAAUCCUGCAUGUGUUGCAGACAUACCGCAGUUCUUUAUGAGUGUCCUGUAAUAUGACUCUCCAGAGCUUCUUGAUAUGGCUCGCUUGAAAUUCCCGACAUAUGGCUAUCCGGAGCUCCUAAUUAAAGGCUCUUCGUGAGCUUCCUGUUUAAAGGCUCUUCGUGAGCUUCCUAAUUAAAAGUUCUUUGUGAACUUCCUAAUUAUGGCUCUUAUGAGCUUCCCGUUAUAUAGCCCGGAUAAGUUUCAUGAUUAAUGGCUCUUUGUGAGCUUCCUAUUAUAUGGCUCAAGAGAGGAUUUCCCGAUCAUGUACUUUAAUGAGCACCUCCGAAUAUGAAUUGACGGAUUUCUGAUUUGUACACUUUAAGUGUACUACUUGUGUAUCCAUCGAUGUUUUCAAUGAUUCAACGGGUAAAAUCCUGACAUGAGAAAAUAUGAAUACGAAAUAAAUUAUUGCACGUAUCCACCUGAAAUACAUGAAAAUGAUGAUACAUGAUAUAUGGAAAUAUGAGAUGAUGAUAUAUGAACAUGGAAUUUGUUUGAUGAAUAUGUUCAUCCAUGAUUAUAGAAUUGUACACCUCAAGUGUACUACCCGUGUAACAUUGAUAUUUCAAAUGAUUUAAUGGGCAAAAUAUUGACAUGAAAUAAUCUGAACUCGAGAUGAAUUAUUAUGAAAAUGUACUUGAAAUACAGGGAUAUGAUUUGUAUAUAUUAUAUGAAUACAUGAUGUGGAAAGUAUAUGUACAUGGAAAUCUAAUUAUUGUUGAGCCCAUACAUAUUUCUUGAUAUUUAUAUGAAAUAUAUGACUAAUAAGGGUGAUGAGGAUAUGUGUUAGGGCUCAUGAUCCAAUUGAUUGAAUGUGCAUUGUAGAUUUAUCUGGAAUUUAAAUGAGUGGUAAGUUAAUUGCUAUGUUAUACGAACUUACUAAGUAUUUCAUGCUUACUCUAUUUUAUUUUUCCCUGUUCUAUAGUAAUUCGGAAGCUCAUUGGAUUGGAAGCUUGGCGGAGAUCACUCACACUAUCUAUCAACCCAUUUCGGUACAUAUGGUAAAUCAAUUAUAGUUAUAAUGGCAUGUAUAGGUUAAUUGACUAAUAUUGAUAUGUAAAUGUUUUGAAUGAAACUAGCCAUUAGAAUGGCUUGUGUUUAACAUAUUUUGAUAUAUUUAUAAGUGGAUCUAUCAUGUUUGAAGAAUAAAUGUGGUCAUACAUAUAUGCAUUUGGUAAAUAGGUAAGUAUGAAUGAUAGAUUAACAUGAUAAUAAAUUGUCAUCUGAGGUACCUAAGGGUAUAUUGGCUAUAUGUGAUAUUAUGUCAUGUUUAAGACAUAAUUUAGACUUGUUUUAAAUACUUUGAUAUGGUUUGUGAAUGUAUUUAAGUGUUGGUUUAGGUGGAAAACAAGUUUGGUGAGAAAUGUGGCUUGGAAAAUAGCUUGUUUUCGUUCACACGGGCAAAGACACGGGUGUGUGUCUUAUCCGUGUGCGAUACAUGGCCUAGCACAUGGGCCCUGUGUCCCCUGCAUCUUUAAAAUUUCAAAACAGAUUGCCCAAGUAUUUUCACAUGGCUUAACACACGGAGGUGUGAUUUGGCCGUGUGACCCCUACACCUUCACAUGGCCUAGCACACGGGCAUGUGAUCAAAGUCAGAGAGUUACACAGCUUGAGACACGGGCGUGUCCAUGUUCACACGGCCUGACCACACGGGCGUGUGACCCCUGUACCUUGGAAAAAAUUUUGAGAUUUCACGAAAAAUUCUCUAAGUACCCAGUUUAGUCCAAACUCAUUUCAAAUGCAUGUUUUGGACCUCGAGGGUUCACAUAAGAGACUUUAUGAUUGAUUUCUGAUAUGGAUAAUGUAUGAUGUAGAAUAUCUGUUAUUUGAUCUGUAAAUUUUGGUAAUGCUCUAUAACCCUAUUCUGGCGACGGAUUCGGGUUAGGGGUGUUACAGUUGUUGAGUUUGUUCUUCCGGAACAAUUACCUAAUCUUGAAUAAGGAGUUAUUCAACAUUGUCUUAUUGAGGUUCUGGAUUUACUUCUUAAUCAAUGAUAGGUAUGAGAACCUAAACAUCACCAAAAGUGAUAGUAGAAACUGAGUUAGAAUUCAAUUCCUCCUUAAAAGCAAUGUUUCUAACCUUAUUUCUUCCUCCAAACUCAACAUCCUAAAAGAAUGUUGCAAUUCUCAUCUCAAAAAUAUUCCUAAUUGUGGGAUCAUUAAAUUCAUAGCCUUUAAAUCGUUCAUAAUUUCCUUGACCCUUAUACUUUAUAGACAUCAAAGAAGUCAAAAGUGAUGUCAUUUCAACCUUAUCAUUUUUAGCAAAACAUUUCUCAGUUUUGUCAAGGAAACCUUGGCCUGAGUAAUUUUUUCAGAUUUUGUGCCCCUAAAGACUUCUAAAAUGUUGUGCUUCAUGAUCAUUAGACUCAUGCAAUUUGAAUGAUCCCACCUUUCAAAAUCUCUUUUAACAUAAGGGGUGUUUUCUGUAGUGAGAGGUACAAGUUUUUCUUCCCUUAGUACAAGGUCUAAGUUCAUACAACCAAGCACUAUAAGUAAGUGCCUUUUCCGUUCACUGAAAUUAGUCCCAUUAAGCAUGGGUAUAGAAUUUAUAUUAGCAGAUAUUGUGGCUGUAAAAGAUGAAUUAGCUGAAUAUAAAACAAAAAAUAAAUAAAAAUAAGCCCACAUCAAUAUUCAUAAGUAAAUAAUAAAUUCAGGAUAAUGACUAAUCCCAUAUCAAAAUACCAAACACAACAUUAAUAUCAAGUUUUUGGAUAGUAAUAUUAACAGUAAGCGGUACUCUUGUUAUAGCAAUCAAACAUUGACAAUAAAUUAUGUCAAACAAUGUAUUAAUCUUUGGACUAACAUAUUGCUCAAAUAAAGUACCUUAUAAUUGUCACACAUUUAUCACCAUAAAUGCUGUUGAAAUUCUGCCAAAUAUUAAUUUACCUUUGGGUCAAUUAAUAAACACAUGAAUCACAAAAACAUAUAAUCAUCUUGAUAUUUUAAAUAAACUAAUCUACGCAAAAGAGGUCACUUUGGUGGCAUUUUGUUUCAACUAAUCUAUUUAAAAUAUUAGACACCCUUAAUUAAAAUCCAAAGCCAAAAUUUGAAUUUAUUUGUUUCAAAAUAUUUCUUUUAAUUUCAUCCAAUCAAAUUAAAAGAUAAUAGUAUAUAUAUGUAUAUAUAUUUAUCCCAAAACAACAUACAAUGAUGUUGGCAAAUAUAAUAAUAGUUGAAUAAAUAAUAAACCAUAAACAACCUCAUAUAAGACUUCAAAUUUAAACCAAAAUAAUUUGAAUAAAGGUAAACCUCAUCUUAAGAUAUCAGACACUCCUUUAAUAUUUCAUCUUUGGAGAAAAUAUUAACUUGUAAGUGAUAUCUUGGUGUAGUAAUCAAACAUUGACAAUAAGAACAUGUCGAACAAUAAAUCUUCUUUUGGGCCGAUUUAUUACUUAUAUGUAAAACCGAAUAAUCAUCACAUGUUUAUAACCAUAGUUGCACAUUUAAUAUUAUUAACCUUCAUUUGGGCAAAUCAAUAUCAACAUAACUUAAGUUACAUGCACACAAACUUUUAUAUUUUAAAACAAAAUAAUUUAUACAAAAAAAAUCACUUUGGUGACUUAUUGCUUCAAUUAAGUUAUUUUAAAAAAUAUAUAAACAUACCAAUAUUCAAAAAUUUAAAAUUUACCCAAUAGUCAAAUAUCAAAACUAUUUUUUUUGCUUUAUAGACUUCGAAAUAACCCAAAAUAAGGCUAUCUUAAUAAUGCAAUAAAAAACCGAAAACCUUACUUUUUGACUAUUUCUUUUUUAUUUCAAAACCAUAUAUAUCAAAACCAAACAGAAAUAAUGUAAUAUAUUUAGAUGAUUAAUGUAAUAUUUUUAAAAAAUAUUACAAAAUUUAAAAGUUUGAACAUAUAAAAGUAAGAGUUAUUUCCAUUAGAGGUCCCAAAACGGUACAAAUUCUAUAAAUUAGUUAAAAAAAUUUAAUUGUGUAUUUAAAAUAUCUAUACUUGUUGAUUGAGUUAGUGUCGAGUUGACUUGGGAUAACAAUUUAGUUAUGAAAGGGUAAUUAAUAUUAUUCUAAGGAUAUUUUCAUCUUGCCAUAUUUUUAUAUAAUCUUCAAAUAAAACAACUAAAAAUCAUUAUUUGUGAAUUCAACAUAAGACUAAUAAAUUCAUAUCCCCUUGUUACUCCAUUAAUAAUCGUUUGUUGAUAUAUUUUUAUAAUAUAAAAUAUUUUCGUUCACCCACAUAGUGAGUGUGAUAAAAUCUAGUUAACAUUAUAUCAAUUAGAUCUUUUCGUUAGUUUAAUUGUCGAGUUGCAUUGAAUGUUAGCUCAGAUUUGACAUGAAAUGUGCUUCAAACAUGUAGAUUAAACUUUAAAUACCUUUGUAUCUUUUGCACAUAUAGCUUGAAUUUCAUAAAUUUAAAAAAAGAUAUAACCUUGUUAAAUUUUAGUGGCAUGAUUUUUCUUUAACAUAUUAGAUUCAAACUAUUCAUAUAGUAAGUAUAUAUGCAUGUAACACCCCAAAAAAUUUAAAGUUAGACUUUUGGAAUUUUUCAUAAUUAAAUUUCUAUAUCUGUGGUUCUAUGCUCUGCUUAUGUGUUUGAGGUCAAGACUUUGAGUCGCGUCUUAGAAGUUUUGCUAUUUUAUUUUAAGAUAACCUUUAUCCUUGAAUUACAUAUUUAAGUCUAAUUCUGUGUAAACCUGUGUUAAGAAUGAGCCUGCUGGUUUGAUGGUUAAGCUUCUAUAUCUUAUCUGGUCCUGUGUUUAAGUCUAGAUACAUGCGUUAAGAAAUAUUUUUGCUAAUUUUUGAAUUUCUGACUGGUGGUUUAAGCAUUUAAUUUAACGUCUUCUUCUUUUUUUUAUUUCUUUCCUUUUCUCUUUUCUUUUAUUUUUCUUCGUUUUUUUGUUUACUAGUUGUUCCUUUUGUUUUCUUUUAUCAUUUGCUUAGAUUCGUGCUCUUUGUCUGUUACUGUUGUCGGGUAAGUUCAUUUCUGUUAACUUCGUGAGUUCGACUGUUCAAUUUCUAAAAUCAUUGGUUGUUGAUAUUUUGAUCAAGAAAUUAGUUUUUGCUUAAAUUAUUGAAUUCUUUGUUUAUGUGUUCGAUUAAUGUCUUUAGGAGGAGGUCUCGAGGACAACGGUCCUUCUAAUGUUCUAGAUUUGUGAAAUUCAGUUUGGUGUGGAGGUAAUUGUUAUGUUGAGUUGGGGUUUCAUGUCGAAACGUUUCAACAAUCGUGUUGCACGUUAAUUUUGGUAAUUGUUAUGAUCUGUCACUUAAUUGGCUAUUGAUUGUCCAUUCUAGGUCUCUGAAAUCCUCUACGUUGUUCCUGGUUCAAAAUCACUUUAGGUUCAUAUCAGAAACUUAAGUUUUUGUGAAUUUCGGACGCCAAAAAACAUGGUUGUCGACGUCAUAUGGCUGUGUGCUAGGCCAUGUGGUAGGUCGUGUGACAGGUCGUGUGUUAGGCCGUGUAACACACUAUCUACCAAAUACGAGCCACACGGGCAAGGGACACGGACGUGUGUCCAGGCCGUAUGUGGUUAGGAUAGUGCAGGGUUCACACUGGCCAAGGACACGGAUAUUUGUCUAGGCUAUGUAACUCACUGAGUACAAGAUAAGGAUCACACAAGUUAGGGACACUGGCGUGUGUCCAGGCCGUGUGACUCACUGUUGUUUUUAGAUACCAUAUGAGCUAGAGACACGGACGUGUGUCCAGGUUGUGUUACUCACUGUUUGCGAUUUAGGACCACAUGGGCGGACGUCACGGGCGUGUGUCAGGCCGUGUAAGACAUACGAGUGGGCACAUAGGCGUGCAUCAAGCCGUGUGGAACCACAUGAGCGUGUGGGCAAGGUCUAGCAUUUCUCUCCAAGGUUGUAAGCAUCGUCUAACGUGAACGUAGGCCUUCCGUUGUGUACUUAUGACCUGAAUUAGACUGUGUGAGUACUAUCUGAUGCUUUUAGAUUGGGGUACUGAUUGUAUAAAUGUAUACUGAUUAGAUAAUUGUCGAUGAUAUUGAUCCAUAUUAUCUUACUAUGAAUUGAAUCUAAAUUACUGUGUAUAUAUUCUUGAUAUCUGUAAUCUAUAUUUGCAUUGGAUGAGAAUUAUGUAAAAAAGGAAGUAAUCUAUUCUGAUUCAGUGGCUAAGCCACGAUUUAUAUGAGGAUCUUGCGUUAAUUGCAAUUUGAUCUGGCAGUUAGUCUGCAUCUUAUUAAACGUGUCGGAUUGACACUAUAUGGUGUGUAGGGAUGGAUGAGUAUUAAAUGCCCUUAACGGUGUGUUGGGUGGUCAAAAAUGGUGUGUACCAAAUGGGAGUAGAAAUAACUACAUAUGUUUCUGAUCUAUUCUGUAUCUGAACUGGAAUUGUUCUGCCUUAUAACUACAUAUGGUGUGUAACAAUUGUUCUUUUAAUUGAAUCUAUGUUGGUUAUACACUGAGUUCUCUACUCACUGUGUUGUUUACUGAAUUUCAGGUAACUCACAAGCUUGAUCAAGUCGGCGUAGUGGGAGCUCGAUCAAUCUGCUUUCUCUAUUAUCAUGUAGUUACAAUAUUUCUUAGUACUAUGAUUUUUCUAAGAUUGUUGAACUAUUAGUUGGAUUCUAUGGUUGUUAUGUUUCGUCAAAUGUUUUUAACUGUGCUUACAAAAGUUGGGUUUUCUUUAUAAUGUUAAUGUGACUCUUCAGACUUGGUCUAGACGCCUAGGCUGGGUUUCAGGUGUUACAAUACACAUAACCAUGAGGUGUAGUGUGGUGAUUACUCACCUCAUUCCCUAAUCAUGAAGUCAGGAGUUCGAUCUCCACCCAUGAGAAUUGAACACAUUUCAUGGCCAACAAUUUAUCUCUUUAAAGAAAACUUCGGUGAUAAGAGAAUAAAAGUGAAGGAAGAAGAAUUUAUUAUUAAAAAGACGGGGGUUGGGGGAUCAACUUUCAAAGUUUCCCUAAUGAACUAAGAGAAUUUCAAAAUUUUAAGAUAAGUUUGUGCAUAGUUGGAUUAAAACUAAAUUAAUAGAUCAGUUUGAAUUGGAUUAUAAUUCGGUCUAGAAUCAAUUAAGCAUAUUUUUAAAUGUUAAUUAUCAAUUAAUUCAAUUAAAAUAAUUAAUUAACCAAAUUAAUUGAAUAACUAAAAAUAAUAAUAUAUAAUGAAAUAUAUAAUAUUUAUAAGCCCAAUAUAAUGGACAAAAGAAACAAAUUUAUGUGGUAUACGACAAUAGGUUGUAGGUUAAGGCAAAAAAAAAUUAAAAAUUAAAAAUUUUGUUAUUAUUAUUUUUUAAGUAAAGAAGAGAACAACUAUUCUAGGUAAGGAUGUUUAAACUUCGAAUAAAAUCGAAUUAAUCGAUUGAAACAAUCUAAUUCGAUUAAUCGAUCGAUGACUAUACUUAGUUCAGUCGAAUGUCAGUUAAUAGUUUUUUUGGAAUUUCAAUUAUUGAUUAAUUUGGUUUGAAAUCGAAUAAUUAACUGAAUUAACUGAACUUAAUAAUUAUGUAGUUUUUCAAGACUUAAAAUUCCUGUUAAUUCGGUUAACUUUUAAGACAAAUGAACAUUAUCAAAGUAUUUCUUUUAUAUGUUUCAUACUUGUUUUAACCAAAAGACAAAAACAUAUAAAUUUUGGUUAAUUCGUUAAUCGAAGUAACUGAAAUAUUUCGGUUCAGUUAAUCUCUUUUAAAAAAAAUUAAUUCAAUUAACGGUUAAAGGAUUACACAGUUCAGUUAAUUUAAUUAUCGCUAAUUCGAUUCGGUUAUUAAUCGAACUGACUAUUUGAACACCCUUAAUUCUAGGAACACCCAAUUGAACGACAUCCUCAUACAAGGUUCGCAACAUUACCAUUGGAGGAGAAUGAAAAAAUUGAAGCUCUAUUUCCUCUCUGUAUGUGUGUUGAAUGAACACAUCCCAUGUAACGAUCUGAAAGUCAAUGGUGUUGGAAAAUGUGGUUUUAAAACCUCGUUUUGUAAAUCAGAUCUGUAAAUAUUUUUAUUAAAUGUUUAUGGAGUUAUAUUAGAAGUGGAUUAAAUUUUGAUUAAGUAAUUUUAUCGAAUUAGGCAUUAAUUCAAAUAAAGGGGACAAAUCGCAUAAGUGAUAAAAGUGUAAUUUGCUUAUGAUCUAUAAAUAGAAAUCAUGACAGGGAUUUAAAUACUAAUUAUACCUUUAGAUUUCAUUUAGUGGUCGGUUGGGGGAAUUAAAAUAUGUAUGUUUGAUGUUAUAAAACAUUAACUAAAAUGCUAAUAAAAAUAAAAAUAAAAUACAAUAGAAAUUAACAUAGUGGGAGAAGAAAAACAUUUUAUCCAUCUUCAUGCAAGAAUACCGAAUGUGAAGAAAGAAACUCUCCACGCCAUUAAUGAAGGGUUCAAAGCUUUUAAACAAAAAUUGGUUAGUCAAUUUAGUCCACUUUCUUGUAAUUUUUAUAUUUUCAGAAUCCUGGUAGCUCAAGCUAGUUGACCCAUGUCGUAUUUUUUAAUAUUAUUAAUGUAACACCCCAAACUCGGCCUAUACGUUAUGGCUGAAUCUGGCGAUGUCACAUGGAAAGAGUAUGAAGACAAGAUUGUCGAGUUUAAAAACUGUUACAGUAAGUUAACUUUUAUUUAAUUCGAAAAAAAACUAGUUCAUUGCUUUAAAACUUGUCUUUUAACGAAAGCUUUUGUAACCAAUUAAUUUAAGGAAAUCGUUUCUAUUUACGAAAACCUUAGUUUAUAAAAAAAUUGCAUUUUGUUGAGUUGCAGUUACAUAGUCCAAAAGUUACAUAAAAACCCCAAAAUAAGUAAUAAAUUCUAGACAUUAACGAAAAAUAGUCUAAAAUUCACGUGUGGCCACCGUCGAGUCCUCUGCUGCACCGACCCGUCAAGUCUGGGGAUUACCUGUACAAAUUAAACAGAGAAACGGUGAGUUUUUGCAAACUUAGUGUGUAAUUCCUACAGAAAAAAUGCAUAUAGAUAAUCAACCAAAAUUUGUUAGAUACAGUCUGGGGCCUAUGCCCAUCACAGAAUCAGUUUGGGCCUUAGCCUAUUCAGAUACAGUCUCAGAAAUACAUUAGGGACUUGGCCCAUAUCAGAUACAGAAUGCAGAUACAACCAAUCAGAAUCCUACCCACCAGUCUCUGCACACCAUCUCUGUCUAACCCUACACACUAUGUGGGGAUUAAAUCAACCCAUCCAUCCCUACACACCAUGUUGUAUCGAAAUGCGGCACAUAAUCAGAAGGUUGCAGCUGAGCUGCCAGAUAACAGGCUUAAUAGCCUUUCAGACACUUCCUCUAAAUAUCAUCAACCCACCCCGAUACAAUGCAACAUACAAAAUAUGUGAUGCCAUUGCGCAAUUAAUAGUACAUACAUUCAGAUAUCAUAAGUCAUGCUUGGUAUAGAAAUCAGACAGACAGAUCACACAUAUAGGGGUCUAAGUAAAGCUUAAUGAUCCUACAAUAGGUCCAUAGUCGACUUGGGUGACCCGUGCAACCUUAUAGAACUUUUCAGAAAAAUGGGCUCACACGCCCAUAUGGCUCUCUCGGCCCAAAUUGGCCUUGGCCACGUGAUCCAUUUUUAAUGAAACCCUUACUACUUAAUUAUUCAUAUAUAUUUUCACUAUUUACUUAUAUGUUCCUUCAAAGCUGUCUACUUGAGUCACUAUUCCUAAAUUAUUUAUAUCUUGAGCUACAGAAUUUCGAAUUAAGACCCACUUGAUGUAUUUGAAACUAGACUCAAAUAAAUUUCUACCAUAAAAUUUUCAGAAUUUUUGGUUCAGCCAAUAAGUACAGUAAAAUCUUCAAACUUACCCCUGUUUUGCUGUCUGACAGCUUCGUCCCUUCUUUGCUAAAAAUUUAUUAUCUCUUAGUACAAAAUUUGGAUGAUAUUUCCAUUUGUUUCUAUUGAAAAUAAACUUAUUAAUAAUUUAAAAAUGUAAAUUUUAACCCCUAAUUAUUUGUCUCCAAUUUUUGAUGAUUUUCCAAAGUCAAAAUAGGGGAACCCAAAUUAAUUCUGACCUUGUCUCACAAAGUUUAUUAUAUCUCACGAUUUACUAUUCCAUUACUUACACAAAUUCUUCUAUUAGAAACUAGAAUCAAUAGGCUUUAAUUCCAUAUUUUAUUCAUCCUCUAAUUCGAUUUUCACAAUUUAUGGUGAUUUUUCAAAUUUAGCCUACUACUGCUGUCCAAACAACAAGCAAUUUCGGCUUUUCGCCGAAUCUUUUUUUUUUGCGUUUCGGGUACAGAUCUGGUUUUGUUUGAUGCUAAAAUAGUCCCCGAGCACUCCAAAGCCUAUAAUCAAGAUACUCAACAUCAAUUUAAUGGAUUUACAAGCGAAUUGAUAACCAAGAACGAACAGAAACCCAACUUACCAUCAAUAAUAACCCUCCGUUUAACUAUUGUUAAGACGAGAACACCGAAUUCACUAGUCCGAGCCUCCCCCUAUGCCCAAAUCGCAGAGAAAAAACAUUACGAUUUCAGUCGCUAAGAGAUUCAUGAUAGAAACAAAGAGAAACACUUACUGAAACUGAGUGAGCACUAAUUGCGUGCGAAAACGAAGGAAAGUAAAUGGAUUAGGGAAAAUCAAGAAAAAGAAAAAGAAGAGAAAGAUGGAAAAACUCAGAGAAUUUCGGCAAGAGGAGAGGGAGAAGAAUAGAUGGUAGAAUUUUUUUGAAAAAGAGAGUAAAAUUUUGGUUAUGAGAAAAAAUAAAAUAAAAUCCUGAGAACCCCCCAAAUCCCUUAAUCUUCUCCCCUAAUUCCCACUAAACAUCCACUACUCAAAAUCCCCCUAUUACACAACUCUAUCCCAAAAUCUGAAAAAAAAUAAUACCCUUGCCUGUAUAAGGAUUCGAACACAAGACCUAAACCAUAAUAACACACUAUAUAACCACCAGACCAGUAGGCCCAUUCUGAUGUAAUUUACGCAACAAUCAAAUAAAAGCCUACUGAACAAGAGUAAGGCCUAAUUCAUUCAAAAUACCAAAAUUUUUCCAAUCGAAGGCUUGAAUUUGGGACCUCCCAAACACUCCCUGAACUUAUAACCACUAAAGCUGAUAGAUAUUUGUGUCAUAUUUUCACAAUAACGAAAUUAGAAAUUUUGGGGAGUUACAACUCUACCCCCUAAAAGAAAAUUUUUUCCUCGAAAUUUUACCUGAUCAGAGCAGAUGAGGAUAUUGCUGACGCAUCGCAUCCUCAGGCUCCCACGUGGCCUCCUUAGUGUUAUGAUUACGCCAUAGAACCUUCACUAAGGGAAUAGAAUUUUUUUGAAGGACCUUUACAUCACGCUCCAAAAUCUUAACCAGCUCUUCCUCGAAUGUCAAGUCUGGCCUAACCUCAAUCUCCUCAACAGAAAUAACAUGCGUGGGAUUAGAGUGGUAGCGCCUCAACAUCGAGACAUGAAAAACAUCAUGAAUGCAGUCCAACUCCGGAGGUAACUCCAACUGAUAAGCGAUAGGUCCCACACGUUUUAGAAUGCGGUAAGGUCCAAUAAACUGAGGGCUUAGCUUGCCCUUACGACUGAACCUCAGAACCUUUUUCCAUGGCGAGACCUUGAGAAAAGCUAAGUCCCCCCACAGAAUACUCGAUCUCAUGCCUCUUUAAAUCCGCAUACGAUUUCUGCUUAUCAGAAGCCACUUUUAAAUGAUCCCGAAUCAAUCUAACCUUAUCCUCCAGACCAACUCAAGGCCCAAAAAACGUCGCUCGCCUAACUCAGUCCAACAUAAAGGAGUGCGACACUUACGACUGUAGAGUGCCUCGUAAGGUGCCAUCUAGAUGCUAGACUGGAAGCUAUUAUUGUAGACAAACUCCGCUAACGGCAAGUACUCCUCCCAACUGCCUCAAAAAUUAAUAACACAGCUCCUCAACAUGUCCUCCAGUAUUUGAAUCACUCUAUCUGACGGUCCAUCUAUCUGAGGAUGGAAAGAAGUACUAAAGUCUAAUCUUGAACCCUGAGCCUCAUGAAGCUUCUUCCAGAAUCGAGAUGUGAAACAAGAAUUUCGAUCGAAAAUGAUCGAGAUAAGUACCCUAUGCAAUCUCACUAUUUUCGAUAUGUAGAGCUAAGCUAAUUUUUGAAGAGAAAAGUCUAUCCUUACUGGGAUGAAGUGAGCAGACUUGGUCAAUCGAUCCACGAUGACGCAGACAAAAUCCUUCUUAGUGGGUGUUAGAGGCAACUCACUAACAAAGUCAUCGUUACUCGCUCCCAUUUCCAUAACUGUAUCUUAACUGGCUGCAGCAAACCCGAAGGUAACUGAUGCUUAGCCUUAACCUGCUGACAAGUCAAACAGCAAGCAAUGAAGUCGGUAACCUCACGCUUAAAUCCUGGCCGCUAGUAUAAUUUUGAAGAUCUCGGUACAUCUUUUUCCUACCGAGAUGCAUAGUAUAUGGACUACCAUGCGCCUCUCUCAGAAUCGACUGCCUUAAAUCCUCAUCAUUCAGUACACAAAUCUGACCACAGAAACAAAGUACCCCAUCACUGUUUAUCCUAAAAUCAGUACCAUUCUCAACCUGACGAAAACGUAACUUGAGAGACUUAUCCCCCAACUGUUUACCUCGAAUAUGUUCAACCCAUGUCGGUUUGAACUGAAGUUCUGCCAACAGACUUCCAUCGUCGAAUAGGCUAAGUCGAGCUAACAUCGCUCUCAAAUUGGUCAUAGCCCUACGACUCAACGCAUUGGCCACCACAUUGGCCUUACCGGAAUGAUACUCAAUGGUACAAUCAUAAUCCUUAAGCAGCUCAACCCAUCUACACUGCCUAAGAUUUAACUCCUUCUGAGUGAGGAGAUACUUGAGGCUUUUAUGAUUAGUGUAGAUAAUACACUUCUCACUGUACAGAUAAUACCUCUAAAUUUUCAAUGCAAAGACUACGACAGCCAACUCAAAAUUGUGUGUCGGAUAGUUUGCCUCGUGUGUCUUAAUAUGAUGAGACGCAUAUGCAACCACCUUACCAUCCUGCAUCAACACACAUCCCAAACAGACAUGUGAUGCAUCAUUAUAAACCGUGAACUCCUUUCUAGGUUCAGGCUGUACCAAAAUAGGAACCUCAGUCAUUACGGUCUUAAGCUUCUCAAUGCUCUCUUACUGCGCAUUACUCUAGAUAAACGGUACACUCUUACGUAACAGCUUAGUUAAGGGUGCUGCGAUCAGUAAAAAUCCUUCCACAAAUCGUCGGUAAUAACCUACCAGCCCUAAAAAGCUGUGGAUCUCAAACACAUUCUUAGGCUGCUUCCAGUCCAAUACAACCUCAAUUUUUUAAGAAUUGACUUGACUCCCCUCAGUAGACACCACAUGAUGCAGAAAUGUUACUUCAAGUAACCAGAACUCGCAUUUGCUGAACUUAGCAUAAAGCUACUUUUCCCUCAAAAUUUGAAGAACAAUCCUAAGGUGUUCGUCAUGCUUAUCCUCAGUCCUCGAAUAAACCAAUAUGUUAUCGAUGAACACCACUACAAACUGAUCCAGGUAGGGCUAAAACACUCGAUUCAUCAGAUCCAUGAAAGCUACCAGUGCAUUAGUCAGUCCAAAUGGCAUCAUUAGGAACUCGUAGUGACCAUAACGAGUCCUAAACACAGUCUUAUGAACAUCUGCCUCCUUAACCCUUAAUUGAUGAUAUACAGAUCGGAGGUCAAUCUUAGAGAAAACUGAAGCUCCUCAAAACUGGUCAAAUAGAUCAUCUAUCCUAGGUAGGGGGUACUUGUUCUUAAUGGUCAUCUUGUUCAAUUGUCAGUAGUCAAUGCACAUCCGCAUGGAUCUAUCCUUCUUCUUUACAAAUAGUACCGGUGCUCCCUACGGAGACAUACUAGGGCGGAUAAACCUACGAUCCAAUAACUCCUACAUCCGAGCCUUAAGCUCCGCAAGCUCCUUCAGUGCCAUUCGGUAGGGACGAUGGACACUGGAGCUGUACUAGGAAGGUGCCCUAUCCCAAACUCCACUUUACGAUUCGGAGGUAAACCCAGUAGCUCAUCAAGAAAGACGUCCGGAACAUCCUUUACCGUUCUGAUAUCCUUAACUGUAAAGUCUCCAGAAUCUGAAAGACUUACAUAGGCCAAGAAUGCCUCACAUCCCUUACAAACCAACUUCUUCGUCACCAGUGCAGAGAUCACAUUAGAUAAGUAGUUCCAACGUUCUCCAAUCAUGAAUACCUCCAUAUCCUCCUCGGUGAAUUUCGCCUUCUCGACCAGGGCAGAAAGAUCUCACUCCCUGUACGAGGCUAUCAAAACUCUCAAAUUAUCUCUGAGGCCAUCCUUAAAGCGGACACAUCGCUCAUACUCAGAUGCCACCAUACCUUGCGCAGAGCGACUCAGUCUUAGAAACUCGACCUCAUACUCAGCCACUGAUCGAUCCCCUUGUGUAAGAUUCAGAAACUCCCUCCUACAUGCAUCUACAUAACUAACUUUGACAUAUUUCCCCUGGAAGGCGGUCUUAAAGAACUCCCAGGUCAGACAUUCGAGCUGAUUUCCCUCAUUAACAAUCAGCCACCAUUGAUAAGCCUCGUCCCACAGUAGCGAGACUGCACCCUUUAAUUUCUACUUAGGGUUGCAAUCUAGAUCAUCCAUGAUCCUUUCUGUGGCCUCAAUCCAGUACUCAGCCAAAUUAGGGGUGACCCUAGUGACACCCUUAAAUAGCUCAACCCCAUUGGACCAGAGUCAUUCCGUAAUCGACCCUCGACCCUAGAUCUAGUAUUGGGCCCAUCGACUCUCUCUAAUAUCCUCAGCAUAGCCUGGGCCAAGGCAUCGUCCCCGACCAUGCGAUCAUGAGACCCAGUCUCUGUAAUAGGUGAAAUCGGCAUCUUACUCGUACCCAGAGUCGACAUGCUACAUAACGACAAGGGCUUAGCUCGAGCCCCUCUAUGGCCUCUACCUCGGCCUCUAGUACCCCAUCCACGGAUACUUCGUGCACUCAUCGUAGAAUUCGUAGCUUAUCUGUGUUAACAGUUUUUAUGAAUCAGUUACAGUUUCAAUAUCUAUUAGUAGAUAUUUUAUGCAAAACAGUAUCAGAAUUUUAGAGUUUGUUAUCGCGAAUCGCAGUCUUACUACAAUUUUUAGUUUCACUAUUGUUUUCAGUAUACACUAUCUACAGUGUUCUCAGCAUAGUGUACUACCUAUAGUAGUUUUAGAAUAUACUAUCCAUAACAGUUUCAAUUUAAAACAAAUCAUAGUUCAGAAUACUUACAGGAUCGGCUCUGGAGACUAGAUGUACCACUUAGUAAAAACAUUUCAAAUCAUUUGGAAAGCAAUCAAUUUUUCGAAAGCCUAAUUUUUAUAAAACCCAUAAUCCACAGUCGAGUUUUGCAACUUGGCUCUAAUACCACUAAAUGCAGCACCCCAAACUCGACCUAGACGUUAUGGCCAAAUCUGGCGAUGUCAAAUGGAAAGAGAUUUGAAGACAAGAUUGUCGAGUUUAAAAACUGUUACAGUAAGUUAGCUUUUAUUUAAUUUGAAAAAAAACUAGUUGAUUUACUUUAAAACUUGUCUCUUAGCGAAAGCUUUUGUAACCAAGUAAUUUAGGGAAAAUCAUUUCUAUUUACGAAAACCUUAGUUUUUAGAAAAAUCGCAUUUUAUUGAGUUGCAGUUUAAAAAAAUGCAUAAAACAGUAUAAAGUUCAAAAUUUAAAAUCAACCAGUCCAUAGUCCAAAAGUUACAUCAAAAACCCAAAUAAGUAAUAAAUUCUAGACAUUAACGGAAAAUAGUCUAAAACUUACGUGUGGCCACCGUUGAGUCCUCUGUUGCACCGACUCGUCAAGUCUAGGGAUUACCUAUACAGAUUAAACAAAGAAAGGGUGAGUUUUCACAAACUUAGUGUGUAAUCCCCACAGAAAACAUGAAUACAGAUAAUCAACUAAAUUCUGUUAGAUACAGUCUGGGGCCUGUGCCCAUCACAGAAUCAGUUUGGGCCUUAGCCCGUUCAGAUACAGUAUCAGAAAUACAUUAGGGACUUGGCCCAUAUCAAAUACAAUAAGUAGAUACAGCAAAUCAGAAUCCUACCCACCAGUCUCUACACACCAUCUCCGUCUAACCCUACACACCAUGUUGUAUCGAAAUGCGACACAUAAUCAGAAGGUUGUAGUUGAGCUGCUAGAUAACAGGCUGUUAAUAGCCUUUCAGACACUUCCUCCAAAUAUCAUCAACCCACCCCGAUGCAAUGCAACAUACAAAAUAUGUCAUGCCAUUAUGCAAUUAAUAGUACAUACAUUUAGAUAUCAUAAGUCAUGCUCGGUAUAGAAAUCAAACAGAAAGAUCACACCUAUAGGGGUCUAAGUAAAGUUUACCGACCCUACAGUAGGUUCACAGUCGACUUGGGCGACUCGUGCAACCUUACAAAACUUUCAGAAAAAUGGGCUCACAUGCCCAUGUGGCCCACUUAGCCCAAAUUGGCCUUGGCCGCGUGAUCCAUUUUUAAUGUAAGCCGUGCUAGUUAAUUAUUCAUAUAUAUUUUUACUAUUUAGUUAUAUGUUCCUUCAAAGCUGUCUGCUUGAGUCACUGUUGCUAAAUUAUUUAUAUCUUGAGCUAAAGAAUUUCGAAUUAAGAUUUGCUUGAUGUAUCUUAAACUAGAAUAAAACACCUUUCUACCAUAAAAUUUUUAAAAUUUUUGGUUCAGCCAAUAAGUACAGUAAAAUCUUCAAACUUACCCCUGUUCUGCUGUCUGACAGCUUCGUCCCUUCUUUGCUAAAACUUAAUUAUCUCUUAGUAAAAAAUUUGGAUGAUGUUUCCAUUUGUUUCUAUUGAAAAUAGACUUAUUAAUAAUUUAAAUAUGUAAAUUUUAACCCCUAAUUAUUUGUCUCCAGAUGAUUUUCCAAAGUCAGAAUAGGGGAACCGAAAUUCAUUCUGACCUUGUCUCACAAAGUUUAUUAUACCUCACGAUUUACAAUUCUAUUACUUACAUCGUUUCGUCUAUGAGAAACUGGACUCAAUAAGAUUUAAUUUCAUAUUUUAUUCAUCCUCUAAUUCGAUUUUCACAAUUUAUGACAAUUUUUCAAAGUUAGCCUAUUGUUGCUGUCCAAAGAGUAAGCAAUUUCGGCUUUUCGCCGAAUCUUUUUUUUUUUGCGUUUCGGGUACACACCUAGUUUUUUUUAUGCUAAAAUAGUCCCCGAAUACUCCAAUGCCUAUAAUCAAGAUACUCAACAUCAAUUUAACUGAUUUACAAGAGAAUUGACAACCAAGAAUGAAUAGAAACCCAACUUACAUCCAACGAUAACCCUCCGUUUAAGUAUUCUUAAGAAGAGAGCACCGAAUUCACCAGUCUGAGCCUCCCCCUAUGCCUAAAUCACAGAGAAAAAACAUUACCAAUUUAGUCACUAAGAGAUUCAUGACAAAAACGAAGAGAAUCACUUACCGAAACUAAGCAAACACUAAUCGUGUAUGAAAAUGAAAGAAAAUAAAUGGAUUAGGGAAAAAUCAAGAAGAAAAAAAAGAAGAGAAAGAUGGAAAAGAUCAGAGAAUUUCGGCAAGAGGAGAGGGAAAAGAAUAGACGGCAUAAUUUUUUUUGGAAAAGAGAGUCAAAAUUCGGUUAUAGGAAAAUAAAAUCCCGAUAACCCUCAAAAUCCCUUAAUCUUCUCCCUUAAUUCCCACCACACAUUCACUACUCAGAAUACCCCUAUUACACAACUCUAUCCCGAAAUCUGAAAGAAAAGAAUACCCUUGCUUGCAUAGGGAUUCGAACACAAGACCUCCACUAUAAAAACACACCAUAUAACCACCAGACCAACAGACCCAUUUUGAUGUAAUUUACCCAACAAUGAAAUAAAAGCCUACUAAACAAGAGUAAGGCCUAAUUCAUUCAAAAUACCAAAAUUUUCCCAAGCGAAGGCUUGAAUUUGGGACAUUCUAAACACGCCCAGAACUCAUUACCAUUAAAGCUGACAGAUAUUUGUGUCAUAUUUUCACAAUAACGAAAUUAGAAAUUUUUGGGCGUUACAGUUAAAGUUUGUGGAUGUUACCAUUGGUAAAUAGUUAAAUUUUUAGGGACCAAUUUGGUAGAUUUUAAGUUUAGUAUUGAAAGAGAAGUAAAUUGUCAAGUCAAUCAAUAAUUUUGUGCAAUAUCGACUAAAUUCCACAAAUUCUAAAUUUUUUGGUUGAAAUGAGAAAUAGGAAGUUUAAUUAGGCUUAAAGUGAAAUCAGCAUGAAAAUUUGUAAUUAAAUUUGAAAGUUAUGUUAGUCUCGAUUUUAGGGAAAAAAUUGAAUAAAAUGAAAAAGUUGCAUAAUUUAGAAAUUGAAUGUGAAAAUGAUUGAAUAUUGAUGAAAUAUAUUGUUUGUUUUAAUCCAUAGCUAACAUUGACCCAAAUUCCUCGAAAAAGAAAGGAAAAGACAAAGUCUUCAACAAAUAGCUCAGAGUUUACGAUUUGUUUUUCUAUAAUCCGAACUACUUGUGAAUUGUUGCAUAUUGAAUUGUUUUUGUGUGGUAAGAGCAUAAGGUGAGACAAUUUGUGAUAAUGAGAUGUAUUUGGAUUGAUUUCAAUUGAUUGAUGUUUAUGAGGGCUAAAUUGAAUAUAUGUGAAAAAUGUGAAUGUUUAUAUAAAUAUGAAAUUGAAUAUAUGAGAAGAUAUUUGAUGUUGCCAUAUGUUUGAAUAAAUGAAUUCAUGAUAAAAAUUGUUGUGAAUUGAGAGAUUAAAUGAUGAUGAACUGAGUAAUGAAUACCGUAUUAAUUGUUCGGGUAGAGUCAGAUAUAAUUGACAUGACAUAGGAUAGGAAGAGUUUAAGGUUACUUCGACUAAGAGUCGAUGAGGUACUUCGUGCCAAUUUGCUUUAGUAAUGAGACACUGAGUGUCAAACAUAUUGCUACUGUUGGGUGCAACUAUUUGUUUCAUAUUUAUUCGAUGAGGCACUAGGUGCCAAACUAGUGUGCUGGUUGGAACUGUGUAUCCGACCGAAUCCGAAUCGUGUUAAUAAGGAAAUAAAUGAUAAAAAUGAAAUGCUUGUAAUUGGAACAAUAAUUUUGAAUAAGUCUUCAAGAUCCAAGUGAUAGAGAAAUCCAUAAGAGAUUUGAAAAUGGACAUUGAAAUGGCAAAUGGAAAGAAAUGGAAAAGAAAUGUGAAAUGAAAUAUGCAUUGUGUAAUGCAUUAGAACAAUGUUAGAUAAAUUCAUUGUCUUCAUGAAAUUGAACAUGGUAAUGGAAUGUUCUAUCAUGUGACUUGAAAUAUCAAUAAUAUUAAAGUGUUUUUGGUCAUGCUUAAAUAUUGAUAAGUUGUAUUUGUUUUGAUUAAAAAAAUAUGAGAAAUGGUUAGAUGAAACGAUAAAUUGCAUAGAAUCAUUCAUUUUUAAUUUAGGCUAUUAAAAUGUCUUAGGUUCUGCUUUAAUGUUUGGAUGAUAGGAAUACCAAUAAGUUAUACUUAGCAUAAGGUUUUAUUUUCCGUGUGCAUGUUAGGUACUUUACCUUUCGAAUGUCAACCCAGCAUCCAGCGGUAAUCCAGGACUCAAUCGUUUGUGAUGUUUUAAAUUUUGGUCAUGGCAUUUACCUAAAAUGUCAUUUGGGUAUUUAAUGUUUUAUUUUGGGAUUCUUGUGGCAUUUUUAGGAUUAUGUAUAUGUUUAUGUUUAUGUAUAUGUGUGUGAUGGCAAUGGUCAUGAAAAUGACAUCUUGAUGAGUAGUUUGACUAGUAUAUUUACUUGCUUAGAUGGUGACUUGAUUAUGUGCCAAGGAAUAGGUGUAUAAAUGUGAUUUAUAAGUUUAUGUAUGCUUGAAAUGAUUUGGUAAGCUUGAUGUAUAAAUCAUGAGAUUUCUUGAAUGGCUAUUUGAUGCAUGGCUAGUUGAUAGUUGAGGUGCCAUUGAAGGUUUAUUGGAUUGGUAUGUAUGUGGUCUUUUGAUUGGUUUUAAAUUGUUGAUUGAGGUGUCGGUUAUGGCAUAUUGGUUAGGCACUUAGGACAAUUGUAACACCUCAAAUCCAGUCUAAACGUUAUGACCAAAUUUGGCUAUGUCACAUUGUAACACCCCUUACCCAUAUUCGACUCCGAAAUAAGGUACAAGGCAUUACCAGAACACAUACACUUAUAAACAUGUUAAACCGAGUUAUAAAAUUUCAUUCAAAUUUAAACUCUUUAAAUUUUUAACAUGCUUUUAUAAAUCUUCACGUUAUAACUUCAAAAUACUAUAUUUGUAACAAAUACGGCUUCUAAGACCCAAAACAUACUGAUGCAAUUCAAUACUUCAUUUCCAUUUCAUUUAAUUCACGAUUCUCAUGUUCAUGAUUCAAUUCAAAUUCUCAAUCUAAUAUACAUUUCAAUACCACAAUAAUUCAUUUAAUUCAAAUCAUAUCAUUUGGAAUUUCCAUUUAAUUCACGUACAAUUCAAUUUCAUUAAGUUCAAUACUAAUACAUAUUUAUCGUUUAACUUAACUUCCCCUUUUUGCAUCAUUUUACAUUUAAAGCAUGAACCUAGUAUCUAGUACUUAGCUUCCAUUUUACUUACCGACAUUUAUUCAAUUAGAGAACGUCUUACAGAAUUGAGUACUUCGUUUUCUCUAUGCCAUAGUCCAACUAUGGUCUUACACAUAUUUACAUAUUGAUGCCAUAACCCAGCUAUGGUCUUACACAGUAGCAUAUAUCACACCGAUGCCAUAUCCCAGAGAUGGUCUUAUACGAAAAUCACAUAUCACAUGUUGCCAUGGUCCAACCAUGGUCUUUUUCGUCAAUUCAUCACAUAUCACUGAACGAAAGUACUCAUUCCUGCAUUUUACUCAAUUUAAUCUUCUAAUUCAGUUUUCAUACUAUUAUAAUAUUCAUGGUUCAAUAAUAAAGAUAUAAAACAAAACAUCAUAUUACCUCUAAUUUAACAAUUAAAUAUAAGAUUCUAUCAUAUGAACGUACUGGUUUCACUUAUUCAAGCAGAUGUACAUAAACACACAUUCCAUCUAUUUAAGUAAAUUCGCUUACCAUAUUCACUUAAUCAAAUAUGUUGAGCACAUAGCAUCAUAUAAUCACCAAUAUACUUGAAUGAGCUUAUCACAACAUAAACUUUCAUUUCAUUUUUUUUCAACUUAUGAUCAUCUCUUUUCAUACAUAAACACAUACAUAUCACGAAUUUUUAUUCUUACCUUUCCAAAUUCCAACAUAACCUGAGCAUAUUUCAUUUAUGUCAAUAUCAUUUUCAUUAUUAUCGAAAAUAGCUCGAUUGAAAAUCAUCUCUGUCUUAACAAAACAAUUCCGUUAGAGCCCGGAGAUAUCACACCAUCACGAGUCAUAACAUGGCAUGUAUAGUUGGACUCACAUAUGCUACGUUCGGUCUGAGAAUCGACUAAACCGUAGCUCUGAUACCACUAAAUGAACACCCCAGAUUCGGUCUAAAUGUUAUGACCGAAUCUGGAGAUGUUACAUUGUAACACUCCUUACCCGUAUUCGACGCCGGAAUAGGGUACGAGGCAUUACCAGAACACAUACACUUAUAAACAUGUUAAACCGAGUUAUAAAAUUUCAUUCAAAUUUAAACUCUUCAAAUUUUUAAUAUGCUUUUAUAAAUCUUCACGUUAUAACUUCAAAAUACUAUAUUUGUAACAAAUACGGCUUCUGAGACCCAAUACAUACCCAUGCAAUUCAAUACUUCAUUUCCAUUUCAUUUAAUUCACGAUUCUCAUGUCCACGAUUCAAUUCAAUUUCUCAAUGCAAUAUACAUUUCAAUACCACAAUAAUUCAUUUAAUUCAAAUCAUAUCAUUUGGAAUUUCUAUUUAAUUCACGUACAAUUCAAUUUCAUUAAGUUCAAUACUAAUACAUAUUUAUCAUUUAACUUAACUUCCCUUUUUUGCAUCAUUUUACACUUCAAGCAUGAACCUAGUAUUUCAUCUCCUUUCCACUCCCGUUUCCUAUGCAUAUCACACAAGAUAUAAACAUUACACUCAACCAUAGUCGCAAGCUAGUCUUUUUGAAGACUAACCACAUGAUAAACCAUUUUAAUAAAGAUUACAAACUUUAAACCUUACCACCAUUUUAUGAUCACAAGCAUAUUUCCAUCUAGACAUUUACCAUCUCAAUGCAUAAUUUUAUAAAUUUAAUGUGGCGUAAUCCAGCCACAACUUGGCCAAAGCCUAAGCAUACACACCAAACAUGCUAGCCAAAUAAACAUAUAGUAUAAGCAUUAUAAGCAUGGAUAAGCACCACAUUUAUUUAUGUAUCAAACUUAUCAACAUGAGUUAAUUCAUAAACCAUUUCUGACAUUACUACAUACCAAAUCAUAUACCAAGUAUACCACAUACACAUACUAUGAAACUUUAUUUUCUCACAUGAACUUUAACUAUAACUAAUAAUGCACAAUUAUAAACAUCAUUUCUUUUCAAUCGUUUAUCGAUUAUAAUCAACCAUAUGGCCAAUUAUACACAAAUUAUUCAUAUGUUCUUCCAAUUUUCCUCCUCCUCCUCCUCUCCAUUCCACAUCCUUAAUGUGUAUAACACACUUAAACAACAUUAACUAUAAUUUCACUAUUCACUCACAUGUAUAUUCAAAGUUGUCUAUUCGAGUUAGAGUCACUAAAUUAUUUUUACCCAGAGCUACAGAACUCUAAAUUAAGAUCCGUAAAUUUUUCCUAAAACUUGAUUCACAUAUAUUCAUACCAUAAAAUUUUCAGAAUUUUUGGUUUAGCCAAAUAGUACAGUUUAUUCUUUAAAGUUUCUCCUAUUUCACUGCUUGACAGUUCUGACCUCUCUUCACAAAAAAAUAAUUAUCUCAUUGUACAGAAUCCGAAUAUUAUUUCCAUUUGUUUCUUUUGAAAAUAGAUUCACUCAGAAUUCUAAACAUAUAAAAUUAUCCAUAAUUAUUUUUUUACAAUUUUUUACAAUUUUCCAACGUCAGAACAGGGGAUUCCAAACCCAUUCUGCCUCUAUCUAACUAAAAUUCAAAUAUCUUAAAAUAUAUAACUCUUUUGCUUGCUCUGUUUAUUUUAUGUGAAAAUAGACUCAUUUAGCUUCAAUUUCAUAUAUUAUUCAUUCUCUAAUUCAAUCUCCACAAUUUUUGGUUAUUUUUCAAAAUCACACAACUAUUGUUGUCUAAACUGUUUUAUUGCUAAAUGUACUAUUUCAUAAUUUCACUUUUUCACUUUCAAUCGCAAUUCAAUUCAAAAUUCACUUUUCUAUUUCUAAGUCGAUAUUCAAUUCAAUUCCACACCUAUAUUAAUUAUUCAAUUACACUUAGUCAAUUUCCCGAUGAACACUUCGGAAUAAUAACAGAUACUCUGUGGAUUCAGCACAUAACAACCACCUUACUAAUUAAUGAUGUUCGGUUCACAUAGUAGCCUGCACAUAGUACUAUACAUGUGACCAUUACCAUUCGUUACACGUAGUAGCCUGCACAUAGUACUACACACGUGAUCGAAACUAUCCGGUACGCAUAGUAGCUUGCACAUAGUACUACACAUGCGACCUAUCAUUCCGGUACAUGUAGCGGCCUGCACAUAGUACUACACACGUGACCAUCACUUUCACUUUUACAUAGUGGCCUACACACAAUCCGUGCCACACAUGUGAUCAUUCCUGUCACUUCAUUCGUAUCCCUUUUUAUUUAAAAGAUUCAUUCGGGAAUUUUUCACUUUUUCUCACUUUUCUUUUUAUCGAUCAAUUUCAAUUUAUCGUCUUUCUUGAUUUAUAACAAUACAUUUAACUUAUAUAACAUUAACACUAUUCAUUCUAGUCCAGAAAUCAUACUUUGGAAAAAGUACAUUUUUACCCUAAAGUUUCACAAAAUUAUGAUUUUGCCCCUAGGCUCGUAAAAUAAUUUUUUAUUCAAUUUCCUUGCAUUUUAGGCCUAGCUGAACCAUUUUCACAACUAUAGCAGUCCACAAUACUCGCUUAUUCACACACUUGUGACAUAUUUUAUAACUUUUAUAAAUUAAUCCUUUUAGGCAUUUUCAUCGAAAAUUACUUAGUACAAAUCGUUUAACACACUUCAAACAUUUAUAUUCAUCCAUAAAACAUCAAAAUACAUGCAUAUCAUUCAUGGGUAAAUUUUUAAACACAAACCCCAGUUCAAAACAAUGGUAAAAAUAGGUAAAUCUUGUUACGAGGAUUUCAAAAGCGUAAAAAUCAUUAAAAACAGAGAUAGAACGGACUUACAAUCAAGCUUGAAAGCUUGAAAAACCCUAGCCAUGGUUUCUCCAUGCAAUUUUCGGCCUAGGUGUUGAAGAUGGACAAAAAUUGGCUUUUAAUUUUGUUUUUAAUAAUUAAAUAACCAAAAUGCCCUUAAUGAAAAACUUUGGAAACAUGCCUAACCAUACCCAUUUUUUUCCACCAACUUAACAAAUGGUGUAAUUACCAUAUAAAGACCUCCAAUUUAAAAUUUCAUAAGAAUUGAACACCUCUAACAUAUAGAACUCAACUUUUGCACUUUUUACAAUUUAGUCCUUUUGACUAAAUUGAGUGCCCAAACGUCAAAAUUUUUGAACGAAAUUUUCACAAAAUCAUUUUAUGAAAUCGUUGACCAUAAAAAUAUAAUGAAAAUAAAUUUUUUUCUCAUCAAAUUUGUGGUCCCGAAACCACUAUUCUGACUAGCCCCAAAUUCGGGCUGUUACAAUAAUUGUUGUAAGUGAUGUUUUGGCAUGAUUUUGAUGCUUUUGGAAUUGAUAUAUUUGGUUUCUUGUGGUAUAAGUUAGGGUUAUAAAGCUUGCAUUGAAUGGUAUUACCAGGUGCACACGGCUUGACACACAGCCGUAUGCCAUAGAAGGGUUUAUGGCACGGUCGUGUAGUUUGUAAAUUUUAGGUGAUUUUUGGUUCACACGGCCACAGUCUGUUCGCUGCUCAGUAACACAACAGUAUGAAAAAAUUUUGAAUAUUUACACUUUUGACCUACACAGUAUCAUUGAGUUACAUAGUCUGUUUGCAUGGCCAUGUGACUCCAAAACUAAACGGCAUCAAGCUGUUACACGGUUUGCCUAUACAUCCAUUUGAUCCACCCCACACGACCUCAGCCUUCCACACGGUCAAGGGAUACGGCCAUGUGACCCCUAUUUGCAGAUUUUUCCUAUCUUUUUAUUUUUAUAUCAAAAUGAUCCUUGUUUGAUACCGAGUUAGUUUUAAGCUUUUGUAAGCUCAAUAUAAACCAGGAAUUAAUUGAAUUACAUGUUAUACUUGAUAAUUUAUGAUGUAAUGAUAUUAAAUUGAGAUUUUUGAUUUAUAAAUUGUAUUGUAUUUGUUUGUAACACCCUAUUACUUAAGUUCGACGACCGGGCCAGGUAAGGGGUGUUACAUCCCAGUCCUUUUUGAGUUAGCUCCGAAUCGAUUGAACCAACGCAUUAGUAGCUAUUCCAUAUGUUUCUUUGGUAAUCGUAUUAAUAUAUUCUAAACCAUUUCUCUUUAGAAUAACCUGUUGUGCAUCAAUUUCCCGAGCUAUCUUCAAUUUGUCCCUAAUAUUCCUUACAAAGCCUCGUAUCUAAUCCCCACGAUCAUUCCUUACAACUCUACCUGAAUUGGCCCUAUUAUUUGUUCUAUCCACAACACCAUCUGAGUUGACCUUGAUCUAGCCUAACAAUGGUGGAAUCUAUUUAACUACUCUCAAGUGUUGAUCUCUUGCUUACAUAGCCUUUAUUUGGUUCAAUCACAUGAAUCGACAAACUUCCUUGCACAUUCUCUUGUUUUUCUCCAACAUGCCUUCAACCUUUAUAAACUCGAGAUUGAAGAUCAAUUUGUUACACCUAUUCCUAAUACACCUCAACUUUCAUAUCCUAAUCAUCACUAUCUCUUGCAAAAUAACUUGGAUUAAAGAGGUUAGUAACCAACCAAUCUUAAUCCAAUCAUCAGAAACUCAUCAAGUUGAUCCGCUCUCACUAGUCUUUCCCAAAUAGCCAGAGCCUCAAAACAUCAACAAAGAACAUGAACCACAUAUUCGUUAAAAUCUUUGGUAGAUUGGGAAAUUUGCCUCCCAUGUGAGGUGUCUUCUAAUUCUUUUAUCAUUCGUCAGAAGUUUACCAUUAAAACUUAACCAAAGGAAACCUUGACUCUUUGAGUGCCACGAAACUGGUAGAUCAAUCUCCAUCGAUUAACUCUUUGAGUGCCACGAAACUAGCAGAUUAAUCUCCAUCGAUUAUCAAUAUUGAUAUUGUAACACCCCACACUCGAUCCUAUCGCUAGAUCCGAAUUUGUGAUGUCACAUUUCGUUGCCAAAGCAACUUAGGAUAACUUAAUAUAUAUAGACUCAUGACAUUUAGUUCAUAAAUAUCAUUCAUACCAAUUCAAUCAUCCAUUAUAAUCACACAUAUACAAUCAUAAUACCCAAUAUGUUAAUUCUUCAAGUCAUGCAGUUAUGCCAAGUUAAUUUAAGAGUUAGGACUCGAGUCCAAACCUAAUUAUCAAAUUUUAUAAUUAUGUCUUGUGACAAAUUUCAUUUUAUUUUUAGAAAUUUAGUUUUGAUGAUGACAUAUCUUGAGACAUUAGAAUUUAUGACUUGAGACAAGGUUUCUUAUGUCUCGAGACAGGCCUUCCUUGUUUCUUUAAUUUAACUUUGAUGUUUGGAUGUCUCGAGAUAAGGGGUUCUUGUUUAAAGACCUGAAGUAGGACAAAAUGAAUUUAGCGUCGAUGUACCAUUGUCAUGAGAGAAAGACCACUUUGUCUUAAGACAUAAGUCAAGUUGUCUUGAGACCUAACAGGUCGAUCUCGAGACCAAGUCUAAUACAACAUCGCAAUUAGUAAAAUUUAUCUUCAGGGUCUCGAGACAUGCUCUUCUUGUCUCGAGACUAAAUGGUAAAACUACCUAAAAUGCACAUUUUAUAACAAUCAAAUGUGUUCCAUUACAAGUCUAACCUAUACCAAUAUGGAAUCACAUUGACAUACACCUUCUCGACAUGUUAAAACAUAUCCAAACUAUUCACAAACAUGACAUCCAAUGCAUCAUCACUUAGCCUAUUUGAAUAAGUUAACAAACAUGCAAAAACAUGAAUAUAAGCACCCCAAUUAGGUAACCAAACUUAACUUUAGGAACCUUAAAGGUCCAUCAAAUACCAAAAUGUACCAAAAUAGUUGAAAUAGCAUAUAAUCAUACAACUCAAUCUAGAUACAUGUCGUUAACCAAUUAAAGAUGAAAAAAGCACAAACUUGGUCUGAGCUGAGCUGUUGUGUCUUAGAUGCUUCAUGACUCCCUUAUUCUAUCAACAACCUAUAUUUGACCUACACAUGGAAACAAUAAAUCUGCACGCUGAGUAUUGAAUACCCAGUGGUGCUAAUGUAAUUCAAAUUCAAUACAAUAAAAUUAACUUAAAGCAAACAUACAAAUAUAUAACAUUAGCUUCAUUACGUUACUUUAUCUUUACUCAUCACAAAAUUAAUAGUCCCUGAAUUUUCUCAUUCAAUUUUUUUUCGAUAUUUCAUAAUUUAGUAUGAUAAUGUAAUUAAUAUUUCAACAUGUCAUCCACUACCAUUUUUAAUAAUUACUCAAUUUGGCCCCUAUUAAUUGACGAAAGACAUUAGGACAUAUACUUGAAUCUAUAUAUAAUGAGUAAGCCCAAGACCCUCUGGGAAUUGUGACUACUCAAUCUGAAUAUCAAUAUAUGUCCAUGAACUUUUGAGAAUUGGGACUGCCCACAACCCUCUAAGAAUUGGGGCUACUCACGACCUUCUAGUAAGUGAAGCUAAUAAAUCUCUGAUAUCAAUGACCCUAUGACUUGCCAAAUAUACAUAAACUACGUCUAGCAUUGUUUGAUGGGGCAUUAUCAUCAUUAAUGUUGGAUUCAACAUUUCUAAUAUUGAAUGCAUUUCAAUAUCAUAUUAUAAAAAUAUGUAUUCAUAAAUGAUGUCACAAUUUAUAUCUCAAUUACAUUAUAUCAUACUAAUCAUUUCUAUUCGCAUAUAAUCAAAUAACACCAUAUUAUUGUACUCUAGGUCUCAAUCUCAUAUAGACACGUUACCAUAUCAACAUCUCAUAGAAUUUCAAGUAGAAAUAUAUUUACCUUGUCAUGUUUCCCACAUUUGUUCACAGGAAGCAAGUUAUUCAAUUAAAGCAUGUAAUAAAAAUUAAAUAUAUAAGCACAAAUCUCAAUGGCUAUUUGAUGUUUUCUUUUUCCUUUUCCUUCACUUUUGUCGUUCUGGUAUUGUCCUUAACUACGUUCGAUAAUAUAAAUACAAAAGCGUUGCUACUUAUACAAUUCAACGCAAAGAUAAAAAAAUCAAACAUGGAUGCAUUUAAUUUAAUUUAGUCCCUUAAGAUCCUAAUUAAUACUCAUAUCUUUCGAUAUUUAGUAUCGGAUUAAAAACUAAUUUUAUAUUUACUCACUAGAUACCUCUAGCUUCCAAACCAUGACAUAAUUUUCUAACAACUUUCAUUCUAUUCAAUUUAGUCUAUAUUAUCAUAAAACUAACUAUAAACUUAUCUCAAAUUUCAACUUAAUUCAACAUUUUCCACAACUUUCUAACAUAAUCCUAUCCUUAUCUAAGCUUACCAUUUAACAAUUCUCAACAUUCAAACUUUAAUUUCACCAAGAAUUCAUUAAUGGCAACCUAGAUUAAACUUGAUGAUUAGAAACUUUAAUACAUGGGCUGAACAUGAGCUUCCAUAAUAAAAUAUUCAUCGAAAUUUCAAUUAAAAACCAUGCUUAAGUUGAUGAAUUUUGGACGUAGUGGAUGAAGACUUGCAAAAUUUUUCCUUUAAGUUUUCGUUAACAUGGAAUGCUAAAGAAGAAGAAGAUGGGAAAUUGGUUUCUCUCUCCCACUCACAUGACUUUUAUACAUAUAAUUAGAGAAUUAAUUAAUUAAUUAGCCUUGAUUAAUAAGAAUGAAUGAAUAAGAUUUCAUAAUACAAAACUUAGUGGAAUUUAAUGGCAAGGGUUGGACUUAGCCACUAAGAUACUUUCAGUAUGGGUAAAUUGCAUCUAAGACGACAUUGUUUGAUUUGCCAUAUAAAUUCUCUUGCAUUUCCUAAAUUAAAACGUAACAACGAUUGCACUUUUAUGACUUUCUUGGUUUGAUAACUCUAUAAUUGAAUAAUAUAUUUUUGAACUAAAUACGUAGAAUUUCCUAUUCAUAAUUUCAAUGACUAAAUUCAUGAGAUUCGAUUUCUAAACUGACCAUCGAUCAAUUUUCCAACGUGAUAAGGAAUAGUUGCAAAAUAAUAAAUUUUGGACUCAAAAUAGUCCUUUGCCUUUUUUGGCAAAGGUUGUUGUUGGGGUGCUUGCUAUUCACUUGGCCUUUCUUAGGAUCAUGUCUUUCACUCGAUUGUAAAGACAUGAUGUUGGAAUUUCAAUACUAAGGAAGAAUGAAUUGUAGAGAAAAAAUGAGAAAGUUUAGCAACAAAAUUGUCUACUAAGGUUUUUAUUAUUUUCACUCAUAUAUUUUUAAUAAUGUAACAAGAGUAUGUAUAAAAAGAAAAAUCAUUAAAUAUAGAAAGAAAUAACUUAAGAUUUUAUGCUAAUAAAUGCUAAAUAUAUUAUACUAAUAAAUACUAAAUCGUCUAGAAAGAAAAUAUAAUCUAUAAACGUAACUUGCAAGCAAGCUCUUCAAAUACUAUUCAUAUUCUUAGUUCACCAAAGUAAUGAACUCGCCAAUCUUGAUGGGUUUGCCAAGUGUGUUCGCUGCAUGAAUGCUCAUCUCCUAACACUCCUCCUUGGUAUUUAUGCUACGAACACUAAUUUUAUCCCUUAAGUCUUUAAACCUCAUCUUUCCAAGUGGUUUGGUUAGAAUGUCUGCAAGUUUGCAUUUUUCCUUGUUCGCAAGCUUGUACUUUGAUGAGCUUGCAUUCUUGUGGCCUUGCACUUUUACUGCACGUACUUCAUUCAGCUUAUAGCUUGUACAUUUCAUAGCUCACACAUUUUUCAACUCGCACUUUUUAUGAUUUCACAACUUGCAUUUUGGGGAGCUCAAAAGCUUACACUUCAUCCUACUUCUUGCUACUGCAUGAGUGGCCAAUUUGUAACACUCUUUUUUUACCAUCUUACAAAAAAAUCCAAUGUUGUUUUCUCAUGUAACUUUUAAAAAAUUUACAGGCUCUAAUACUGCUAAGUCACAUCUAUGAUAAGUUUCAACAAUAGGCCUGAUACUUUUAACAAGAAGAUCAUUAAAUUCUUAAUCUUCAUCUUUAUCUACAAAUUUAGUCAUCUUCUCAAUCGAUUUUGACUUGCACACUUGAAUAAAGGAAUUAUAGUUCAGAUGUCCCUAUCUUUUGCGCAAAAUAUAUGACUCAUCCAAUGAACUGGUAUAGGCUCUUGAAGCCUCAAAGUUUCAAUCCAGCACAAAGCUUUUAUUAUUCAUUGAGAUUGUGACCACUUCUUGUCCCAGUGAAUCACAUAUAGUGCAACAUUUAUCUUUGAAAACAAUAGUGUAAUUCUUCUCCACCAAUUAACCAAUGCUAAGGAUAUUAUGAUUUAUUUUAGGAACUAAAAGCACAUCUGUAAAUACUUUAGUACCUGUUGGAGUGUUGAUAAACUCAUUCCCUUUUUCCUUAGCUUUAAUAAGCUGCCCAUUUCAAAUUCUAAAUUUUGAAAUACAACUUUUGUCAAUUUUCUUGAAGAUGCUUUCAUCUGAAGUCAUGUGGUUUGUACAUCCACUAUUAAUAAGCCAAUUCUUUAUAUUUUUGGUAAAGGUUUCGCAUGGUGCAAUGAGUUGUACUUCACAAGAAGGCACAGAAGUUUUCACAAACUGGGCUACGUAUGGGGUUUGCAGGAUUUUUGCGAACUGGGCUUUGCAUGAUGCUAUGAAGAUGAAUUCUUUUUGACUUGCCCCAGUAAUUUGAGCAUGAGUGUUUUGUUGUUGUGUGUGCCCCUUAUUCUUGCACACCCUCUCUAUAUGACCAAAUUCUUUACAACUUCUGCAUUGAAUAUCUGGCAUGAACCAGCAAUACCUCUCUUAGUGAUUUGUCUUUUUGCAGCAAGAGCAUGAUGGGUUUUCUUCCUUACCACCAUCUCUCCAUCUAUCCUCUUUCUUUUCUGUCGAACCUUUCUUACCCUUAUGUUUCUGAGGGUUCGCAUCAUCAAUACUCAGGGCUUACAGUGUUUGUUCUUCCGUGUGCUCCCAAUACCUUGUUACUCUUCUUUGCUCUUGAGCAUAUAAGGCAUUUAUCUACUCUGAAAGAGAGAUCACCAAGAGUUCCCUUAAGUUUUUGAGUGAGGAAAUCUUAGAUUCAUACAUUUCAAGAAGUGUUGUUAUGACCUUCUUAACGACCCUACUAUCUGCGAACUCUUCCCCAAAUAACCUGAUGUUAUUUACUAUUGCUAUAAUCUUGUCUAUGUACUGCUUCACUGUUUCAGCCUCGUUCAUCUUCAAAUUGUCAAAAUUUCUCUUGAGAUUAAUGAGUUAUUGUUAUUUUCUAGUCUUAUCCGAAACUUGAAACUCCUCAUUUAGCUUAUCCCAAGCUUCUUUUGGAGUCUCGCAGGCCAUAAUACGUGUGAAUAUGAUAUCUGAGACACCAUUCUAUAUAUAGGACAUUACCUUAUAUCUUUUAGCUCGUUAGUCACCGUGAUUCUUGAUUUGAGUGAAUGUAGCGUUGUCCCUCAAUGGGGCGAGCUCAAUGUAAAUGUUCACAACCUCCCACAAGUCAUAAGCUUGUAAAUAGGUCUACAUCUUAACAACCCAUAUAUGAUAAUUUUUGAUGUCGAAAACAAACGGUGAAGGUGGUAAAAAACUCAUAGAAGCCAUUUAUAAGACAAGAAGAACAAUAAUAACCAUUAAGAAGAUAACUCUGAUACCAAUUGUUGGAAUUUUUAUACUAAGGAAGAAAGAAUUGCAGAGAAGAAACGAGAAAAUUUAGCCAAAAAAUUGUCUGCUAAGGUUUUUAUUAUUUUUACUCAUAUAUUUUGAAUAAUGUAACAAGAGUAUGUAUAACAAGAAAAAUUUCUAAAUAUGGAAAGAAAUAAAUUAAGAUUUUAUGCUAAUAAAUACUAAAAAUAUUUUACUAAUAAAUACUAAAUCUUCUAGAAAAUAUAAUAUGUAAACAUAACUUGCAAGAAAGCUCUUCAAAUCCUGUACAUAUUCUUAGUUCGCCAAAGUAAUGAGCUCGCCACUUUCUGUGAGCUCGCCAAUCUUGAUGGGUUCGCCAAGUUUGUUCGUUGUAUGAAUGGUCAUCUCCCAACACAUGUCCAUUUUUUGUGCAAAUGAUGACAUUUUUUUGGUAAGUGUUUAAUUACUGAUGUUUUGUGUAAUCUUUACCAAGAUUCCACACAUGUAUUGUUUCAUGUUUCACAACUACAACUCAAUUAUUUCGAAAGCAAUGGCAUUUGUGAAAAGGAUUCAUCUCAUCAAGGGGCCCCGUUUCCUUGAUGGUUGCCUGCCAAUGUAAUGGCUUGCUUUAGUGGCUUUUGACCAUUACUACGACUUUGAAUCUUCCUUAUCUCCCCUCUUAUGUUCGAUGAUGGAGGCCUAAUUCAAGUGUGAAAACUUUUUGGGCUACACUUGAGCUUCAGGUUUAUCAACUUUUAGGGCAUUAUUUUGUGUUAGUUGAAGCUUUGGCUAUCUUGUUUAAACUAUUUAGCGAUAUCAAGAAAUCUAAAUUUCACGAAUUUUGACAUGGAUCAAUUUAUUCGAGUCAAAUCAUUUUUGAAAAUCGGGUUCGCAGUGUGUUAGGAAGGUGAAAUUAUAAAAUUAGUCGGGUUGGAAUCGGUUUGAGGUAAAUCCAUUCCGUUCUUCCUUACAAUAUUUACCAAAAUUCCCUUAAUAUAUAAAAAUAUGUAUAUGCAUAUAUAUAUAUUAAGUUUUUCCUUUUAAUAAAUAAGUGUGUAAAUAAAUGUUAAGUUUUGAGUCUAAACUAAAAAAAAAUCUUAUUUGCUUCAGAAUAAAAUAUAAAUCAAUUAUAUUAAGUUCAGAUCAUGUUGAUGUCGUGUCUCCUAUUAAAUUUUACGUUCGGAAUGGAUUUACUUUUCUUAAGAGUCGGGGCCAGGUGGGGCAGAUUAGUCAAUCUUCAAGUUGAGCAAAUAUCUAAACUAAAAAAAACAAUUUUAUUUACUUAAAAAUAAAAAAUAAAACAAGUAAAUUAAGUUCAGAUCAUGUCGAAGUCGGGUCUCCUAUUAAAUUUUGAUUUCAGGAUGGAUUUAUUUUUCUUAAGAGUAGGGAUCAUUUGGGGAGGAUUAGUCAAGCUUCGAGUCGAGCAAAAAUCCACUCUAUCCUGUUCCACCCCAUCCCUAGAACUAUAGCUCUUAUUUACUUGUAUGAGCUUGGCUCUUUUGCCUCUAAAGUUUUUCAUAUAUGGAAGUAUCUAUAACACCCCAAACCCGGCCUAGACGUUAUGGUCGAAUCUGGCAUGUCACAUUGAAGUGUUGUUUGCGAAUUUGUCUGUUGGAAAAAAAUGUUUCUAAGCUUAAAACCUCUUUGGUAUUAUUUAACAAUCAUCUAGUUAAAAUGUUUGCCUUAUUAUCUACUACUAUUAUAAUAGUUGUUUUCAAAACGCGGAAGCAUUUGAAAACUCCAAUCGUUUAAAGUUCGUGACUUUGAAAACAAUUAUUAUUUUGAAAACUCGUCUUCCCUAAACUAGUAAUUUAAAGUAAAUAAGAAAAAGCCCAAUUAAAAACUUAAACAAACUUAAAAGGCCCUUAUUACAUGAACAAAUCCAACACAAACUUUAAAUUUAACUAAAAGCUCUAGGGUAGAGCAUCAGCGUUUGUGUGGCCACCUCCGAGUCUCUCACGGCUCCAAAUCACCUAAGUCUGGGGAUUACCUGCACAGUUAGAUAGAAGGGUGAGUUUGCAAAAACUCAGUGUCUAAUCCCUUAUAAUACAAACAGUCAGAUAUACGGUAUGCAGAAACAGACUAGGCCUGAGCCCAUUAACAGAACCAAACGGACCUAAGCCCAUUACAAAAUCAAUAUCAGAUGCAUAUAUGCAGACAGAAAUCCAGCCCAAUCCAACCAGUACACCACCCAUACCAACCAACACACCAUGUGGGUAUAAAAUCGACCCACCCAGUCAACACACCAAGCUUAGCAUCGGUUGCAGCACUAAGUCUACAGAAUGGCUCGACACUGUAGACAAAAUGGUUAAAAGCAAUAAGUACUGCAACAACGCUGCCAAUUAACAGAACGGCUAAAAGCCAUAAGCAGAAAGGAGUAAGCCUUGAACAGAACGGCUACAAGCCAUACACUUCCUCCGUCAAUAUUAACCCAACCCCAUGUAGGAUGACAUGCCAUAGUAACAUACGUGAAUGCAGGAUGUCAUGCUCAGUAUCAGUUGUAUAAAUUUCAUACAUACAUCAGUCAACCUACCACUAGGAGUGUAACGGUCAUUUCGUCAGUUAGGGGUAAAACGGUAAUUUUACCCCAGGGGUAUUUUGGUCAUUUUACCCUUCGAGGGUAUUUAAGUCAUUUAACAACCUUUUCGAAGGCCUACAAUCACCUUGAGCGACACAUAUAACCUAAAUGGUCAUAAUAGUGUAAAUGGGCCCAAGGCCCAUAUUCAGCCCAAGUGGGCCCACACGCUCAUGUGGCCCAUUUAGCCCAAAUUCAGUCACGACUAUGCGAACUAGAUAGCCCAGUCCAGAAUUUGCCACUUAACAAGGAUUUUAUCCGUGUAGGGCCUACGAGCCCUUUGGGUCCACACAACCCAUUUCAGCCCAACGUGGCCUAUAACGACCCAAGAGCACGAGAACGCUCGUGGUGGCCUCUACGGUCUAACACCAUGUUUUGUGGGCUCAGUUCACCACAUGAGCGUUCGCACGCCCAUGUGGCCUCAAUUGCCAUAUUUCCACCUUUUUAGCUUUUCGACUUUUACCUAUUCACAGAAGAGACAAUGUGAUUACACACACUCUUUCGGCUUUACGACAAUAAUGAUUUACGGUGUACAGAUACACACCUGACUGCAAAAUCGAGUGAACAGUUUGCUGCCAAGGCCUACAUUCAUUCAAGGUAUACCGUCAGUUUUCCCAACAUUAACGUUCACAAUACUUAAACCCAAAUCGUCUCUCACUACUCACUUUGAACGAAUGAAAAUUGCUUAAUGCCCUUGGAUCGCAAAAUAAGAAUUGAUCACACGACCUCACCGAUUAUUUUCCUAAACAAUGAAACCUAUAAGACUGGGUUGUUUACAAAAAAUAAGACUUAAGGCCCCAACAUUAAAACGCAGCACCAUCGACGAACAAACCAACUUACCCCCUUCAAAUAUACAAUUGAAAAACGAAAGAAGAAUCUUGAAUGUCUCAGCACUCCUGAGGAACCCUCCUAAAUCGCGAUGAGUGCAGUACGUGAGAAAAGAAAUAACAAUCGGUCAGUAAGGUAAUUCAAAUUUGAGAAAGAAAAGCAGAGAAUAGCUUUUGAUCACUUACCGAUAGUCAGAACCUUUGUAGUAGAUCGACGUAGAGAAAGAUUAACAACAGUGAUAUUCGACCAGCCCAAAAUAGAAGGUGAACAGAAGUUAAAAGAAGAGAAAAGGAAGGUUCGACUAGGCUAUGAAAGAAUCCGAUUACAAAAGAAAAGAGGUAAGGAAAAAUAGAUGUUAGGUUCAGCCAAGAAGAGAAAAAGAGCAUAGCAAAGAUGCAGAGAAGGAAUAACACGAAUGGUCAGUUUCGUAGCAUAAAAAGAACUAGAGGGAACUCGACAAAAAGAUGCACGACUGGUUAGUUUUAGUUCUGGAACUGGAAAAAAAGAAGUUAGAGAGGAAAUUCGGCACCUAUACACUUACCAAUUGCCGAAAUGCACCAAAUGAAUUCCCAUAGCCAAAUUUGCACAUAGAAGUUGCACAAUUCGGCUACAACACUCCUCCUCUCCUCCAAAUCCCUUGAAAAUCUCCUCAAAUCUCUCCCCCUAUCCUCCUUGAUAUCCUCCAUAACAACAUAAAUAUCCUUAUUGCUUGCAAUGAGAUUCAAACCCAAGCUCUUGCAUUAGCCAAUUCACACCACUUGCCUCAUUGCCACAAUCUCUUUUUGUGUCAUAUUUUGUCUUCAAUUAAUUAAAAGGUCUAAAAGCCAAAGUCUAGGUUCCUUUAAAAGAAAAACCAAAUUAAAUUACAAGAGCCAAGACUUAAACCCAAGCUCCCUUAUAACCAUAAUGACGCCAUAGCCACUAGACCACAAGCUUCGUUAUGACAUUUUUUUAACACAAUAAUUUAAAAGGCCUACAUCCAAGCAUCCAGGGUUUUAUCCACUUAAAACCAAAAUUUUUGCUAAAGCCCAGGUUUGAACCCAGGACUUCUCAGACACUUCCAAACACUCUUAAAUCACUUAACCACUGAAGCAGACAUUCAUUUAUGCAUAGUUUCCUAACCGUUCCCUUGCUCAAGGCCCAAUACUUCUAGGCCCAAAUUUCUGGGAGUUAUAGUAUCAUUGUCAAAGGAAAGCUUUCCUUUCCUUUUAUUAUUAUUAUUAUUAUUAUUAUUAUUAUUAUAGAUUUAACCUUGGUUUUAAAUAAAUAAAUAAAAAACUCUUUCAAAUUCAAUGAAAGGGCAAAGCCAAAAAUGAAGAUGAAAAAGAUUAGAGGUAUCAUCCAAUUUAUUAAUUUCUUUACUUUAACAAGGAUGAUUUUAAUCAUCUGAUUCGUUUCGCUAUUAAAUAAAUAUAUAAAAUUUGUUACUCAACUAUGACAUUCGUAUAAUUACAAGUAAUUAUAUUCAAAUUUAAUUAUUAUGUGGUUUUUCAAAUCUGCCCAAAUAAUACCUCAUUAAACUAGAACUUCAUAAGUCCAUAAUAAUUAAAGUUACAGGGAAAUGUUGGAGGUGGUAACUAUCAAUAGAAGAUGCAAUUCAUCUAGGAUUAAGGUAGGGAAAUUGGGACUCCAAAUCUACAGCAGAACAGAGCCUUCCAUCAUCGUAACAACUUUUCCUCCCAGAAGCACUCUAUGAUUCUAGUAAUCUAAAUGGAUCUUUACUAUUCCUCCUCUAGAUGAUGCCUGUGCAAAGCAAGCAACACAAUCAACGUCAUAAUGACAAUGGUUUCGUUGGAUGAUUCAAAGGAAAAGUAAUGGAAGAGAUACCGCAGGCACAACAAAAUCGAACUUCCUCAACUUUUGGCUCCAAUAAAGUUCCAAGGCACAAUGUACACUUCCACAAAUUGGAUCCUGAUAGAUAUGAGAAAGAGAUAUUAGCACAUUUGCAUAAUGAUCCAACGAUGACCAGUGAAAGAGAAUCAUGUUCCAGGCAAGCUAUAUAUGCAUGUAUCCCAAUGUUCAUAAUGCUUCUAUAAGAAAAAAUUCAUCAGCACUUCACUAGCUAUCGACUAAUUUUUUGCAAGUAAUCAUCUUCACCUCAUCAGCUACACUAGACAAACUUGAUAAUUAACGUCAAAAGUUUAUUCCGGGGAAAUAAUUGUGAUACAUUUCAUCACCAUAUUCAAAGGGCAUGGAACAUAAGUUAAGCAAAAACUAUCUGCCUAGAUGAAAUAAAAAGGUUGGAUACUACGACUCACCAUAUUAAAACCACUUUUAGGAUAGAAGUGUUGGUACGUGGGGAUAAAAAUAAACAUGUGAAAAAUUAAUGAAGGCUUUAAGGCAUGUAUCAAUGCCACUUUCUUUAAGGUUCUAUUCGCCCCACCUAUAUUAUGGUGUGAGAAAGAGUUACGGGCAAAUAAACAUUGAGGAUACAAUGAAGCCCAAAGACUGUCUACAUUUUGCACCGACAAAAAUAGUCCAUUGAGCAUUGAGCGAAGUACAAUAAGGAUAUCAAUUUUUAUAAAGAAUUUUUUUAGUAUUUUUUUAUAGAACAAUCUAGGAAUAUAAAAUAUGGUGAGAGAUCAGAAAGAAACUUUUUUUUUAUGUUUUAGGGUUGUCAUGCAAAUGAAACUUCACUCUUAUUUAUAGGAGACCUCAUGUAUCUUCAUAGGGACAUAACUACCCUAAUGGAUAGUCAUAUAUUCAAUAAACGUUAUUAUUCAAUAGAUUUCUACUUGAAUAAUUAGGACUAUUUGUUGAUAACCAAGUGAAUAACUUUUGAUUACUUAUAACUUUUCAUUUGUAAAUAUUGGAACACUAUAUAUUUUGAAAAUGUUCCAACAAUCGUCCCCUAUUUUUAAAAUAUUCUAGAUUUUGAUAAUCUUAGAAAUCAAUUGCAUAAAAGAAGGUGUCUUACGAUUAAACCUUCACUUAGUGAAAAUAUGUUAAAUUUAAUCAAAAUUGCAUGCUAAACUAUGCUUUGAACCAACUAUUCUACUUGAUUAACCAAACACAUCUCAUACUAUGAUUUUAACAAUAGUCAAUGCACAAUAUCCAAGGACACUAUUAUGGCCAUGUAUUUGUAACCUCUUUCAUUAGUGCUUUUAGAGCCAUGCCCUUGAGCUCCUAGAAGUGGCCACACUUCCACUCAUAUAGGUUGAUCCCAUCAAGAGUGUUCCCAUAAUUAUAACUCUUUAACAUAUUUAUGUUAUGGGUAUAUUAAGAGUAUAAUACUCAUCAUUUCCCUUAUCAUUACGGAUACCUAACACUUUUUACCUUGAGAUGAUAUAUUAUAUAUUAUUUUAUAGUGAUAGCGGUCACAUAUCGAUGAUGUAAUUUUUCUUAUUGAACUCAAGACUUGACGUUAUACCAAGCAUUGAAUUGAGUUUCCGUCAUGGGUGACUCAAAUAUUAUAGGCUUGUACCUCAUCCCUAAAUUUUUAAAUUCUCAACAUAGUUAUGUUAAUUGUCCAUACCACAUGGUGAAACUUUAUAUUUAUUUGUGUCUUAAAAAUUCACAAGACCAACAUCCCUAACACAUUUAGUUACCCAUCCUUUCGCAAAAGAAUGAUAUCAAAGAUAUUUUUUUUCUUAUCAUGAAAAUUUCAUAUUUGGUUACUUUAUUUAUUUCUUGAUAUCCAAUAAAUUAAUUUCACAAACACCAAAUAUAUGAAACCAUACAUCAUGUAUUUUUCACCAAGUAAGUUGUUGUAAAGAGGCCUUGAAUCCCUUGGUGAAACCUUAAAACCUUUUUUUCACCAAGUAACAUAUUUACUAUUUGUCAUAGCUUCUUUUCAAAGUCAGUACAUGACUUUAAAACUUUUUUUUUUGUAUUCAUAGUCAAAUAAUAAUAUUAUUAUUUCUUAACUCACCAUAUAUAUAUACACAAUGCUGUAACAUAUAUAGUCAUAUUAUAGGACCAUCAAUUGUCCAAUCAAGUAACUAUAAAAUCACACAUUUAUUCACCCUUUACCAUGGACAUUAUCAAUUAAUUUUUGACUAUGAUUAAAAUAAUGUCCAUCACCUAAAUGGGUCAAAUAGCAUUCACCUAAAUGACUCAUGAUUGCCAAAGUAAAUUUCAAAAUUUAAUACAUUUAAAAAAAUUAUAAAACCAUGGGAUUAUAGAUUAUAUCCAAGCAAUAUAUAAAUACCAAGUGCAUCAUCAUAAGCAUGCACAAUAUAAUCUCGUUUUCAAAUAUAUGAUUAUCAUGUUCACAUUUCCACUAGAAGAUUACAUACCCAAAUAGUGAUUUUGUGAUAUCAACUAAUGUUUUCCACUAUUCUACCUUGCUAUAAAAUUUAACCAUAUAUAUGCAUAUAAUUUAUUUCAUUUCUAGUCAAAACCACUUCUAGUCCAAACUUUAUAACAUAGAAUAAAAAUGUGCAAUCAUAUAUAAAACUUAUUUAGCUUAAGGUUAUUUAACAAAAACAACAAUCAAAAUUAUUUAUAUUAUAUGAUCAUCUACAAAAUUUCAUUUUUAGCAAUGAAAAUAAUGUCUCAUUAAUAUCAUCCAAAUGCUUGUUACUAAUAUCAUGAUUUGAAUAAACAAAUAAUUUCAUAUCUCAAGUUAAAUAUAUAUCAAGAAGAAUAAAUAACAAGAUUUUCACUCAUAAAUUAGAUGGAAUGAGUUAUAUUUCAAUUCUCCCAACUUAUUUUCUAUUUAUAAAGCAUUGAUAGGUGCCUAAGUGAUUCUUUAAAAAGAUAUCACUUUUUAAGUUGCACUUUUUGGUUUCAUGAAACCAUUCAUCCAACCUUUUAAAAAUAUUCGUUGGACCAAGUGAGACAACUUUUCGAUUUGGGAAGGCUCACUCGAAUGGUCAUAAUGCUUUUGUUGAACAAAAGUACGUUCAAUUAAUUUUUGAACAAUGUCAUCACUAUUCAAAAUGAAAGUAACUUUUUCAUUCCAUCUUCUUUCUUUCUUUCUUUCUUGCAUAAUAUAUAUAUAUUAUGAUAUAAUUUAAUACCAAUCAUAAUCAUGCAUCUAAAUAAUCAUGCAUACAAUGAACUUGCAUCUGAGUUUAUUUUUGUCAAGUAAUUGAUGCAAGAAACACCCACAUCUUUUACAUAAUACAAUAUAGUAGACACAUGACAAUUGAAAUCUAAUUAUGCAAUAAGAGUAAAAUAAUAAAUUUGACAUACCUUUUCUUGCGAGAAAUAUUUCUUCUAAAUUAAAAUUUGAAAAGAUCAUUGAUCUUUAUGAAACCAUAAUUACCGAUAUCCAUCCUUAUAAUACCAUGCUUUUAGUUGUUAGAUCUAGUGCCCUAAGUGUAGUAUUUUUGUUAAUAAAAACUUGUAAUUUUUUGAAUAGAUUGAUUAAUAAGAAAACUUCAUUGAUUACAUUAAUAUACUUUAUAUAUUUGUCUUCACAUGGUUUUUGCACUCGAAACAAAAUGGAAGCAAAUGUUGCUCAUUGGUUGUCUAAAUGUUUAACUAAUACUAAGCGGUAUUAUGUGGUUGGAUCGUAGUACGAAAAGACAAAUUGUAUUCGCAGAUGAAAUUAAACAUGUCCUUAGUCUAAUCAGAAAUGAGCAAACCGAUUGAAAGACUAAUAUGUCAUCUAUCAAGUCCAAUUGAGGAUAUGCAUUGUCUUGGGCAUCAGAGCGAAUGACUCUUAGAAGAUAGAGACAUAGAUGUGACUGAUUGGACUUACAGUACAUUAGAUAGGAGCCAAGAAGAAUAGAUCCUAAAUCUGUUUAUGGAUUUAUUCACUUGUGAUGUUUAUAUUGUGACAUACCUAAAUCUUGAGUGGAUGGCAGACUAUGUAUACGUGACUUAUACACUUUGAUGUAAGUAACAGCCUAAGUUCAAAUAGAUAAAGAACUGAAAACUGGUGUGUUAGGUGUAUGACUUUUUUAGUAUGUAGCGUCAUUCACAAUAGUGGAAUUCAUAACCCCAAUCAUGGGUAAAUGACAUCCUCUCAUUAGCAUUACAUGGUUGAUGAACAGUAAACGAGGCCACGAGUCAUCUAUCUUUGUGAUAGAUUACUUGAUCACUAUUUGAUAGUGAUUGACUUUUAUGAAAAAAGAUGUCAUGUUUACCAUGAGAUAAAGUAGGAUCAUAUUGGGAGAAUGGAUAUUAUCUCAAAGAGAUCAAGGAUAUCUUAUGAGGGUAACACACUUAUGACAAGGUCAUUGGACGAGUACUGGGUAGUUGCUUUCAUAAUGGUAUGUCGUUGAGGAGAGCUUAGUCACAAUACUAUAGUGGAAUGACUUCGUGAGUAAAUGAGUUUAUAAUUAAUAGGUAAAAAGUUGAAACUUAAUUAUAAAUCAUUUGAUCUUCAAACACAUAUGUAAAAUCGAUCCCUCCACUAGCUCGUUGAAACCAGACCUGAAUUACGUGUUUGAAUAAAAAUGAACGAAAUGAAUAAAAAAGAGAAAUGAGAAACAUUCAGGAAUGAUUAUGGUUUUAUCUGAAACAGAGAAAUGAAAUCAUUUGGAAAUGAAUGUAGGUUUCUAAAAAUAGAAAUGAAAAUGAAAAUGGAAAUGUAAACUUGCAAUCCUAUAUAGGAUUACUUAAAAACUGAUGGAAGAAUGAUUUUGUUUUUGGAUUGUUUUGAAGCCCGAAAAUGAAAAUAAAUUAUUCAGUCAUAGUGAACAUGUUGAGUUAUGACAUAUUGAACGAAUUUUCUCGAAAUUUUGCCGGCGGUAAAAUCUUCAAAAUUUUAUUGGGGUAAAAUUGAGGUGAGAAAAUUAUUUGAUAUGUAGAUAUUAAAGUUUAUUUUGGGAAAUAGAAAAACUCAAUCAUAUUGAAACAUAUUAUAGAGUACUGGGUCAAAAAAGCCUAGGAAGUACUCGCAAUUGGACCCGAUGUGAGAGAGGCCUAAAAACACUCAUAUAACAUGAAAGGGGCGGCAACCCUAGUAGAAAUACAAGGGUGAAUCGUUCACCCCUCUCCUGUAACACCACAUACCCAUUCCGAUUACCGCACCCGAGCUACGAGAUGCUACAAAUAAAUCUGGAACAAUCACAUGCAAUUUAAAACAUAUAAUGAUCAUAUAAAUACACACAUUAAUUAUUAAAAAUCAACACGAAACUAAAUUGAGCUUCUAAAUAUAAUAUAUUAGAUUCGAGCAUGAAAAAGGACCAAACUAUAUAUUUUCAAAAACUUUGAACCUAGUAUCGAUACCAAAAAAAUAAGUAUCGAUAUGUUUGCGAUAGGUGUCAAUACCAAAAUCAAUAUCGAUAACAUUUUGGCAUUCUGUAAGUUGAAAACACUGUUCAUUUGAUCAAGUAUCGAUACCUUGAUCCCUGGUAUCGAUACUUUUAUCCAGGUGGUCAAAAAGGACAAGUUUGAAAAUUCAUUUCAUGCCCAAACCUAAUCUUAAUUCAUAGAUACUGUAACGCCCAAGAAUUCAAGUAUUUGAUUUGUUGGAUUUAGUCAAUAAAUAGGUGUGUGUUUCAAUGGUUGUGAGCCUUGAGUAGGAGGGUGAGGUCAUGGUUUGAGACUUGGUGAUAACUUAUGAGAGUCUAUUUAUUUUUGCUUCUCACGUAGGUUGGCCAUUUAGUAGAAGUAGGGUCAUGUUAGGAUUUUGUUUAGUGGGAGGUGUUUAGAAGUGGGGUGCUAAUUUAAUUCCUAAAAUCCCUCAACUUUAUUCCCAGGUCUCUCAUUUUUUUUAAUUUUAUUAUUCCAUUUUGUUCUCCACGUUCUUUUUUUUCUUUACUGCUACUAUUUUGUUGACUUCUUUUCCUCAAAAUUUUUUUUCGAUUCUUGAUUGUGGGAUUCUAUCUUGUGCCACGCUAAGACUACUCAUAAACUUGAAACUCUAAUUCUUGUUGUAUUAAAUUCCUUCGGUGAUGGUUUCAUAGUGUAAGGUAAGGUUUAAGUUCUGUUUCCUUUUAUGUUUAUUUGUAUUUUGGUUGAUGGUGGUGAAAGCUAUGGAUUAGUAGUUUGAUUUCUAUGAAUGUGUUGUUUAGGAGAAGAUCGAGAAUCAUUAGGUUUUCCUCUAAUGACCUAAUUUCGUUGGUGGAUUGUUGCUUUUGAUUGAAGGUAAGAGGUUAAUUUGAGUUGUUAGGUUGAAAAUUUUCAAUUAGAACUUUGAGGUUAACUGUAACGAUUUUGUGAGUCAGAUUUGGUAAUGGUAAAUGUGGCUGAUUUGGUGAACUAAUGGUCGAUUUUAGGUUCUAGACGACUCGUAGAAGUUUUGGCAUCGAGUUUAGGUUAGGUGUGUAAUGAGAAACUCGAAAAAUAGUGAAUAGUGAAAGUUGAAAUUAGGCUCUGUCGACGCCACACGGCCAUGUGCCAGACCGUGUGUGACACAUGGCCAUGUACGAGAACGUGUGUGACACACGGUCUAGGCCAGUUUUGUUCGUGUGGACCACACGAGGGUGUGUGGGCCAUGUGUGACACACAGUCUAGGCUAGUUUGGUUCGUGUGGGCCACAUGGGCAAGCCAUUUUGGGUCGUGUGGGCCACACGGGAGUGGGCCACACGGGUGUGGGCCACACGGGUGUGGGCCAAAAAUUCAGAAAUUUUCCCUAGGAUCUGUUAUUUUGUUUAGAUCUGACUAUGGGGUGGUAUAUAUAUAUUAUGUGGAGGUAGUGUUUUGUGUGAGGCGAUAUCUCGCCACUAUACUAGCAGCACUGCUGCAAUUAUGUUGAAAAGUGUCGUAUGGACACUAAGUGGUGUGUAGGGCUGGGUGGGUGUCUUAUACCCCACAUGGUGUGUUUGGAUGGUCAGAGCUGGUGUGUAGACGUUGGGGGUAGAAUUAUAUAUAUCUGCAUCUAUACUAUUCUGAUAUGAUUCUGAUGCUGUAUAAGAAGUAUGUCUGUAUCUAUUCUACCGUGUAAUUAAAUCUGAAAUUAUGUUUUCUUAUGAGUUACACAUUGAGUUAUAAAAAAUCACUCUCUGUUUGUCUGAUAAUUUCAAGUAACCCUCAGACUUAGGCGGGUUGGUGUGACGGGAGCUCGGUUACGUCCAUUCUUCCAUAAACUAAUUUUUCUUAAAUUAAACUUAUUUAAAAUUUUGGUUUGAUUGUUUUGUAAAUUUUGGAUUCUCUAGACUUUUGGGAUUUAUUUUUUGUUUGGAUUUUAUCUUGGGAUUUCUAGCAUGACAUUUGAUAAAACGACUAUACGAAAAUGACUAUUUUUCUGCAGUCAACUAUUUUCGAGAAAACAAAUUCAGUUUUCCAAAAUCCAACGUUUUAAGAAAUUUCGUUGCAAAAUAUUUAGUUUAUUAAGAAGAUGUAAACAAAUAACGAUUUUAAUUGAAAAGGUAUGAUAGACACAAUUUCCAAUUAAAAUGGGCUUUUUUAGUAACAAAGGUUCGUGCUGUUUUUAGUAAAUGAAAGCUAGAUUUCAAUCUAUUUUGUGUAAACACUCCAGAUUCAGCCAUAAAGUUUAGGCCGGGUUGGGGGUGUUACAGAUAGAAAUAGGUGCACAUAUGACCUGUAUAAAACUCUCUCAAUUCAUUACAAACAUGCCAUAAUUCAACCAUGAUCUAUUAACCAUCUUAUCUAUUACAAUUAAUAAGUAAGUAUGCAAUUAGAUACCAUUAUCCUUAUACUAACCAAUAUGCCAUUUGGCACCAUCACAAAAAAAUUCAAACAUAAAAUCAAUUGUACAUUCAAGCAAUUUAACUAAAAAUGCAAUCAUCAUAUGAAACUUAUUUCAUCUUCAAUAAGGUUCCAAAUCCAAUUACCAAAAUCACUCAUUCAUGCUACUUAAUAGUGAUAAAUAUAAGCACUUCUAGAACCACAAGUUACCAAUACCAAAUGAACAUUUCCAUAUCAAUUCACAAAUAUGAUAUCAAAACCAAAACAUGCCUACCAUUCAAAUGACACAAACCACAUUCAGACGAAAUAAGAUAAACAUGAUAAUUCUACUAUUUACUCUACAUUCAACACAAGAACAACAUGAAACACAAGAUUACAUCAUAUUCCAACAUUCACUAAUUUACAUAUUUAACUAAAACCUUAAAUUUGAAAACCUCAAAACCUUAUAUACAUGCCAUAAACCAAAAUGACCAAGUAAAAAAAAACAGAAGGUUGAUAGUGUGAGCCUUGAACUUGGUUCGUUCGACCAGUUCCGCAAAAAAACAAACUAUAAAAAACAAUAAAUAUAACAAAGUAAGCUUAUAUAGCUUAGUCAUUUCAUAAUUAUUUAAACAAAAUUCUUACCUCAGUUUACAAUUAAGUAAAUAAAUAUAACUAAUUUAAUACAUAUUUCCUAUCAAGUCAUUUACAACAAUAAGGUGAGCGUUUCACAUAUCAUUUGUAUAAUCUCUCAACCAUUCAAUACAACAUAUUUUAGUAUCAUUCAAUUAGGAAAGAUUAAACAUAUAAAUCGUAUUAACCAAUUGCUCAUGUCGAUUCAUAUUCAUAUUCCAUUUCUUUUAUUCACACAACUUUCUCACUAAUAUUGCAUUUAUCAGGUAAGCGUUAAUACAUAUAACUAUAAACUUUCCAAUCAUUUUAAUAUCGUUUCUAACAACUCUUAAACAUAUAAUUAUUAGUUAUUUAAUUUCAUCACUUAAAAUUACAAUAUUCAUAUAAACAUAUCAUCUCUAAAUAAUUCAUAAAUUUAAUACAUAUAUAUAUUCAUCAUAUGGCCCGAUAAACUAAAAUAAAUAGAUACAGAUACAUGGGUAACUAUACCACACUAGAAUGCUCGUAAGAUUUCAAACUACAACACACCAGAGCAACGGAGUGUAAAGCCCAUAGGCAUCAUAUAAUUAGUAUCAAUACAUCCCUCGACCACACCAGUAUAACUCGGUAAUCCGCAACAAAUGCUAGAUUCCAGUAUAAUCAAUAAUAUCUCUGUACAAUUACAUAUAUCCCGUUGAUGGUACUAGAAAGAAUAUAUGUUUUCUCCCUACUUAUUGAUUAAUUUGUCCCCAUUUAGUUAUCUUUAGCACAUAUUUUAUCAUUUUCAGUUCAGUAAAUUACAUUUUAUAAAUUAGUGGACCUUAGCCUAUUUAUCCUUAAUUUUUUCAUGUUUUGGUACCAAUGUCGCUGCAUGAGCAUUUUCAGAUUGUGCCUAGAAUUGUCAUCGCACCUGAUAACUGUCCGGAUAAGAACAAAAAUGUGUGCGCUGUUCAGUCUAGUAUGGCGGCUAUGGCAACUUUUGAAGCUUUUUGCCUAUGUCGGCUUAAGCCUCCUACAGGUGAACCGACAUGAAAGGAAUGCAACUUAGCUCUUGACGAGGAGCCCUGAGUGCGACAUAAGAAAGAAUAGAGAGAUUCAAGUCGAGUUGUCUAGGAAUAGUAUUAUCUACUUGUUUCUUUUAUUUUUCUUUUCUAAACGCUAGUGAUUACUUUCUAUUUCAUGUUAGUACGGAAGUACACAUGAUUUUUGGGUUAAAUGUUAUUUUAUUCAAUCUUGCUUCUACUUUUUAAUCUUUGGGUUUGAAUAUUUUUAGCAUAGAAGUGUUAAUGUGAUCACUGCCACUAGAAGGUGCAGCGACAGUUCAAGCUAACAAGCAUGACAACGAAAGUUGCUUGAAGAUUAGAGGAAUUUAAUCCACCUAUUCUUAAUAGUGUUCUAUUGCCAUCAUCGGAAAGUGUGGUUAAUGUGCAUGUUUAAGUCUUAAAUUAAAUAUAGAAGUUAAGCUUGGUAAGAUAUUCAUUGCAAAUUACUGCAUCGACAAUCACCUAUCCUUUUACACCUUGUGAACACUUAGUAUUCUGUUGAAUAUUCACAUUGGGGAUCCCAGUUUAUCAUUAUCAUAUUUUAUCUUAUUGUUUUCAAGUUAUUGCUUCGACAACUACUCUCACAACUUAUCUCGUUUCUAUCUAUUUAUUGCACUAACAUUUAUAGACAAAAGACAACCAUCCUUGUAGGUUCGAUAUCCGAUAGACUCAUAUCUGUCUACUAUACUUACAUCGACAAUGUAUGCUUGCACAUUAUUACUGUGACGUUAAACAGCCGAUCAAGUUUUGGCGUUGUUGCUAGGGAUGGCAUUUGUUUGAUGUUUUUUUUUGUUUUUAUUUCAUAAUAUUUAGUUGUUACUAACUUGUUUUAUUUUUGCCGCUAUUUUCACAUUUUAUUUUAGGUGUUGUAUGACUCGAAGCAAUUCAGAGUUUAUUGUCGAUUUUUAAUCCAGAAAUUGAAAGAACAGUUCGAAGGAGACUUCGAGAACAAAGGAAUAUGGCUUUACCAAGAAACUAUGAAGUCAUACCCCUGAUGCAGCAACUAAAUGCUAAUGACCCACCAUUCCUGCAAGACUCUCAAAUACAAAACAGGACUAUACGAGACAUUGUAGUACCUGUCUUGGAUGACUUACAACUGGGGGUUGUUAGGCCAACAAUCCAAACUGGAAAUUUUGAACUCAAGCCAGUAAUGUUUCAAAUGCUGAAUUCUAAUAGGCAAUAUGCGGGACUACCUCAUGAGGAUGCUUGAGAACAUUUUAAAUCAUUUUUAUUGAUUUGUGCUUCUUUUAGUCAACAAGGUGUUCCUGAUGACUCUUUGAAGAUGAAAUUAUUUCCUUAUUCCUUGCAGGGAAGAGCUUGUACUUGGUUUCUUGGGCUACCUGCCGGAUCAAUUACUUCUUGGAAUGAGCUAGCAACAUAGUUUGUUUUACGAUUUAACCCACCGAAAAUGAAUACUCGCCUCUGAAAUGACAUUAUAACUUAUCAUCAGCUAGAUGAUGAGAAUCUUCACACUACAUGGGAACGUUAUAAACCUUUGCUUCGACGUUACCCCAUACACGACAUUCAACAAGAAACAUAAAUUGAGAUUUUCUAUAAUGGGCUAAAUUCACACACAAGGAAUCUUGUCGACGCAUCAGCUAAUGGUCCUUUGCUGGAUUGUACUUAUAAUGAUGCUAUUGGAAUUCUGGAGAGAAUUACUUAGAAUGAUUACCAAUACCCUACCUCUAGAGCUGCACAAGCAAAAGCUACUCCGAGAGUUAUUGAAUUGGACGCAAUAUCUGCACUUAGUGCUCACGUUUCUUCUCUUGCAAAUCUAAUAAAAAAUAUGCAAGGGACUAGUGACGUUGCACCCAUACAAGUCACUCAACAAGUUGAUGUUCCUACCUUUUGUUGUGAAAUUUGCAGUGAGAACCAUAGCUAUGAUGAUUGUCCAAAACAUGCAGAGAAUGCCUUUUAUGUAAGUAACAUCCGCAACAAUUCUUAUGACAACUCUUAUAACAAUUCUGCACGCAAUCAACAGUCUUGGGGAACUCAGAAUUCUGGACAAAAUGCUACGACAUUCCGAUAUAGGAAUAUAUCUACUCAAGGCAAUUAUAAUCCAAGACAAGGGAAUUACAAUAAAAAAUAGUAGAAUUACAAUCAAUAUACUCAGAGACAUCCUUAAAAAACAAAUCCACACUAGAAUCAGACGCAACAAUAAUAUUCUUCAAUGCCAAAUCAACAUGUUCAAGAACAUCGACGAAAAUAGUACACGUAAGCUUGUCCUUCUGACCCUUUAGCAGCUCUUGAGGCUUUAAUGAGGGAGCAUAUGACUUGCACAGAAGCUAUUGUGCAAGGGAAUUCAUCUUCUAUUUGGGCUUUGGAGGCAUAAUUAGGACAACUUGCUUCGAAUCUGAAUACUUGACCACUGAGCACACUACCUAGUGACACAAAAAAUCCUAGUCCAAGAGGGAAAGAACACUGUAAGGCUAUCACGCUUAAGAGUGGUAAACAAACCGGUGAGCCAACUACAGGCUCUACUAUAGCACCUCAAGAUACUAGUAAAGUGAUCCCCGGUGAAAAGGUUGAAUUUGAAGAGCUUGUUGAUGUAUCAGACAAAAACGUUCCAUAAUUUGUCACUCAUAUGCCUAAUAUCUGACCCUCAAAACAUUUGAUGCAAUCAAAGGUGUCAGCGCAAUCAGAUGUAUCUCCAUAUUUGCCUUUUCCACGAAGAUUCAGGGAGAACGAGCAGGAUAAGCAAUACCAAUAAUUUCUGAACACACUAAAGCAACUUCAGGUCAAUAUUCCUUUAUUAGACGCUCUUGUGCAAAUUCUAAAUUAUGAGAAAUUUAUGAAGGCGUUCUUGUCCAAAAAGAAGAAGCUCAGUGAUAUGGAAACUAUUAUACUCAUAGAAGGCUGUAAUGCUGUUUUGACUAAUAAGUUGCCCCCUAAAAUGAAAGAUAUUGAGAGCUUUACUAUCCCAUGUUCAAUUGGCAACCAUUAGUUGGGCAAGGUUUUAUGCGACUUGGGAGCUAGCAUCAACCUAAUACCACUAUCUACUUUCAAAAAGUUGGGAAUUGGUCACAUGAAACUUACUGCAGUGACAUUGUAACUAGCUGCUCAAUCUUUAGCUCAACCUGAAGGGAAAAUCAAAGAUAUCUUAGUUCAUGUGGAUAAAUUUAUUUUUCCGGCUGAUUUUAUCAUACUUGACUGCGAGGCAAACAAUGAGGUUCCCAUAAUCUUAGGACGACCAUUUUUAGCCACCGGACAAACCCUUAUUAAUGUUUACAAAGGUGAACUAACCAUGCGACUUAAUGAUGAGCACGUUACCUUCAGUGUUUUUAAAUCUAUUCAAUGCAAGGAUAAAAAAGAAUGCCAUAUUGUCAAUGUGCUAGAUGAUCUAAUUAAGGAAGAAUUUAAUAACCAAAGUAUAAUACUUUCUGAGGAGUUUGUAGUGACAUCUGAUGAUGAAUUCUUAGAUAAUUGUGACAACAUAGUUGAAGCUAAUAAUAUUGAACCCAGGCAUGGAUGGUAGAUUGAAUGCUUAGACUUAGCCAACAGAAUAACUCCAAUUUUCAAGCCAUCUAUCAACAAAGCUCCUAUUUUAGAAUUGAAACCACUACCUACUCAUCUUAAAUACGUCUUUCUUAGUGAUAACAAUACUCUCCCAGUUAUUGUCUCCGUAACAAUGGAUAUAACUCAAGAAGAGAAAUUGGUUUAAAUUCUUAAGCAACAUAAAUGAGCUAUUGCUUAGAGUAUUGCCAAUAUCCGAGGCAUUAGUCCAUCUUUUUACAUGCACAAGAUCAAGUUGGAAGAUGAAGGCAAGUAAUCGAUUAAGCAACAAAGAAGACUAAACGAGAAGAUGAAAGAAGUGGUUAAGAAAGAAAUUAUAAAAUGGCUUAAUGCUGGAACUAUUUACCCUAUUUCUAAUAGAAAUUGGGUAAGUCCAGUGCAAUGCGUUCCUAAAAAGAGUGGCAUCACUGUGGUUAGCAACUACAAAGACGAAUUAAUUCCUACACGCAUUCUUACGGGAUGGCGAGAUUGUAUGGAUUGUCGCAAACUUAAUGCUGCCACAAGGAAGGACCACUUUGCACUUCCUUUCAUUGACCAAAGACGAAUUGGGUAAGUCCAGUGCAAUGCGUUCUUAAAAAGAGUGGCAUCACUGUGGUUAGCAACUACAAAGAUGAAUUAAUUCCUACACACAUUCUUACGGGAUGGCGAGUUUGUAUGGAUUGUCGCAAACUUAAUGCUACCACAAGGAAGGACCACUUUGCACUUCCUUUCAUUGACCAAAUAUUGGACAGGUUUGCUGGAAGAGCCUAUUACUGCUUCUUAGACAGCUAUUCUGGGUACAAUCAAAUUGCUAUUGCACUGAAGGAUCAAGAGAAAAAAACUUUCACCUGUCUCUUUGGUACUUUUUCUUUUCGACAUAUGUCUUUCGGUCUUUGCAACGCACCAGCCAUAUUUUAAAGGUGCAUGAUGGCAAUAUUCUCGGAUAUGAUUAACGAUUCUUUAAAGGUUUUUAUGGAUGAUUUCUCUGUCUACAGGAAUAAUUUUGAUCAUUGCGUUGACAAUUUGGAUAAAGUAUUGCAAUGAUGUGAAGACACACAUCUUGUUCUAAAUUGGGAAAAAUGUCAUUUCAUGGAAAUUGAAGGCAUUGUGUUAGGCCAUUGCAUCUCUAGUUAAGGCAUUGAAGUAGAUAAAGCUAAAGUGAAAAUCAUUCAGAAACUACCUCCACUAAAAAAUGUGAAAGGUAUUCACAGUUUUCUUAGGCAAAUGGGAUUACCGAAGCUUUAUUAGAGAUUUCUUGAAAAUUUUAAAGCCUUUAUGCCAUUGCGAGAACAGAAUCGAAAAUUUCUCUUUGAUGAUGCAUGUCUAGAGGCAUUCAUUCAAUUAAAGACAUAGCUAGUAAAUGUACCCAUUGUCGUUGCACCAGAUUGGUCUCAACCUUUUGAAAUUAUGUGCGAUGCAAGUUACUUCACUAUGGUUCCUAUUUUAGGACAACGCAAGGGAAAAAUAUUUCACGCCAUCUAUUAUGCUAGCAAAACUCUUACAGAGGCUCAAUUAAGUUAUACCACUACAGAGAAAGAAUUUUUGGUUGUAGUCUUUGCUUUUGACAAGUUUUGUUCAUAUUUUGUCGGUGCAAAGGUUACCAUAUUUACUGAUCACUCGACGUUGAGAUAUAUUUUUGCGAAGAAGGAUGCAAAAUCAAGAGUGAUACACUGGAUCUUACUGUUGCAAGAAUUCAACAUCGAGAUAAAAUAUCGCAAAGGCUAAGAGUCUCAAGUUGUAGACCAUCUAUCUCGAUUGGAAGUUGGCAGCGAAGAUGAAAACAUACUUCAAAUUGUCGACACAUUCCCAAAUGAGAAGUUAUUUGUUGUAGAUGCAACCCCUUGAUAUACGGAUUUGGUUAAUUAUCUAGUGUGUGGAAAACUCCUAUUGGGUGUCACAGGCCAUAAAAAAUAAAUAUUUCUUUCUUGAAGUAGUGAAGUAUCAUUGGAACGAGCCGUAUUUAUUCAAGGCAUGCAAUGACAACAUUAUUCGGCGUUGUGUUCCGGAAGAGGAGAUGCUUUCAAUCUUGAAGCACUGUCAUAAUGCUCUUUAUGGAGGUUAUUUCGGUGGCAUGCGAACUACUGCUAAGGUUUUGCAAUCAAUAUUUUACUAGCUUUCAUUAUUCAAAGACGCCCACAAUUUUGCGAAUCAAUGCGAUAGGUGUCAGCGCACUUGGUCUAUAUCCCGACGAAAUGAAAUGUUGCAACAGCCAAGUGGUAGCCGCACUGAAGAGAUAUAGAGUUAAUCAUAGAAUGGCUACUACGUAUCAUUUUCAAACUAAUGGACAAGCCGAAGUAUCGAAUCGAUAAAUUAAAAACAUUCUUGAGAAAGUUGUGAACCCUUUCAGGAAAGAUUAGUCUUCCAGACUGGAUAACGCUUUAUGGGCAUUGCGGACAGCAUACAAAACUCUAUUAGGGAUGUCGCCAUAUCAAUUUGUUUUUUGGGAAAGCAUGUCACUUGCCAGUUGAAUUGGAGCACAAAGCAAUGUGGGCAAUUAAGCAAGUGAACAUGGACUAUGGAGCUGCUGGAAAGAAAAGGCUGUUGGAUAUCACUGAACUAGAGGAGAUUAGAAGAAAUGCCUAUGAAAAUGCUGUAGUUUACAAGGAAAAGACCAAACGAUGGCAUAACAAAAUUAUUUUGCAGUGACAAUUUAUCAGGGGACAACUAGUUUUAUUAUUCAAUUUUAGACUAAAAUUGCACCAAGGUAAAUUACGCUCUCGUUAGUCUAGACCUUUCGAAGUUGUCGAAGUAUUUCCUCAUGGUGCAGUCACAAUCAAAUAUUUACAUGGACACCUGCUCAAAGUGAAUGGAUAGUGGUUAAAACACUAUUUUGGGAAUAUUAAUCAAAAGUAGGUAGAGAUCAUUAAAGUGGUCGAAAAAUUUUAAUUUUUAUAGAAUUUAUCAUUAUGCUAUUUUAUUUUAUUAUUAUUUUUUUGUUUUUGUUCAAGCUUGUUUUUUUUUUUGCAGAAUAAUUAAGUACCACUGUCGACGCACUUGGGCUUUAUUGUCAACGCAGUUCAUCCGAUUGUACUGUCACUUAUGACUCAUCAAGAAGGAGGGCAUAUCAGAAACUUUAGAUCCCACUGUUUGAUCAAAAGUCACCUAGCCGUCUGAUCUGGCUGAGCGGGCGCAAUUCUCAUUUGACAUAUUUGUUCUCUGCCAGCUUUAUAUCCCACCACAAAAGUCACGCCUUUCCAUCUUCUUUCACUCGCUAUAAACCCCCUUCAUUGUGCCGAAUAUAACACUUACAAAACAACCAUUUUUAUUCACUUUCUCUUCCCCAAGUUCGUACCUUUACAACUUUAAACCAUCUUCACUCCACAGAACAAAAAAAAUAUGGAAAGAAUGAAAGGAUUAGUCAAGAAAGCCACCAAGCCUGUUGAAUAACAUUCAUCCUCUGCAACUACAGUUUGUGAAUCGAAAUCUUACAUGCCAACGAAGAAAAAGGAGUCGAUGAUCUUUUUAAUGAAAGCGGCCAAGGACUGAUAUCAAGACAACAUUUUGAAGUGACAUUUCCACCCAAAAAAGGGCAUUCUCCUUUCGCAACUAUAAGACUUAGGCAAGCAAGUCUACAAAACCAUCUCUAAGAUGAAGUGGAAGACUUUUUGCACUCAUCCUGGAAGCUAUUCUCGUUCAUUGGUACAUGAAUUUUACACUAACCUUUAUGACCAUGAGUUAGAUUUUGUCUUUGUUUGAGAAGGCUUAAUCCCAUGAGAUGCUAAAAAAAUCAAUGAGUUGUACAACACUAAAGUGGAUGUAGAUGAACGUUCCAAGUUUUUUAAGGAUAUCACUGACGAUAAAAGGGACCUGUUGGUGAAGCAUUUAUGUCUCGAAGGAGAAUUGUGGACGGGUUCACAUCAAAAUAAUUAUACAAUGCACCGCUGCUUCCUGACACUGCAAAGAAAAAUCUGGUUUCAUUUUGUCAACUGCAGGCUACUGCCCUCUACUCACAACACCACAGUCAACCUCAAUAGAAUGUGCCUGAUACAUACCAUUAUCAAGGGCAAAAAGAUUGAUGUCGGUGUAAUACUCCAUUGGGAAAUUGUUGACUGUGCCACAAGGCAAUUUGGAAUUUUGGUUUUCCCGUCAUUGGUGGUGCUACUGUGCCAACAAAAAAGGGUCGUACCUUGUGUUGAUAAAGAGAUCCUUAAGAAUAAGGGUCUGAUAAAUGAAGCUUUUAUUGAAAGAAUAACUCGUGGCAAACAUACACUAACAAUAAAGGAGGCAGAGACCAGUAAGACAUGAAAGGGAAAAACCAAGGCAGAAACUAGUGGAACAAACAUUACUGCAGAGACAUCAUUGUUGCACAAAAUGCAGGAUAUAGAGAAGUUGGUUAAUUCCAUCAGUAAUAAGCAGAUCAGCUUGUCGCUGCAAUAAAGGAUAUGGACAGAUCAAAAAAAAUUUUCUAUGCUUAUACCAAGGCCUAUAACAACACUAUUGUAACCACAUUAAGUCAGUUAAGCCUGGCCCUACUCUCAGAAUUUCCAGUGUUUGCACCGAUCAUCCAAGAUUAUGAACCCUCAUCUGAGGAAGAUAACUUAAGGGACCGAGACAGAUCGAUGGAAUCCCUUUCCAUUAUGCAUGACUCUAAUGAUGAGAAAGAAGAAGACUCAAGGGACAUUGAGGAAUAUAUACGAAGGGGUGAUAAACUGGCCGAGGGUGACUUCAUUACUGGUCAAGAGGCACCUAUUGUUGAAGAGGAAGUUGCUGUGAGAGAGGAGGAAGUCUGUGUUGUAGUUGUGAACAAGAAGGUUGAUGAAGAAAAUGUUGAGAAAGAAUCUGCUGAGAACAUUUUCAAUGCAUUCAAGAUUCUGGGUGCAACUAGUGAUAAUUUGGAGUGAGAUGGAGCUAGACCAGCGGAAGCUACAGAGGUAACCAAUGAGUAGCACCAAAAUUCAUUAGAGAUAGUGUUUUAUACUAGACCACUCAAGGUGACCCUUCCUACGCAAGAAGCAGCUGAUGAUGCCAAGGCAGCAUCGAAAAUUGAGGAGCGAUCCGAGGAUCGUACGAAGCCCAAAGAAAAUAAGAGAAAGCACUCCAAAGACAAAAAGUGCAAGAAGGAUGAGAAAAAGAAAAGGAAGAAGAAACAUCGUGUAGCCACAUUGAUGGCCCAGGAAAACUGAGUCAGUUUAUUUUAAGUUUUAGUUGUAGUAUUCAUGCAUUGCAUGUAGCUGUAAUUUUCAUUUUGUUAGUGCACAUUGUCGUUGCAUUUUUAUUUUCGUAGUAUUUUAAUAUUAGUGCAUUGGGGACAAUGCAAACUUUAAGUUUGGGGGAACGCAUAUGGGGUUUGGAAAUACAGCUACAUUUCAAUUUUUUUGAGUUUGAUGAAGCAUGUAAGGUUUAUUUAUGGUUAAAUCAAAUGUGUUUGAAAAUUUUUGUUACAUUCGAUGCUUAAUUCUUGAAUCAUGCGAGCUAUCGAUAAAUGAGUUGGAUAAAUUUGACUAAAUUUUGUAUCUUCAAUUCUUUGAUGAAUGAUUUAGGUUGCAUUAGUAAUUGAUGACUAGUAGCAUUCCUUGAAUCUUGAAUGAAUCUGCCUCUUAUAGCUGCUUAUAUAUAUAUAGCUAUGAAUAAGAGACACUCGAAAGUGGGUGUAUUGUGAAAUGUUAAAGAGGGAACACUCCAAUGCAAGCAUUAGAAAAAUGAAUCUGGCUAAAGGCUGUCAUUGCAUGAGUGUAUGUCAGCGCAAUUAUGUGCUCCCUGGGGGUUUGGUGCACUCCAUCGUCACUUUUUAGGAACAAGGGUGCUGUAAUGCAACGAUAUCCUUUAUUCACAAAAAAAGGGGAGGACAUAUAUUGUACAAUAAACGUUGUAUUGGUAGAUAGAAUUUAGGAUUUAAAGCAUGAUGCUGGUUUUAAUGAAGUUGCAAUCUUAUUCAUUCAUAUUAUCUAUUAUCGAUGCAAUAUUCUGUCAUCUAAAUGUGACUCAUUUAUUAGGAUUUUAGGUGAUUCAAGUUGCUAAAAUGAUCAUUUGCCUUAGUGAAUUCUUGUGUAGCCUUUCCAGUUUUUGUUUUACUUGAGGACAAGUAAAAACUCAAGUUUGGGAGUGUGGUAGUACUAGAAAGAACAUAUGUUUUCUCCCUACUUAUUGGUUAAUUUGUCCUCAUUUAAUUAUCUUUAACACAUAUUUUAGCAUUUUCAGUUCAGUAAAUUCUAUUUUAUAACUCAGUGGAUCUUAGCCUAUUUAUCCUUAAUUUUGUCAUGUUUUGGUACUAAUGUCGCAGCAUGAGUAUUUUUAGAUUGCGCCUAGAAUUGUCGCCGCACCUGAUAGUUGCCCGAAUAAGAAGAAAAAUAUGUGCGUUGUCCAGUUUGGUAUACCCAACUUGUAUGUAAAGAGGCAAUACGAUUCUGAUGAAAGGACACCUGGACUAUUUGGGAAGAAUAUACAUAUUCAUGUGUACAAAAACAAAUGAAGCUUUUUGGGAGAGUAUCUUCUUCAACCUGUCUUUUGAAGCUUUUCGGGUAUGGCGGCUUAAACCUCUUACGGGAGAAACGACGUGAAAGGGAUGCAUCUUAGCUCUUGACGAGGAGGCCUGAGUGCGACACAAGAAAGAAUAGAGAGAUUCAAGUCGAGUUGUCUAGGAAUAGUAUUCUCCUCUUGUUUCUUUUAUUUUUCUUUUCUAAACACUGGUGAUUACUUUCUAUUUCAUGUUAGUACGAAAGUACACAUGAUUUCUGGGUAAAUGUUAUUUUAUUCAAUCUUACUUCUACUGUUUAAUCUUUGGGUUUGAAUGUUUUUAGCAUGGAGGUGUUAUUGCGGUCACUGACACUGAAAGGUGCAGCGACAGUUCAAGCUAACAAGAAUGACAACGAAAGUUUCUUGAGAAUUAGAGGAAUUUAAUCCACUUGUUCUUAAUAGUGUUUCAUUGCCAUCAUCGGAAGGUGUGGUUAAUGUGCAUGUUUAAGUCUUAAAUUAAAUAUAGAAGUUAAGCUUGGUAAGAUAUUCAUUGCAAAUUAUUGCAUCGACAAUCACCUAUCCUUUUACACCUUGUGAGCACUUAGUAUUCUGUUGAAUAUUCACGCUGGGGAUCCCAUUUUAUCAUUAUCAUAUUUUAUCUUAUUAUUUUCAAGUUAUUGCUUCGACAACUACUCUCACAAUUUAUGUCAUUUCUAUCUAUUCAUUGCACUGACAUUGAUAGACAAAAGACAACCAUCCUCGUGGGAUCGAUAUCCGACAGACUCAUAUCUGUCUACUAUACUUGCAUCGACAUUGUACACUUGCACAUUAUUAUUGUGAUGUUAAAUAGCCAAUCACCCGUACAACGUGCAAAUAACCCUAUUGGCAUGCCAAUCGUAUCCUAAUUGUUUACUAUGUUCCAACGAUCACUUUAACUGAAUUCAUCAUAUUAACAAAUCAAAAGCACUUUCAGAAUAUCCGUACAUACACUGUAAUUCCAUUGCAUCCAUUUCAAGAUCAUAUAAUUCAUAUUUCACAUUCAUUUAUUAAUUUCCAAUUCAAUACUUUUUCACCUUACACUUAAUUAUAAACAAUUUAUCAUUACAAUCCGACAUUAAAUAUUAAACCACAUAUCAAUUUUAUCUAAUUCAAAAUAGCAUGAAUUAUAAAUAUUUAUGUAUACAUUCGUCACAUUUCAAGCAAAUCUUACUCACCUUACAUUCAACCUUAAAUAAUUAAUAUUCUCAAUUCCAUAUUAAUAAUUAAAUCACAAAUUAUUCAAUUAAUUAAUUCAUACAACAUAUAACAUGAACAUAUAAAAAUAUAUCUAAUCUAUGAACUUACCUAUUAUAUGCUACCGGUUGACUCGUAGGGACUAAUCCACGAGUUUUCCUUUCCUCUUGUUAUCUUUCGUACGAUUCAAUUCUUGAUCUAUAUAAUGAUAAAAUUUAAUAUGUCAAAUUCAAAUACAUAUUCAACUUAUUUUAUGCGUAUGACCUUAAGUUAUUAUUUACACAUUUUCCCUAAACUUUUACAUUUCUCUCAAUUUAGUCCUUAAACCUGAAACUCCAAAUUUAACAAAAUUUCUCAAAUACCCAAGCUAGCUGAAUUUAUUUCUAUUUUAGUACAUUCCAAAAUUAUUCAAAAUUCACAAGAAUUCCAUGUCAAUUUUAAUAUUUUAUCAAAUUAGUCCUCUAGCUAAAAACUAACUAAAAUCACUUUACAAAAUAGUCCUAAACAACGACCAAAACUACAAAUUCAUCAUUUAACAUCAUAAACAACUAAUAUUAUUUAAUGAAAAAAUCCAAAGUAUUUAACAGUUUCAAUACCGAAAAUACAGGUUAGUUGGAACUAGUUGCAACGAUCUCAAAAAUAUAAAAUUUACGAAAAACAUAUCAAAGUUACAUACCAUGCAAGGAAAAUGAAAACUUGGCCGAAGCUUGAAUGUUCUGCCAUGGACGUUCGGUUUCUCCAAAUGAUGAAUAGAGAUGAUGAUGAUUUUUAUAAUAUUACUAUUAUAAUUAUAUGUUUUAUCAUUAUUAUCAUUAAAAUUUAAUAUAUAAAAUGCAUAGAAUUACCUACUAACCGUCCCACCAUAUAAAAAUGGUGAAUUUACCAUUUAAAUCAUUCCACUAUGAUUAUUUAAGUCAUUUAAUCACUAUAGUUCAAUAGCAAUUAAGUUUUAUGACUUUAAUGAUUUAGUCCUUUUAUUUAAUUAACCAAUUAAACAUCAAAAUUUCAAAACUAAACUUUCACAUAACAAAAUAAUAUCUCAGUAAAUAUUUAAUAAAAAUAUUUAUGAGCUUGAUUUAUAGAAACGAGGUCCCGAUACCUUAUUUUCUAAAACCACUUGACUUUCAAAACAAACCAUUUAUACCUAACUAUUUAUUCAAUUAACUAAAAUUCUUCAAAUCGAAAUUCAAUAUAAAAUUAUAUUUAACUCAUAUAAUUUAAAUAUUAUUUAUUACGGAUUUACUCGUCGAAUUUGUGGUCCCAAAACCACUAUUUUCGACACUACUAAAAACUUGUCAUUACAUAUCGUACUCUAAGUAGGAUGCUUUUCUAUUUAAAAUAAACCUCUAUAACACUACAAGGGUUUUACUUUCUCUUCUUAUAAAUAGAUGGCACCGGUAGAGCUAUUAGCAGAAAUUUUGGAAGAUUGUUAUUCUCCCAAAAAAUAUAGAGAAUUUAUUCUCAAAUUAUAAACAUAUUUUUCAAAAUAAAAAUUUUACCGAUUUUUAUUAAAGAAGAGAGAAUUUCUGUUUUUAUCUCAAAAGGAAUUUUUUUCUAGUUCUGUGUUUUAAUUCAAUUGGUUCGAGGCCACACUCGAAGCUGUUCAUGGUAUGAGAAUAGCGAAGAAAAUUGUUUGGUUGAAAGCUAGAAAAAAUCAAGGAUCUACUUAUCUAAAAACACAAGUACGAAUUCAUUUAAGGUUUAUUGAUAUAAAUAUCACAAAUCGAGUCAAUUUUCAAAAUUUUAAUUUUUAGUUGUACAAAAAAACGGUUUUCAAACCAAUUUUUUUUCAACAAUUGGUAUCUAUAGCCAGGUUGUGCUAUGGUUAUAGUGUAAAUCUUGACCAAAUCUCUCUCUUCAUCUUGUAAGUAUUCAUAUGUUUAGGGGAAUGUAUGUCAAUGAAUGGAAUAUUAUAUAUAUUUGUUAUAAAAAAAAUUUAGCCAAGGUUGUAGUUCUUAGGAAAUAGAUAGUGGACUAUCACCUCCACAUAAGAUUAUUUUUUAUUUAUAGAAUUCUUGUGAGCUAGAAACAGAUAUAAGACAUAAAUGUAAGUUUCCAAAAAGGAGUCCAGGACAAGGAGAAGAUGCAGUAAUGGCGAUCGAAGACAUAAGUAAUGCCUUGUGGCGGAAAACAUGUGUUGCAUUUUUCCAUUCACUUCUUUAGGUUAUUCAAUUAUUAUGAGAAGUGUGGUAACGAGAAGGUGCAUGUCAAGGAAUGGAUUUGGCAAGGAAAGGUUUGGUUUUUAACUUGUCAAAUACGACUCACCUCCAUUUUGCUUAAAAGAAAAACUGUGCAGAAUCAAAAUUAUUUGAUUGACUCUUGUGAAUAAUUGAAUAUGAAUAUUAUAAAAUUUUCAUAGCAUAUCAUGCAUACAUGAAAUAAACAUGCCAUAUGGUUUAGGAAAGAAUGCCACUUGUACUUGUCAUGUAUAUAUUGAUCAUACAUGAUUGAGACAGAAAUUUAAAAAUGUUGCAUUUUUUUUAAAUAUUGAGUGGAAGAAGGUCCCUAAAGAAGAUCUACGACCUCCAUCGAUAGUUUCUUGUGAUGGCAUGAAAUGGACCUGCCCUAAGGUAGACAUUGUCAUAUGGAUUUCACUAAAGAGACUUCCUAAAAGUAAGUAGAAAUUUUUUUUGAUCAUAUGAUAGUUGGACUUGCCCCUGUGGUAGGUAUUAUCACGCAAUGUAUUAACAAAUUCUAUCUUCAAAGAGGAAAACUAGUCAUGGCAUGCUACUUGAUGAUAUUGUCCCAAGAUGACUCAUUUGUGGUGCAUGAAGUGAUAGGUGUUAAGUUGAUGGUUAUAUAUUCAAGAUCAUCUAGUUAAAAUACUCCUCACGGAGCUCUACUUAAGUUAGAAUGAUGUCCAAACGUUGCACGAUUAUUAGUACGUGUGAAUGCCUAAGGAAUUAGGUUCAUGUACUAAUUGGAUGGAAAUCCAUGUUCUUACUAGUUGACCAUGAUCACCCCACGGUGGUUUGAUAAAAUGGGUGUAUGAAUUAUCAUUGCAAUAACUUACAAAUGUUUUCCAGGUUUAAUGUAAGAUGCAUGCAUCAUCUUAAUGCAUAUCAUAAUAUUGCAAAACAUUUUCAAACAUUUGCUUAAUACAGAGAUAUUAAUAUAUGAAUGUUUUAUUUUUAGUUCGAAAAUGGCUCUAACUCCCUUAUUGAAUAUACUCACUGAAAACAAAUUGAACGAAAAUAACUAUAAGGAAUGGAAAAGGAACCUGAUAAUUGUCCUGAGUUGUGAGACACUUAAAACAAUUCUUGAAAAUAAACGUCCAUUGGCCACUCAAGUUGAGGCGAGAAAACAUUAGGAAAAGUUUGAUGAGAUAGCUCUUUGCUAUAUGCUAGAAAGCAUGACUAGUAAUCUAUAUAACCAAUUAAAGAGCUGUAAGAAUGCUAAAACGAUUCUAGAUAAGCUAGAAGACAUGUUCGAAGGCCAAGCUUCCUUGGCUUGAUAGUUUACCAUAACUAGCUUGAUGAAUACCCAGCAAAAACCCGACACUCCUGUCAAAGACCAUAUGAUCACUCUUAUGGCUUACUUUGUCGAAGCUGUGAAAAAUGUGGCCAAUCUGGACCAGAACACUUAAAUUGAAAUGGUGUUCAAAAGCUUGUCAAAGGAUAUUGAUGGUUUUCAGGUUGCAUAUAAGCUUGGAAACAAAAACCUGAUGCUUACACAACUCAUGAAGGAGUUACAAUCUUAUCCAUUGCUGUUGAAUGACGGUUAGCCGGUUUGAAGAGCAGAAGUGAAGAUUGUAACAACCCAUUUUCAGUGGUGUUAGAAACUGUGGUUUUGGGACCACGGUUCCAAAGAGUGAGUAAAUAAUUUAAUAUUAAUUUAAUGUUUAUAGAGUUAAUUUAAGGUCGUACUAAAUUUUUAAAAGAAAUUUUGAAGUUUAAAUAGUUAAUUAGGUAAAAAGGACCAAAUCGUAAAAGAUGCAAAAGAUGGUUUCUGUCAAUGACAUGGAUUAAAUGGACUUAGAAAUAUAAAUUAAUGGGUUCUUAUGGUAUUAUGCCAUUUAUAAAUGUGGUGGAAAAUGAUGGAUAUGAUUUAAUUAUUUUAUAAGUUUAUUAGUUACGGGUAAAAUUGUAAUUAAUUAAAUAAACCUAAAAUAAAUAACUAAAAUGAUAUCAUCUUCCUCCUUUUGCUUGUUUCAAUUGAAAGUGCCAUUAAAGAAGGGGUUUGAAGUUUUGACUAGGUUUGUUUCAUUACAAGGUAUGUGUUUGAGCCCGAUUUUUGAGCUCAUUUUAGCUUAAACUACUUAGCCCGAGGGUUAAUUUGCAAAAUUUUUAAAGGUUGAGGGACUUUCCAUGAUUGAGUUUUAAUGUGUUUUGAUUUUAGUUGAUAGAUUAUUACAUUUGGUUGUUAAAUAAAGUUAUUUUGUUUAAGUGAUUUUUGAUGAAUUUAGAGUUAAGGAUUAAUUUGUUAAAUGUGUAAAAUUCCUUGAGGUUAAUGUGAAAUUUUGGUAAAUAUGGGCUAUUUAAGCCCCCUAGUAAAAUCAACUAGCAUGUUUUGGUUAGGAAAUGGUGAAUUUGCAAGUUUUGGGUCUAGGGACUAAAUUGUAAGAAAGUUAAAGUAUUCGGGGUAAAUUUGUAAAUUGAUGAUGGAAGGGUUAGCUUUUGACUUAACUGUAACAACUGUGGUGAUUGAGGUAAGUUCGUAUAGAGAUUAAAAUUGUCAUUUGAUGUUUUGAAUUAGUUAUUAUGAGUUAUUAUAUGAUUUUAAUCUUGGUUUGUAGCGUAUUUGGUAAUUGAUAUUGUGGAUUAUGUUGUAAUAUUAGUUUACUUAAAGUUGGUAUUUGAGAAAUGUAUAUUUCAUGAAGCAUGUAUGGAAUGGGACAAUAUAAUGAAAUUAAAGGAUUCAGAUAUAUGCAAAGAUCCCGUUUGAACCUUAAAAAUUCUUAGGAUACAAAUGAUAUGACAUUAGGGUUUAUACGGUUUCGAGUGCUUGUCCUGAAUGUCCUACCGAUGGCUGAGGUCCUGUAAUUGUUGCAGAUUCUCCAUAGCUCAUGUGAGUAGCAUCGUAUAGCUAACAUUUCGAUCCAUAGCUCGUGUGAGUAGUCACAUUUCACAGCUCGUGUAAGCACUAUUGGAAAGGAAAGAUUAUGGCUACAUGAAAAGGCACACUAUGUGUGAGCAUUCCUGGAUAUCCGAUAAAAUUUGUAUGGUUCAAUGGGUAAGUAAAGGAAAAUGAAUAGGUUUGUACCUGAAAUAUUGAUAUAAAUGACCAUAUAAAAUGGAAGUUUGAUGUAUUCAAAUGAAUGGAAAAUGGGUACUAAAUAAACAUAUGAAGAAAUGUGACUUAAUGUAAUUCAUUUCAUGUCAUAUACCAUUUUCCAAGGAUUUUAUGUUCUUAAUUUAUCUACUAACUAUGUAGAUUGUAUUGAAUAGGAAAGUAUGAUAUUUAUAUGACAUUUUGAGCAUGGUUGAAUUAUUUAAAGUUUGGGGCUCGGUAAGUUCGAGUUUAUCUUAUACGAGCUUACUAAGCACUUGUUACUUACAUAGUUGUUUUUCCUUUGUUUUGUAGAUCACCAGAAUCUCCAUCGAUUGUAAUCUUGUCAGAGUUUUAUUACACUAUCCAGCAAUCAAUUUGGUAGUUUUGGUUCUUUUUAAUUAUGGUUAUAAAUGAAAUGUACAGGGUUUGAUGUCAAUGAAGCCUUUUAAUAUGUUUUGGUUUCUUUUGUAAAUGAUUACAUGUAUAUAUGGUUUAGUUUGGCUUGUAUUUGCUAAAACUCUUAUGAUUAUGGUCAUUUUGGUAUGCCUAACUAAAAUGGUAUGUUGUAAAGGUAAUGGUUUAUAAUAAUUAGCUCUUUAAGUCUAUGUUAUGUAGUUGAGCUAUGGCAUUAUAGUUUUGUUCUAGAAUGAUUUUGAUUUGGUAUGAAUUGAGGGGCCUUUGAAUGGCAUAUUUGUUAGAAUUUUUAAGUUAAUUGAUUUGGUAUAUUUUGGGAGGUUUGAAUAGUGUUUUGGUCAAUUGAAUGCAUUUGCAAAUGUUGUAACUUGUUGGGCAAGGUUAGGCAUUGAAAUGGAUUGCUUUAGGGGCUAAAUUUGAGUACACGGGUUGUCACAUGGUUGUGUGCCACACACAGUCACCUCACACUUCCAUGUGCCAGACAUGGUCACCUCACACGGCCGUGUUUCAUUUAUAUUUUAACUGCAAGUUUCAUAUGGUCUGAGACACAGCCUAAAACAUGGACGUGUGACACAAAAUAGUUUGUUACACGGUCUUGCACACGACCUGUGACACAACCAUGUGGUUCUAUUUUGAAUACACACAUGGGUAGACACAGGGGCUAAGACACUGCCAUAUGGCCCUAAUUCAAAUUUCCACACGAUCUGGGAUAUGUCACAUGGCUGUGUGACCCCUGUUUUCACAAUUUUUCAUUUUUCUCAAAAUUUUCUAAUUUAUUCAAAUUGAUCCCCGGUUGCUUUUAAAAUUUUUUUAGGUCCCUGAAAGCUUGAUUUAAUGCUCAAAUGUGUAUGUUUACUAUGAUUGGAAUGAGAUAUUGAAAUUUAUACUUAAGUUGAAUUAUUUGUUUUGUUUUUGAAUUUAAAGAUUUUUUUUGUAUAGUAAAGUUUUGUAACCCUAAUCUGAUGACGAAGACGAGUUAGAGGUGUCACAAAUAUAUUUGUUGCUUCUUCUUCAAAAGGGAAGGGAAAGUGCACUAAGAAAUGUAAGGUUAGGGUCUCUAGGCCGCAACAAGUGGAAAGGAAGAGAACUAGAAAGGCUAAAGACUUAUUUAAGUCUCAAUGCUUAUUCUGUAGCAAGAAAGGGCACUUCAAGGCAAACUGCAAAUAGUGGAAGGAAUACUUAGCUACCAAAGGCAAAGGUAUGAAACUCUUGAUGAUAGAAGCUUCUUUAGUGGAAGACUCAAUAGACCACUGGGUCUUUGAUUUGAGAGCCACUAAUCAUGUUUGUGUUUCUCUAUAGGGAUUCGAGGAGACAAAAAAACUUAGAGAUAAGGUCUUAUCAUGGUGGACCGGGAAUGGGACAAGUGUGGAAGCUGAAGCAGUGGGAGAUGUACAUAUUUACUUUGAUAAUUUUAGGAAGAUUGUUUUAAAAGACAUUUUCUAUGCACCAAGUUUUAAAAGAAACUUAACUUCUGUUGCAUUUUUUAUAUAAACAUGGCUUGAUCAUGACUUUUAAUAAUGGAAUUACAAUAUUUAGAAAUCUCAAUCUUAUCUAUAAUGGAUGGAUGUCAAAUAAUCUCUAUUUUAUCAAACCAAAUAUGUACACACUUAUUCAGACUGAAAUAUCAAAUAAAAGACUUAAGCUUCUCACUCUAAUGAGACAUACCUUUGACAUUUAAGACCUGGUCAUAAUAACCGAGAAAGAAUCACUAAACUUGUGAAAGAUGACAUCUUAAGUUCACUUAAAGAAGUUUAUGUUCUACAAUGUGAAUCUUGCUAGAAAAGUAAGAUGACUAAGGAAUCUUUUAAUGCAAAAGGAACGAGGGUCGAAAAACCUCUAGAACUUAUGCACACUGACCUAUGUCGCCCCAUGAGCAUUAGUACAAGAGGUGGCUAUAAGUAUUAUGUAACAUUGAUUGAUGACUAUUCCAGAUAUGGAUAUGUAUAUCUAAUGCAUUGGAAGAGUGAAACCUUUGAUAAAUUCAAAGAGUUUCAUGCGAAAGUGGAGAAACAACUAGGUUUACCCAUAAAGACACUUCAAUUUGAUCGAGGUGGGAAAUAUUUAUCUGACAAGUUUUUAGAGUACCUCAUAGAGAAUGAUAUUCUAUCCUAAUUAACUGUGCCGAGCACUCUAUAAUAGAAUGGCGUGGUAGAGAGAAGAAAUCAAAUAUUGUUAGACAUGGUACAUUCGAUGUUAAGUUAUUUGAAGUUGUCAAUCUCUUUUUGGGGAUAUGCGGUACAAAUGACUUGUUAUAUUCUGAAUGAUGCGCCAACUAAGGUAGCAUCAAAAACACCAUAUGAAUUGCAGCAUGGCAGGAAGCUAAGUCUUAAUCAUUUUAGGAUUUGGGGAUGUCUGGCCCACGUAUUGGAUAAAGAUGCGAGGAAGUUGGACUCACGAAUAGAAUUGUGAAUGUUUGUAAAAUUUCCAAAGGGACCAAAGAGUUGUUUGUUUUCUAACUCGAAAAAGCAAAUUGUUAGAGUCUCAACUCAUGCUACUUUCCUUAAACAAAGUUACAUGAAUGGCGUCAAACAUUGGGGUAAAGAUGUACUUGAGAAACUUUCGAGAAAUAUAUAAAACCCUAAUGGAACGGUUCCAGAACCAACUGCUAAUAGUAGACUUGCAGACGAUCAGCAGGGUAGGGUGCUUCAUCGCAGUGAGAGGGUCUCUCAUAGGCCUGAGUUCUUCCAAUCUAGUGGAAGUGUUUUUAAGUCUAAGUCUGCCGAACAGGAAGAUAACAACCCACUCACAUAUGACGAAGGGAUGCAGAGUGCUAAUUCCAAGCUCUGGGAAAUAGUUAUGAAAGUUGAGAUGGACUCUAUGUAUCCCAACUCAUUGUGGGAACUUGUAGACUUACCAAAAGGGAUAAAACCCAUAGGGUUUUGUAAGUGGAUCUACAAGAGGAAAACAAAUAUUGAUGGAAAAGUGGAAGCUUAUAAGGCCAGAGAUGUAGCAAAAGGAUAUACUCAGAAAGAAGUUAUUGAUUAUGAAAAAACCUUUUCUACAGUUGCCAUGCUUAAGUCAAUCUGCAUGUUACUAUCCAUUGCUGUAGCUCUCAAUUAUGAGAUUUAUAAAAUGAAUAUCAAGAAAACACUUUUGAAUAACUAUCUUGAAGAGAGCAUCUAUAUGAUACAACCCACCGGAUAUAUGGCUAAAGGAAACAAGAAUAAAGUUUGCAAACUGCUUAGAUCCAUAUAUAGACUUAAACAAGCAUCUAGCUCAUGGAAUCAAAGAUUUAAUCAAAUGAUUAAAACUUUUGAAUUUGAUCAAAACAUAGAUGAUCCUAUUGUGUUUUCAAAUGUUUAGGGGAUGGAAAGGUGGUCUCACUCGUUCCAUAUGUUGAUGACAUUCUACUUAUUGGAUGUAGGGACAUUGUCAUUGGUUAAACUGUGGUUAACCCAACAAUUUAGCAAAAGGACUUGGGAGAAGCUAAUUUUUUCUAGGUAUUCGAAUCCUUAAGGAUCAAAAGAAUAAAGUGAUAGCACUAUCUCAGACUUCAUACAUAGACAAGAUAUUAAAGCGUUAUGCAAUUAACAAUUUGAAAAAGGGAAAUAAACCUCCGUAUCGAGAUUUCAUCUCCCUUUAGAGGACUGUCCUAAGACAGCGGGAGAAAGAGAGAAUAAGAGAAAGGUUCUUUUUUUCCAGUGGAGUUGGUAAGCCAAUAUGCAAAGCCCAGAUAGCUAUUUUGUAGUGGGGUUGGUAAGUUAAUAUCAGGCAAAUCUAGGACCAAGACAUGAGUAAGCAGUUAAGCAUAUACUCAAGUAUUAAUAGAGAACAAAGGAUUAUAUGCUUGUAUAUUUCGGAUGAGAUCUCACUCCUAUCGAAUAUACUGAUUUUGACUUCCAAAAUGUGUCAGGAUUUGAGGAAACCAACAUCAGGUUGUGUUUUUGUCUUAGAUGGCGGAUCCUUAGUGUGAACAAGUGUCAAGUAGGGUUGCACUGUUAACUUUACUAUGGAGGGUCAAAUAUCAGGUAUGCAAAAGCUAUGACAUUAUAAUAGUAUUGACAUAGUUAAAUCUGAAUUAACCACAUAAGAACAAAACACAUAAGGGAGACAAUAGUGUUUGAUGGAAUGGUAAACGUAGCCAAAGAUAGUAUAUGUCGACAAACCCCAGAGAUUUAUUUAGCCAAGACUUUUAUAGCUAGAGAGCUCUUUGGAAAACAUAUGGAGGGGCACAAGAAUGUGAAACAUGACUCAUCUACUUCACUAAGGCAAGUGGGAGAUUGUUGGAUCUAGUGCCCUAAGUGUAGUAUUUUCAUUAAUAUACACUUGUAAAUUUUUUGAACAGAUUGAUUAAUAAAAAAAAUUCAUUGGUUGCACUAAUAUAAUUUGUAUAAUUGUCCUCACAUAUUUUUGUAUGCAAAUCAAAAUGGAGGCGAAUGUUGCUCAUUGGUUGUCUAAAUAUUUAACUAAUACUAAAAGGUAUUAUGUAGUCGGAUCAUAGUACGAAAAGACAACCUGUAUUAGUAUAUGAACCUAAAGAUGUGCUUAGUCUAAUCAGAAAUGAGGAAACCGAUUCAAAGACUAAUAUCUCAUUUAUCAAGUCCAAUUAGGGAGAUGUCUUGUCUUAGGCAUCAGAGCGGUUGACUCCUAGAAGAUAGAGACAUAGAUGUGACUGACUGGACUGGCAGUACAUCAGACAGGAGCCAAGCAAAAUAGAUCCUGAAUCCGUUUAUGGAUUUAUUCACUUGUGACGUUCAUAGUGUGGCAUACCUAAAUCUUGAGUGGAUGGCGGACUAUGUAUGCGUGACUCAUACACUUUUAUGUAAGCUAAAGCCUGGGUUCAAAUAGAUAAGGAACCAAAAACUGGUGCACUAGAUGUAUGACUUUUGUAGUAUGUAGCGUCAUUCACAAUGGUGGAAUUUAUAACCCAAAUCAUGGGUAAAUGAUAUUCUUUAAUUGACAUUACAUGGUUGAUGAAAAUUAAACGUGGCCACAAGUUUUCCGUCUUUUUGAUGGAUAACUUGAUCACUAUUUGAUAGUGAUUGACUUUUCAUGAAGGAAGAUGUAAUUUUUACCAUGAGAUAAAAUAUGAUCAUAUUGGGAGAACAGAUAUUAUCCAAAAGAGAUAAAUGAUAUCCCAUGAGGGUAACACACUUAUGACAAGUCAAUUGUACGAGCACUGAGUAGUUGUUUUCGUAAUUGUAUGGCAUUGAAGAGAGCUAAGUCACGAUACUAUAGUGGAAUGACUUCGUGACUAAGUGAUUUUAUAAUUAAUAGGUAAAAAGUCAGAACUUAAUUAUAAAUCAUUUGAGCCUCAACCACAUAUGUUUAAUUGGUCCAUUCGCUAGCAUAUUGAAACCAGAAAUGAAUUGCAUGUUUGAAGAAACAUGAAUGGAAUGAAUAGAAAAAGAGAAAUGGGAAACAUUUAAAAAUGAUUAUGGUUUUCUCCGAAAUAGAGAAAUGGAAUCAUUUGGAAAUAAAUGUAGGUUUCCAAAAAUAGAAAUGGAAAUUUGCAAUCCUAUAUGAUUACUUAAAAAAUGAUGGAAGAAUGAGUUUAUGUUUUUCGACUAUUUUGAAUCCCGAAAAUGAAAAUAUAUUAUUUGGUCAUAGUGAACAUGUUGAUGUGUGACACAUUAAAAGAAUUUUCUUGAAAUUAUCAAGGUUAAAAUUGUCAACAUUUUACUGGGGUAAAAUUGAGGUAAGAAAAUUAUUUAAUAUGUAGAUAUUAAAUUUUAUUUUGUGAAAUAGAAAAACUAGAUCGAGUUGGAUCAUAUUAUAGAAUACUAUGUCAAAAAAGGCCUAGGAAGUAUUCAUAAUUGGAACCAAUGUGAGAGAGGCCCAAAACACCUCAUAUAACAUGAAGGGGAUGACAACCCUAGUAGAAAUACAACGGUGAGUCGUUCACCCCUCUCCUAUUCUAAGUAGCAUGUUGUUUUUCUAUUUAAAAUAAACCUCUAAGACUCUACAAGGGUUCAACCUUCUCUUCCUAUAAAUAGAUGGCAUCAGUAGAGCUAUCAACAGAACUUUUAAGAGAUUGUUAUUCUGCCAAAAAUUAGAGAGAAUUUAUUCUCAACUUAUUUAGAAUAACAAUUUUACCGGUUUCCAUUAAAGAAGAAUGAAUUUUUGUUUUCACCCUAAAAGGAAAUCUUUUUCUAGUUUUGUGUUUUAAUUCAAUUGGUUCGAGUCCACACUCGAAGCAGAUCGUGGUAUGAGAAUAAUAGAGAAGAUCGUCUGGUUGAAAGCCAAAAAACCUCAAGGAUCUACUUAUCCAAAAACACAGGUACGAAUUCGACUAAGGUUUAUUGAUAUAAAUAUCACAAACCGAGUUGAUUUUCAAAAUUCUAAUUUUCUGCUAUGCAAGAAAACCAUUUUUAAACUGGAUUUUUCCCAACAGUAGUGACAUGAGAAUGCAUUGUAAAUAGACAAAGCUUCUUUAAUUUCUCAUAAAUUGCUAAAAUAGAACCUUAAAAUUGUUGGCACAUGGGGAUGAAGAUAAGAGAAAUUAACGAAGGCUUCAAGGAGUGUAUCAAUGACACUCUCUUUAAGGGUCUAUUCCUCCCCACCUAUAUUAUGGUAUGCAAAAGAGUUACCAGCAAAUGAACCUUGAGGAUACAAUGAAGCCUAAUGACUUUUUACGUUUUGCACUGAUAGAAACAGUCCAUUGAGAACUGAGCAGAGUAUAACAAGGAUAUCAAUUUCUAUAAAUAAUUUCUAUAGUAAUUCCUUAUACAACAAUCUAGAAAUAUAAAAGAUGGUGAGAGAUCAGAAAGAAAAUUUUUUCUAUAUUUUUGGGUUGUCAUGCAAAUGAAACUUCACUUUUAUUUAUAGGAGACCUCAUGGACAUAACUACCUAAAUGGAUUGUCAUAUCUUCAACAAACAAAAUUAUUCAAUAGAUAUCUACUUGAAUAAUUAGGAGUAUUUGUUAAUAACUAAGUGACAUCACAUUUGGUUACUUAGAACUUUUCAUUUACAAAUAUUGGAACACUAUAUAUAUUUUGCAAAUGUUCCAACAAGAAUAACCAUAUGAUAAAAUCAAAUUCAAAAUCUGGAGGGCUGCCCUUGAAACAAUUAGGCCUCGUCUAAGACAUUUUAGUAUGUCGUCGAACCGUAGCUCCAUUUUGAUAACAAAUUUUCUAGAUGGGAGGAAAACCUGUAAGUCCAUUCAGGAAAAGAGGUCAAAGUUCAAAAAUUGCCCCAUCAAGUACACUAUCAUUAACAGACAAACACAUAAAAGUAUUGAAUGUGCCAUCACAAGAUAACUAUCCAUUUUUCAGUCACUUGCACAAAACCUCAAUACUUGGAGAACGAAUAACACCAUAUAUGCAUAUAGCUUCCAAAUCAACAAUUGAAAGCAAUAGGAGUACUGAGGCCUUUGCUUAUGCAAAUAAAAACUACAUUUUUAACCAUACAUCUAUUUCAAAAGCUCUCUAAAAAAAAGAAAGUAGUUAAUUAAGCUGUGUUUAGCAAUGUGAUCGGCUGAUAACGCCAAAGAAAUAAUGUGCAAGCGUACACUGUCUAUGCACGUAUAGUAGACAGAUGUAAGUCUUUCGUAUAUCAAUGCCACAGGGAUGGUUUUCUUUUGUCUAUUAAUGUCGGUGCAAUAGCUAGAUAGAAACGAGAUAAAUUGUGAGGAUAGUUGUCGGAGUAAUAUCUUGAAAACAAUGAAAUAAAAUAUGAUGAUGAUAAAUUGGGAUCCCCAACAUGAAUCUUCAGCAGAAUACUAAGUGUUCACAAGGUAUAAAAGGAUAGGUGAUUAUUGAUGCAAUAAAUUUCAAUGUAUAUCUUACCAAGCGUCACUCCUAUAAUUAAUCUGACACUUAAAAAUGCACACUAACCCCACCUUCCAACGGUGGCAAUAUGACACUAUUAAGAACAAGUGGACUAAAUUCCUCUAAUACUCACUCAACUUCCGUUGUAAUGCUUGUUAGCUCGAACUGUCACUGCACCUUCCAGUGUCAGUGACUGCAAUAACACUUUCGUGCUAAAAACAUUCAAACCCACAGAUUAAAUAGUAGAAACAAGAUUGAUAAUAAACAUUUAACCCAGAUAUCAUGUGUACUUCCAUACAAACAUGAAAUAGAGAGUAAUCAAAAAUGUUUAGAAAGAAAUAUAAAAGAAACAAGUGGAGAAUACUAUUCCUAGAAGAACUCAACUUGAAUCUCUCUAUUCCCUCUUGUGUCACGCUUAGGACUCCUCGUCAGGAGCUAGUCUACAUCAUUUUCACGUUGGCUCACCCGGGGGAGACUUAAACUGCCAUAGCUGUAAGCUUCCCCCUAAGAUAGGUUAAGGAAGAUGAUGGUCAAGAAAAAUCUCUCCUCUUUUUUUCUUUUCAUGUCAAUAUUUAUGCCCUUCCAAACAGCACAGGUGUCUUUUCCUCAGAAUCAUGCUGUCCUUAUACGUACAGGAUGGUUAUACUAGACUGGACAGCUCACGCAUUUUUGUUCUUAUCCGGAAAACUAUCAGAUGCGAUGACAAUUCUGGACGCAAUCUGGAAUUACUUAUGCAGUGACAUUAGUACCAAAAAAUGACAAAAUUAACCAUAAAAUAGGCUAGGAUCCACUGAGUUAUAAAUGCAAUUUACUAAACUGAAAAUGCUAAAAUAUGUGCUAAGGAUAACCAAAUGGGAACAAAUUAACCAGUAAGUAGAGAGAAAACAUAUGUUCUUUCUAGUACUAUCACAUCCCCAAACUUGAGUUUUUACUUGUCCUCAAGUAAAACAGAAACUAGCAAGGCUACAAAUAUUCACUAAGGAAAAUGAGCAUUCUAACAACUUGAAUCACCUAAAAUUCCAAUUAAUUAAUCACAUUCAGAUGAAAGAAUAUUGCAUCAACAAUACAUAAGCAUAAAUGAAUAAGAUUGCAACUUCAUCAAAGCCAGCAUCAUGCUUCAAAUCCUAAAUUCUAUCUACUAAUACAAUAUUUAUUAUACUAUACUAAGUAUUUAUAUAUCUCCCCCUUUUUUUGGAAUAAGUGAUAUCAUUGCAUUAUUGCACCUUUGUUCCUAGGAAGUAAAGAUAGAGUGCAACAAACCCCUAGGGAGUACGCAAUUGCGCCAACACACACUCAUGCAGCGACAGCCUUGUGCCAGAUUCAUUUUUCUAACGCUUGUACUAGAGUGUUUCAUUUUUAACAUUCCACAAUACACUCACUCUAGAGUGUCACUUAUUUAUAACUAUAUAUAUAUGUAAACAGCUGUAAACGGAAAAUUCAUUCAAGAUUUAAGGAAUGCUACUAGUCAUCCAUUACUAAUGCAACCUAAUUCAUUCAUCAACGAAUUGAAGCUACAGCAUUCAAUCAAAUUUAUCCAACUCAUUCACUGAUACUUCACAUGAGUCAAGAAUUAAUCAUUAAAUGUCACAAAAAUUUUCAAACACAAUUGUAUUAAUGAUAAUUAAACUUUGCAUGCUUCAUUAUUGAAAAAAAUAUUUUAAAAUGUGGGUGCAUUUCCAAACCCCAUAUGCAUUCCCCCAAACUUAAAGUGUGCAUUGUCCCCAAUGCACUAGCAUGAAAAUGUAAUGACAAUGUGUACUUAACAAAAUAAAACUUACAGCUACAUUCAAUGCAUGAAUACUACAGCUAAAACUUAAAAUAAACUAACUCAGUUGUCCUCCCCCAUCGAUGUGGUUGCACGAUGUUUCUCCUUUCUUCUUUCCUUUCCCUCUUUUUUCACUUUUUAUCUAUAAAGCGCUUUCUCCUCUUUUCUUUAGGCUUUGCACGGUCCUCAGAUUGGUCCUUAGUUUCCAGCUCUGCCCUAGCAUCAUCGGUUGCUACUUGUGUAGGAGGGGUCACCUAAAGUGGUCCUAUGUAGACCACUAUCGCCAAUGAGUUGUUGUGCUCCUUAGUAGUUACCUCAGCGCUUUUACCGGUCUCGCUCCAUCUUGCUCCAAAUUAUCAAUAUUGCACCCACAGAUCUGGGUGUGGUGACAAGCUUCUCAAUAAAAUAUUCUUUUUCUUUUUCUUUGUCAUUUUCAGCAACUUUUUCUUCUUCAGCAAAAACUUCCGCUUCGACAACAACUUCUUCUGCAACAUCAAUUUCUUUCUCAACAAAAUUUUCCUCUUGAUCAGCAAAAAUACCAUCCUCAAAUAAACUAUCAAUCUUGUGCAGGCAUUUCUCAAUGUCCCUGGAUUCUUCAUCUUUAUCAUUAUUAGAGACUUGUACGAUGGGAGGAGAUGCCACCGAUCAAUCUCGAUCUUCGAAGUUGUCCUUCACAGAUGAAUGCUCAUUGUUUUGAAUGAUUGGUUGAAACACUGGGAAGUCCGGUAUUGGGGAUGGGCUCAAUUGGCUUAAUAUGGCUACAAUGAAACUGUUCCAGGCUUUAGUAUAGGCAUAAAACAAAUUCUGAGAGUUAUCCAUGUCUUCAAUUGUAGCAACAAGUUUCAUUUGCCUAUUGCUGAUGGAAGUAACCAUUUUCUCAACAUCUUUCAUCUUACGACAUAAGGAUGUCUUUGUAUGCAAGGUUGUUCCUUCAUUGCCGGCUUUUGCUUUGCCCUUCUUUGUCUUUCUGGUUCCUACUUUUUUCAGUAUUAGUGUUUCUGUGCCAUGAGUCAUCCUCUCGAUAGAGGCUUCAUUAAUUUGACCCUUAUUAUUCAUGAUUUCUUCAUCUUCUUUAGGGCACAAUGCCUUUUUGCUGCCAUAGUGACAUUACCAAUGAUGGGAAAACCAAAAUUCCGAUUUUCCUGAUGGCGCGUUCAGUAAUUUCUCGGUAGAUAUUUACACCUAUAUUAAUUUUUCUACCCUUGAUAAUGGAAUGUAUCAGACACAUUCUGUCAAGGUUGACGAUAGUGCUGUGGGUAGACGACAGUAGUCUACAUUUAACAAAGUGAAACCAUAUUUUGAUAUGCAAUGUUAAGAAACGGUGGUGCAUUGUAAAAUUCUUUGGAUGCGGCCUUGUCCAUAGUGUUCCUUCAAUACACAAAUCCUGUACGAGCAGGUCCCUUUUCUCAUCCAUCACUUCUGCAAAGAAAUAGGAGUGUUCGUCGACAUCAACUAUAAGGUUAUACAACUCAUUGAUUGUGUUGGCAUCCUAUGAGAGUAGACCUUCACGAACAAAAAAAAAUUCUAAAUCUUGUUCAUAGAGGUUGGCAUAGAAUUCACCUACUAGGGAAGGGGAAUAGCUUCUAAGGUGUGCGCAGAGAUUUCCCCAUUUCAAUUUAGAAAUGGUUUGGUGAAUUUGUUUGCCCAACUCCUUUUGUUGCGAUAGGGAAAUGCCCUAUUCGGGGUGAAAAUUUCAACAUAAUAUGUUGUCUUCAAAUCGUUCCCUUGUUGUUUUAUUCAAAAGGAUUACUGAUUCCUUUUUCUACAUUUUCCUGGGGGAUUUUGUUGGCUUUCUUGGUCAAACCUCUUGUUUUUGCCAUCUUUUGUGGAGGGAAAAUGAUUUUAAGUGAAAAAGGUGGGAUCUUGAUUAAGGAAAAAAAUAAAAAUGGUUACUUGGAUGCUUUGCUGUCGGCACAGUGGUAUAGACUUUAUAGGGAGUGAAAAAGGAAGAUGUAGAGUUGUGAUGUUUUGUGGAGAGAUACAAAACUAGAGGGAAGAGUGGCGUCCAAUAAGAAUUGUAUAUGCUUAAACAGAUAAAACACCUGGGUGGUUUUUUAUCCAACGGUGAAGAUUGAAGUUCCCUUAAUUCUGAUUAAUGGUAACAUAGUGGCACAGAAUGCAUUGGCAACUGAAUCAUUUUGUGUCGACAUUGGUACCUUAUUAUUCUGCAAAAGGAAAGAAAACAAACUUUACAAAAUAGGAAUAAAAUAAUAUGAAAUCGCGAAAUUUAAAAUUUAAAAUGUCUGGACUAAAUUAAUGGUCUCUGCCUACUCUUGAUUUUUAUUUCCAAAAUAGUGUUUCAAUCUCAGCCCAUUAACUUUCAACUGGUGUCCAUCACGUAAAUUUCAAAUUGUGAUUGCAUCAUGGGGAAAUACGUUGACAACUUCGAACGGUCCAGACCAACGUGAACGCAAUUUACUUGGGUACAUUUUAAGUCGAGAAUUGAAUAAUAAAACCUGUUGACCUGCGGUAAAUUGUUGCUGCAAAAUAAUCUUUUCAUGCCAUCAUUUGGUAUUUUUCUUAUAAUCGUAGCAUUUUCAUAAGCAUUUCUUUGAAUCUCCUCUAGCUCGGUGAUGUCCAACAGCCUUUUCUAUUCAGCAGCUUCAUAGUCCAUGUUCACUUGCUAAAUUUCCCACCUCACUUUAUGUUCCAGUUCAACUAGCAAGUAACAUGCUUUUCCAAAAACAAAUUGGUACGGUGACAUUUCCAAUAGAGUCUUAUAUGCUGUCCGCAAUGCCCAUAGAGCAUCAUCCAAUCUGGAAGACCAAUCUUUUUUCAAAAGAUUCACAACCUUCUCAAGAAUAUUCUUAAUUUGUCGAUUUGAAACCUCAGCUUGUCCAUUGGUUUAUGGAUGAUAAGUAGUGGCCAUUUUGUGAUUGACUUCAUAUCUCUUUAAUACGGCUGCCACUUGGUUGCAAUGGAAAUGUGUACCUUGAUCAGUAAUCAAGGCCUUGGUGUGCCGAAAUGGGUGAGUAUAUGCUUAUGAAAAAUUUUGAGCACUAUCCUUGCAUCAUCCUUUGGGACAGCAAUAGCCUCCACCCACUUCAAGACAUAGUCAACAGCGACUAAUAUAUAAAUAUUUCUAAAUAAACUUGGAAAUGGUCCCAUAAAAUCCAUUCCCCAAACAUUGAACAAUUUAACUUCCAUAAUUUGAUUUUGUAACAUUUCAUUAUGUCGUGAAAUAGAACUGGUGUGCUAACAUUUAUCAUUGAUUCACAAAAUUAUGAGCAUCUUUGAAAAAUGAUGGCCAGUAGAAUCUUGAUUGUAGAACUUAGCAGCAGUUCUAAUACCACCGGAAUGGCCUCCAUACAGAGCAUCAUGAUAGUGCUUCAGGAUUGAAAGCAUCUCUUCUUUCGGAUCAUAACAUCGAAUGAUGUUGUCAUUGCAUACCUUCAAUAAAUACGGCUCGUUCUAAUGGUACUUCACUACGUCAUGAAGAAAUCUUUCUUUUUUAUGGCCCUUGAUAUUCAAUGGGAGCUUACCACACACCAAGUAAUUAACCAAAUCUGCAUACUAAGGAGUUACAUCGAUAGCGAAUAACAUCUUAUCUGGGAAUGUGUCGACAAUUGGAAGUAUUUUCCUAUCUUCGUUGCCAACUGCCAAUCUAGACAAAUCAUUGGCAACUUGAUUCUUUAACCUCUUGCGGUCUUUUAUCUCAAUGUCAAAUUCUUUCAACAAUAAAAUCCAUCGUAUCAGUCUUGGUUUGGCAUCUUUUUUCAUAAAGAGAUAUCACAACACAGAAUGAUCAAUGAAUACCGUAACUUUUGCACCGAUAAGAUAAGAACGAAACUUGUCAAAGGAAAGGACUACAGCCAGCAGUUCUUUCUCUGUGCUGGUAUAAUUGAGUUAAGCCUCUGUAAGAGUUUUGCUAGCAUAAUAGAUGGCGUGAAAUAUUUUUCCCUGGCAUUGUCCUAGCACUGCACCCACGGCGAAAGCAUUUGCAUCGUACAUGACUUCAAAAGGUUGAGACCAAUCAGGUGCGACGACAAUGGGUGCAUUGCAUUGACUAGCUACUUCUUUAACUGAAUAAAGGCAUCCAAACAUGCCUCGUCCAAGAGGAAUUUUUUAUUAUGUUCCGGCAAUGAGCACAAUAGUUUUACAAUUUUUGAAAAAUUCCUAAUAAACCGUCGGUAAAAUCCUGCAUGUCCAAGAAAGCUACUGGUAGCUGUCGUUACGACCACCGAAUUUUAUACACUACUCAGCCAAUAUUAACUGGUAAUACAGAGUAAGUAAGGAAUCGUCCCACGAAGAAGCUCGUGUUAAACCUAUUUAAGAAGAAUUGAAAAUAAGAUAAUGUAAACGCAUGCAAGAUAGUAAAAUGGGGGGAUUUAUGCUAAUAAUGAUCUAAAGUAACGAAUAAAUUGAUUUGUGAAUGCUAAAAAAUUAUCGAAUUAAAGAGAGAGGAUGCUCAGUUAUUGACACCUUAAUCCACCAAGCACAAGUCCUUCGCGAUCUUAAAUUAUUUAAGUAGUCCAAUCUAGCAACAAGGGUGAAAAUUCACUUACGAAGUGAAUUCCUAUCCCCAAAUAAAUUUAAAUUCAAUUAGAGAACAUUCGUAAUUGAAGCCCUACCUUUAAUUAUUCUUUGUUGGCUAAUUAAAAAAACAUUCAGUAUUUAGAGACUUCACAUUGUGUUAAUUAAAGAAAAUCCUCCAGCGGCUUCCAAAAUAAAAUCUGUAGUUGCGUCAAUUUGCAUCAUGCCAAUUAAUCAUCACCAGUUCUAAGUUAAGAAAUUCGAUUACUCAGUUGCACUUAGAUGAUUAUGAGAAAAAUCCUAAAUUGAAUAGGUGAUCAAUCUAAUUAAUUUAUAAAAAUUCCUUGAACAAUAAAACUUAGCAAUUUAAGAAUGCUAAAUUCGAAUUUAAAACAAAUUAAGUCUUCAAAUUCCUUGUGCUAGGCUUCAUAACUGUCUAACUAAGCUUAAGUAUUCAGCCACUCAUAGCAAGUAAAGCAAAACCAAAGUCAAUUGUAAACAACAUGAGUUACAGACUAGAUUCUUGGAAAAGAAAUUCCUCAAAUCGUCGAGCUUCCUUCCUUUCGCUUAGCUGAAAUCUUUUAAGCUGCUAUUCCAGCUGCUUAAUUGGCUUAUGCUGGUUCAAUUAGAGAAUUUUCCUGCUCAGUUGUGAUGCCCCUCUGCUAUCUCUCUUCUAUUUUUCGACUCCCUUUUAAAGCUGCUGCCCACCUAUUUUAUGGAAAAAUUAACAGCCUCCAGCAAAAUCAUAAAUAAUUCGAUCUUAUCCCCCCUUUAACCUAGCUAAACCCAUUGCAUAAAAAUAGCUCUAGCCUACUAGAGUUCUACUUUAGUUGAAAUCUUUAAGGCUGAUUCGAUUUCCUUGAAUUAAUUGAGGUCGGUCACCGCUAGCAAGAAAGGAAUUUGGAGAAAAAUUAAUUCCCCUGCUGAUUUUGUCGCAUGUUCGGCCUGCUAUAAUUCUAAUUGGACCGACUUUUCUUCCAAUGUUAAUUUAAUUCCUUCAACCAGCAUAUGAUCGUCAUUCAGCAGCUCAUUCAUGCGGAUUAAAUUCCCAAUUGAGCCCAUGUGAACAUCCAAAUGUCCCUCACCUGCACAUGACUUAAAAAUUUAACAUUAAAUUAUUGAAUUGGAGCAAAAAUACAUUAUUACGGCAUGGGAUGUUCUUGCUGUAAUUUAGACUAAUUUAAAAUUCAAUUGCUCAAAAUUUAAUCAAUAAUUUAAAUAAUUUAGUUGGAUAAAUCAAGCUCAAAAUUGAACUUAACAGCUACGAAUACCUUUCACAUUUUUCGGUGGGGGUACUUUCUCGAUGAUUUCCACCUUAGCUUUAUCUACUUAAUAACCCUGAUUAGAGAUGCGAUGGCCCAACACAAUGCCUUCAGUUGCCAUAAAAUAACAUUUUUCCCAAUUCUAGACAAGAUGAGUGUCCUCACAUCGCUUCAGUACUUUAUUCAAAUUGUCAACACAAUGAUCAAAAUCAUUCCCAUAAACUAAAAAGUCAUCCAUAAAAACCUCUAAAGGGUCUUCGAUCAUAUCUGAGAAUAUUGCCAUCAUACACCUUUAAAAUGUGGUUGUUGCAUUGCAAAGACCGAAAGGCAUACAACGAAAAGAAAAAGUACUAAAGGGACAGGUGAAAGUUGUUUUCUCAUGAUCCUCUAGUGCAAUAGCAAUUUGGUUGUACCUAGAAUAGCCGUUUAGGAAGCAAUAAUAAGUUUUUCCAACAAGUCGAUCUAACAUUUGGUCAAUGAAGGGAAGUGGAAAAUGACCCUUCCUUAUGCCUGCAUUUAAUUUACGAUAGUCCAUGCAGAUUUACCACCCCGUAGGGAUGCGUGUUGGUAGUAAUUCAUCCUUAUCAUUGCGAACCACUGUGAUGCCACUCUUUUUCGGGAAAAAUUGCACUGGACUCACCCACUUACUAUUAGAAAUCAGGUAUAUAAUUCCUACAUCAAGCCAAUUUAUGAUUUCUUUCUUGACCAUUUCCUUCAUAUUCUCGUUUAACCUUCUUUGUGGAUCAAUUAAUUGCUAGCCUUCAUCUUCUAACUUGAUUUUGUGCAUGCAAAAAGAAGGACUAAUACCUUGAAUAUCCGCAAUACUCCAGGAAAUAGCUCGUUUGUGCUGCUUCAGAAUGUAAGUCAAUUUAUUUUCUUGUGUUUCAUCUAGUGUUGUGGAGACAAUAACUGGAAGAGUAUUGUGAUCACCCAAUAAGAUGUAUUUAAGAUGAGGAGAUAGUGGUUUCAAUUCUAGAGUGGGAGCUUCUUCAAUUGAUGGUUUGAAAAUAGGAGUGGUUCUAUUGGUUAGGUCUAAGGAUUCAAUUUUCCAUUUAUGUUUGACUUUAACAGUACUAGCUUUAACCGUGCUAUCACAAUUGUCUACAGAUUCAGCCUCAAAUGUCACUGUAAUUUCUUCAUCAAUGACUUUGCUUUGGUUGUUGAAUUCUUCCUCAAUUAAAUCAUCGAGCACAUCGACAGUAUGGCACUCUGCUUUAUCCUUAUGAUGAACAUACUCAAAAAUACUGAAGGUAACUUGCUCAUCAUUCAGUCGCAUCGUGAGUUCUCCCUUAUAAAAAUCAAUGAGAGUUUGACCAAUGGCUGAAAAUGGUCAUCCAAGAUUAUGGGAACCUCUUUGUCUGCCUCGUAGUCAAGUAUGAUAAAAUCUAUCGAAAAAAUGAAUUUUUGCACAUGAACUAAAAUAUCUUUGAUUUGCCCUUCAGAUUGAGCUAAAGAUUGAUCUACCAAUUGCAAUAUCACUAUAGUGGGUUUCAUAUGACUAAUUCUCAACUUUCUAAAAGUAGAUAGUGGCAUGAGGUUGAUGCUAACUCCCAAAUCGCAUAAAGCUUUUCUCAAAUAUUGAUUUCCAAUCGAACAUAAAGCUUCCAGGAUCUUUCAAUUUAGAGGGCAACUUGUUUGUCAAGAUAGCACUAAAGCUUUCUAUGAGUGCAAUAGUUUUAACAUCAGUGAGUUUAUUCUUCUUGGACAAUAGGUCUUUCAUAAAUUUCUCAUAACUCAGAAUUUGUACCAUAGCGUUCACUAAAGGUAUGUUGAUCUGCAGUUGUUUCAGUGUAUCUAGAAACUGCUGAUACUAUUUACCUUUUUCAUUCCUCUUGAAUCUUUGUGGAAAAGGUACAGGUGGAAGUACAUCCAGUUGCGGUGAUACUUUUAGUUGCGUCCACAAUUUCGAGGGUCGAAUAUAAGGCAUGUGAGCGACAGUUGGCGGUACUUUUUUGUCUGGUACAUCAAUAGGCUCUUCAGAAUCAACCUUCCUAUCAAGGCUUAUGUCACCAAUAUUUGGGGAUGGUACAGUAGAACCAAUAAUUGGCUCAGCAGUUUGUUUACCACUCCUAAGAGUGAUAGCUUUACAGUGCUCUUUCCCCCUCGGGCUAGGGUUUUCGAUGUCACUAGGUAAGGAGCCUUGUGGUUGAGUAUUCAAAUUUGAAGCAAGCUAUCUAAAUUGUGCCUCUAAUGCUCGAAUAGAAGAUGAAUUUCCUUGAACAACAACUUCUGUGUGAGUAAUAUACUCUCGUAUUAACGCCUUAAGAGCAAUUAAUGGGUCAGAAGUAGAAGCUCGUGUAUACUGUUGUUAUCGUUGUCCUUGAUCAUUCGGAUUCAACAUUUGUGGUUGCAUUUGCGUUUGAUGUGACUAUAUCUGACCUUGUUGUGGAUACAACUGAUGAUGCUGAUUAUAGUUCUAUUGUUGAUUGUAAUUCCCUUGUCACAUAUUAUAAUUGCCCUGAGUAUAUGCAUUCCCAUAUCUGAAUGUCCUAGCAUUUUGUCUAACACUCUGAGUUCCCCAAAACUGUUAGUUGCGUGCAAAGUUGUUGUAAAAGUUUCCAUAAGAAUUGUUGCAAAUAUUAUGACAUAACAGGUAUUUCCUACAUGUUGCGGACAUUCUUCAUAACUAUGGUUGUCACCACAAAUUUCACAGCAAAAGGUAGGAGUAUCCAAUUGUUGAGCAACCUGUAUAAGUGCAAUGUCACUCGUCCCUUGCAUAUUUUUAAUUAUGUUUGUGAGUGAAGAGACUUGGGCACUUAGCGCGGAUAUUGCAUCCAAUUCAAUAACUCCCGAAGUAGUCUUUGCUUGUGCAGCUCUAGAGAUGGGAUAUUGAUAAUCAUUUUGAGCAAUUCUCUCAAGAAUUCUCACAACAUUAUUGGAAGUGCAAUCCAACAGUGGUCCAUUGGCUAAUGCAUCGAUAAGAUUCCUUGUAUGUGAAUUCAGACCAUUAUAAAAAUCUCAAUUUGUGUUUCUAGUUAGAUGUCGUGCAUGAUACAACGUCGAAAAAAAGAUUUAUAACGUUCCCAUAUGGUGUGAAGAUUUUCAUCAUCUAGCUGAUGGUAAGUAGUAAUAUCAUUUCGAAGAUGAGCAUUCAUUGUUGGUGGGUUAAAUCGCAAAACAAAUUACGUGGCGAGAGCAUUCCAAGAAGCAAUUAAUCUAGUAGGUAGCCUAAGAAACCAAGUGUGAGAUCUCUCUUUUAAAAAAUAGGGAAAUAAUUGCAUCCUUAAGGCAUCAUCAGGAACGCCUUGUUGACUAAAGGAAGCAUAUAUCAAUAAAAAUGAUUUAAAAUGUUCUCUUGCAUCUUCAUGUGGCAGUCCAACAUAUUGGCCAUUGGAGUUCAGCAUUUGAAACACCACUAGCUUGAGUUCAAAGUUCCCAGCUUGAAUUGCUGGUCUAACAACUCCUGGUUGUAAAUAAUCCAGAAUAGGGACUACACAAUCUCGUAUGGUUCUAUUGUGGAUGUGAGCAUUUUGUGGUAACAAUGGGUUAUGAACGUUUUACUGUUGUAUCAGGGGUAUGGCUGUAUUGUCCCCUGGUAAAUCCAUAUUUCUUUGUUCUUGAAGUCUUCUUCGAACAGUUCUUUCAAUUUCUAGAUAAAAGUCAACAAGAAAAUCUGAAUUUCUUCUGGUCAUAAAACAUCUAAAAUGAAAUUUAAAAAUAAAAAGAAAGAGAAAACAAGUUAGUGAAUACAAAAUAUUAUAUAAGGAAAACAAAGUACAAAGACACACAAGAACAAAAAUAAACAUCAAACAAAUACCAUCCCCGGUAACGGUGCCAAAAACUUAAUUGGGUGAUAACAUCACAACAAUAAUGUGCAAGCGUACACUAUCGAUGCAAGUAUAGUAGACAGAUGUGAGUUUGUCGGAUAUCGAUCCCACAUGGAUGGCUGUCUUUUGUCUAUUAAUGUCGGUGCAUUAGCUAGAUAGAAACGAGAUAAAUCGUGAGGAUAGUUGUCGGAGGAAUAUCUUGAAAACAUUGAAAUAAAAUAUGAUUAUGUUAAACUGAGAUCCCCAACAUGAAUCUCCAGCAGAAAACUAAGUGUUCAAAAGGUAUAAAGGAUAGUUGAUUGCCAGUGCAAUAAAUUUCAAUGUAUAUCUUACCAAGCUUCACUCCUCUAAUUAAUCUGAGACAUAAAUAUACACACUAACCCCACCUUCCUAUGGUGGCAAUAUGACACUAUUAAGAACAAGUGGACUAAAUUCCUUUAAUCCUCACUCAACUUCCAUUGUAAUGCUUGUUAGCUCAAACUAUCACUGCACCUUCCAGUGUCAGUGACUGCAAUAACACUUUCGUGCUAAAAACAUUCAAACCCACAGAUUAAACAGUAGAAACAAGAUUGAAUAAAAUAACAUUUAACCCAGAAAUCAUGUGUACUUCCAUACAAACAUGAAAUAGAGAGUAAUCACCAGCGUUUAGAAAGAAAUUUAAAAGAAACAAGCGGAAAAUACUAUUCCUAGAAGAACUCGACUUGAAUCUCUCUAUUCCCUCUUAUGCCACACUUAGGACUCCUCAUUAGGAGCUGGUCUGCAUCAUUUUCAUGUUGGCUCACUCGGGGGAGACUUAAACCGCCAUAGCCACAAGCUUCCCCCCAAGAUAUGUUAAGAAAGAUGAUGGUCAAGAAAAAACUCUCCUCUCUUUUUCUUUUCAUGUCAAUAUUUAUGCCCUUCCAAACAUUACAAGUGUCAUUUCCUAAGAAUCAUGUUGUCCUUGUAUGUACAAGUUGGUUAUACCAAACUUGACAGCUCAUGAAUUUUUAUUCUUAUCCGGACAGCUGUCAGAUACGGCGACAAUUCUGGACGCAAUCUAGAAUUACUCAUGCAGAGACAUUAGUUCCAAAAUAUGACAAAUAGGCUAGGAUCCACUGAGUUAUAAAAUGCAAUUUACUAAACUGAAAAUGCUAAAAUAUGUGCUAAGGAUAACUAAAUGGGAAUAAAUUAACCAAUAAGUAGGGAGAAAACACAUUUUCUUUCCAGUACUAUCACAAUACUUUAUAGAAACACUUUUGACAUGAAAAAUAUUUUUGGAGCAAAAGGAAUGCUAAACAAGCAAGUUUUUGUUGAAAUUUUUGGCUUUUUAAAAACACUUUUGGCCAAAUGGAGAAGCUAAAAUUUUCAGAUUUUCUUCUCCCAAAAGUAGUUUUCAAAGCUUGAUUACUUUUUCACCCCUCCAACACACGAUACUUUCCCUUCUCUUUCAUUUUCAUUUCUUCCUCCAUUUGCUCCAAGGUUUUUGCUGCUCUCUCUCUCUCUUUCUUCUACUUCCCUAAUCUCAUCUUCCCAUUUCAACUCUCCAUUUAACUUUUUCGUGUUUCCCCAUUUAAGGUUAAACUCUUUUUGAUUACUGCUGAGUUUGGUUGCUCCCCAUUUCAGGUUAACUUUCUGGUUUCACCUUUGAUUUUCUCAGGUUUUCUAUUUGGUUGUUGAGUUUGAUUCUUUUACUGAGUUUGAUUUUCUUGAGACUUAUAAUGAAGCUAUUAAAAGAGUCCUAAUAAUGGCAAGCACACAGAACAAUUAAUCCCUAAUCAAAGAGAAACAGUGAAAAAUAGGAAUUCCCUUUUACAACAUCAUUUAUGCAUGCAGAAAGAAUUUAUUAAAAAAUAAAAGAUAAAAGAACUUGACAGGGUUCUUAACAACGAAGCCUUCAUCAAUUACUAUAAUACUUUUUUAAAGAUUGAAAAAAGGUAGCUACUAUCCUUGGGAUCAAUUCUUUUCUAGCUUCUGAUUGGUUUUUGGCUUCGAAAUUUGUUUGGCUUCAAGGUUCAAAAAC
rnacentral:lncRNA from 1 species